rnacentral:lncRNA from 1 species
UCAUAAGUAGAGUGCAUCAUUUAAGCCAAGCAAGCUGUGGUCAAUACAAAUCCACCAUGAAGACCUUUCUCAUCCUUUCCCUCCUUGCUAUCGUGGCAACCACCGCCACAACUGCAUUUAGAAUUCUAGUGCCACAAUUGCAGCCACAAAAUCCAUCUUAGCAACAACCACAAGAGCAAGUUCCAUUGGUACAACAACAGCAAUUUCUAGGGCAGCAACAACCAUUUCCACCACAACAACCAUAUCCACAGCCGCAACCAUUUCCAUCACAACAACCAUAUCUGCAGCUGCAACCAUUUCCGCAGCCGCAACCACCAUAUUCGCAGCCGCAACCAUUUCGACCACAAUAACCAUAUCUCCACAACCGCAACCACAGUAUUCGCAACCACAAUAACCAAUUUCGCAGCAGCAACAACAACAACAACAACAACAACAACAACAAAUCCUUCAACAAAUUUUGCAACAACAACUGAUUCCAUGCAUGGAUGUUGUAUUGCAGCAACACAACAUAGCGCAUGGAAGAUCACAAGUUUUGCAACAAAGUAGUUACCAGCUGUUGCAAGAAUUGUGUUUUCAGCACCUAUGACAGAUCCCUGAGCAGUCGCAGUGCCAAGCCAUCCACAAUGUUGUCCAUGCUAUUAUUCUGCAUCAACAACAAAAACAACAACAACAACAACAACAAAAACAACAACCAUCGAGCCAGGUCUCCUUCCAACAGCCCCAGCAACAAUAUCCAUCAGGCCAGGGCUCCUUCCGGCCAUCUCUGCAAAAUCCACAGGCCCAGGGCUCGGUCCAGCCUCAACAGCUGCCCAGUUCGAGGAAAUAAGGAACCUAGCGCUACAGACGCUACCUGCAAUGUGCAAUCUCUACAUCCCUCCAUAUUGCACCAUCGCGCCAUUUGGCAUCUUCGGUACUAACUGAGAAGAAAAUAACUCUAGUACUAGAUAUAUGAAACACCGUUUUCUUAGUCCAUGGUUUGGUCAUUGUAGCGGUGAAAAAAUAAAGUGACAUGCACUACCAUGUAAGAACUCGAACUAUACUAGUUCAAACUUGGGAAUAAAAGACAAACACAGGUCUUGUCUACAUAUUUAUGUUGCAUUUAUCUAAAGAUAACAAAAUGAGUCUAAAAUUUGAAUUAAAUUGAAGUAUUUUCUUGGACUUUCAAAUUGAGUAUUAUUAACGUAGUAAGGACUAUCCUCAUCCUUGGCCUGCCCCUAAUCAAUUAUUUCCAGAGAAGCAUUCAAUUCAUCAAUCAAUUACAUUGAUUUUUGUGGCUGGUACUUCUCCUCAACAUCAGUAUAUUCACCGUGGCUACUCCAAAUCGGCAAGAAUGAGGUACCGGUGCUCUGGAGCAGUGCCAACUAAUUGCUUCUCAUGUGAAGGGGUGCGGGCGCGGGAGAGGUAUUUCUGGUGGGCCAAGGGAGUAAGAAGCCACCGUGGGAGUGGUACAGACGCCCGUAAAGCCCCAUAGUUUCUUUUUGGUUUACAGGAAAAUGCACAUCCAUACCGGCCUGGGGAGUAUAGGACCGUAUUGGAUGGAAAACCAUGUCCGGAUGGUUGCGAGCGGUUUGAGGGUUAGCUUUUGUAACGCCCGGUUAGUUAUGCUAUAGCAAUUCCCUGCUAAUGAUGUCACGUCACCAAGAUUACUGUUGUUAUCCUCACAAUGAUUCAAUGCCAUUCUAAUUCAAAUUUAAAAUAAAGGCAAGCAUCAAAAGUUUUCAAACAUUAAAACUAAAAUCUUUGAGAGGUAACAAAUAAUGCAUAAGUAAUUAUGGUGGAGAAACCACACUUUAAUAAAAUGUUUAAAUACUCUAAAAUGAAAAAAACAGUGGCUUAAACUAUUAUUUAAAUGCUUUUAAAAUAGUAAAAAUGUUCUAACUAAAUUAAUUGGGUACCAACCUUUUGGUGGCAGUGGUAUAUUUAGUAGAACUAAUUUAGAUGCUAGUUAUAUGAUUUAGAAAAUUAGGGUCAAUUGAAAAAUAGGAUAAAACAGAGAAGGAAAGACAAAACAAAUAAAAGCAAAAGGGGGCAACCCCUCACUGGCCUUGGCCUAGCUGGCCACUGGGCUAGCUAGGUCGGCCCCGCCGCCUCCCUUAACCCCCUGUCGGUGUCGAAACCGGUGGAUGGUACCAUGAGUAGAUCUACCACGAGAUCGGAGAGGCUAAACCCUAGAGGCUAGCCUAUGAUAUGAUUGUAUGUGUCCUACGGACUAAAACCCUCCGGUUUAUAUAGACACCGGAGAGGGUUAGGGUUACACAAGGUCGGUUACAAAGGAGGAGAUAUCCAUAUCCGUAUUGCCUAGCUUGCCUGCCACGCCAAGUAGAGUCCCAUCCGGACACGGGACGAAGUCUUCAAUCUUGUAUCUUCAUAGUGCAACAGUCCGAAAAAGGAUAUAGUCCGGCUGUCCGGAGACCCCCUAAUCCAGGACUCCCUCAGUAGCCCCUGAACCAGGCUUCAAUGACGAUGAGUCUGGCGCGCAGUAUUGUCUUCGACAUUGCAAGGCGGGUUCCUCCUCCGAAUGCAUCACAGAAGAAUUUGAAUACGAGGAUAGUGUCCGACCCUGCAACAUAAGUUCCACAUAAUUCCAUACAGAGAAUAAUAUUUUCGCAAAUCUAAUUUGCUUACUUGUUUUGACAGUACGACAUUAUGUCAUGGCCCGGUGAUUAUUCGAACCGUUUCCUUUAACUAGCCCCGCACAUAACGCGAGGCAGUUUUUCGACAUGUCUUGUCAAAGCAGAGAUCGUGUCCCCUUAUUACUGGAUUCUCAUCAAUACGGGCGUGGGUAACCCAACCGCGCCAUCGAUUGCGGCACUUGGGGGAUGAGCUAUUUUUACCUGGCAAGUGGGGACGCUUAGUUUCGUCCGCCCAUAUAAAGGGAUAAGGAUUCACCUUUCUAUCCAUGCCUUCUUCCUCCUUUGCUCAUCCGUUUUUGCACACUCGAGCUCUAGCGCCCAAGUUCGCACUUCCCACCUCAACCUUCUCCAACCAUGUCCCGAGCGGGAGGCAGGUGGAUGGUAUCCUCCGUCACGGAUGGAGACAUCAAGAAGCUGAGGAGCGCCGGAUACCUGCCUGACGACAUCGCGCACCGGCUCCCAGAUGAGGGGCAGCUCACCCCCACCCCCAGGCCCCAUGAGAGGGUAGUGUUCCUCACCCAUUUCCUCCGCGGACUGGGAUUCCCUCUCCACCCAUUUGUCCCGGGGCUCAUGUUCUAUUACGACCUGGAUUUCCAUGAUCUGGCCCCGAACUUCAUCCUCAACAUCUCGGCGUUUAUCGUUGUGUGCGUGGCCUUCCUCCGCAUCAAGCCCCACUUCGGCUUAUGGUUGAAGACCUUUAAUGUCAAGCCGAAGGUUGUGGGCGACCGCCAGGCGGAGUGCGGAGGCGCCAUGGUGGGCAAGAUGCCCAACGUAACAUGGCUCGAGGGCUCUUUUGUGGAAACCAUAAAGGGGUGGCAAUCGGGUGGUUCUACAUCACCGAGCCGCGUGACCCUGCAUGGGCAGCGGCCCCCCGAGUUCUGAUCUGGCAUCCCCACGCGGCUCACCUCCUGGAAAGAGAAGGGCCUGUCCUGGGGUAGUUUGGAAGAGCUGACCAGACUCCAAACAUGUAUUCAAAACAUGGUGAACAAGAAGCUCAAACUCGUCAACGUGGUCCAGGUCAUGCUCCACCGCCGGAUCCUCCCGUGCCAAUAACGGGAGUUCAACUUGUGGGAGUACAACCCAGCGCAGCACCGAACUCUGAACAGGCUUUUCGACACAACUCACGAAGAUGCCUCGAGGGUGCUGUUCAAAAUCACCAAGGUCCCCCUCCCAUUACUGAGGAUCACGGAUUCAGCGUGAAGCGCCAAGCCAGUGCGGCAGGCUGCUUUACCUUUCACAGGCUACUUAUUUUUUAUAGAUUGACUCCAUGCGGGAUCUAAACUCCCGUACCUUUGACAGGACUGGCAGGAGAUGGCCGGACAGAUCGACUGUCCGGCUCCUAUGCCCGAAGGCCCAGCAGACGCUCUUCUAGCGAAGAUGCUGACUUCGGCUCCUUAUACGGUGCCGGAGAAGACCAAGAAGGACAAGGGAACCCGAAAGAGUUCCCGACGCCAGGCGUCGUCGGACUCACCGUCCGAUGACUCUGCGGCGCACUCCUCCCCCGAAGACGAGGAAGAGGAAGAAGACGCUCCCUCUCUGGCUGGGGGAGAUAAGAAAAGGAAGGCCGCCCCAACUGGGGGGGCGGAAGGGUCCAAGAAGGGAAGGAAUCUCCUUCCGGAUAGUUGCACCGCUGCCGACGAAGGCGAAGACGAGGGGUUGCCCAGGGCCAAGCCCCUGGGGAGAUCGUAAGUAUUCAGAUACCAGAGUAACUCAUAGCAUUCCUUUGUCGCACUGCUUUCCCUAACGUCAAACAUAAUUAUGCAGGUCGCCAUGAGCCAGUAUCGAUGUGUGACGCCCGGAUAAUCAUGCUACAGUAAUCCCACGCUAAUCAUGCCACGUCACCUCGGUUACUGUUGCUAAUCUAUCGUUAGGUCAAAGCUGGUCCAAAAUUCAAAUUCAAAGUUUGGUAAAUAAUAACAGUUUUCAAAAAUUAAAACAAAAAUGUUCGGUGAUUGCCGAAUAAUGCAUAGGUAAUUAUGGUGGAGAAACCACACUUUUAUAAAAUGUUUAAAUAAUCUAAAAUGAAUAAAACAGUAGAAAAACCAAAUCUAAAUGCUUUUAUAAAUAAAUAAAACACUAAACUAAAUUGUUUUGGGAUAAAGCCUUUUGUGGCAGUGGGUUUCGUGGUAUUACAAUUUUAGAGUUCAUUUUAAUACUAAGUAAGAAGUAUAAUUAAGAGAAACUAAAAUAAAGAACAGAAAAAAAAGAAUAAAUAAAAGGAAAAGAAAACACAAAACAGAAAAGAAAACUACCAAAAAAAUAUGGUAAAAGGAGACCCCCCCCACUGGACCCCUUGGCCCAACUGGGCCAUGGCCCAGCCGGCCACCCCCNNNNNNNNNNNNNNNNNNNNNNNNNNNNNNNNNNNNNNNNNNNNNNNNNNNNNNNNNNNNNNNNNNNNNNNNNNNNNNNNNNNNNNNNNNNNNNNNNNNNNNNNNNNNNNNNNNNNNNNNNNNNNNNNNNNNNNNNNNNNNNNNNNNNNNNNNNNNNNNNNNNNNNNNNNNNNNNNNNNNNNNNNNNNNNNNNNNNNNNNNNNNNNNNNNNNNNNNNNNNNNNNNNNNNNNNNNNNNNNNNNNNNNNNNNNNNNNNNNNNNNNNNNNNNNNNNNNNNNNNNNNNNNNNNNNNNNNNNNNNNNNNNNNNNNNNNNNNNNNNNNNNNNNNNNNNNNNNNNNNNNNNNNNNNNNNNNNNNNNNNNNNNNNNNNNNNNNNNNNNNNNNNNNNNNNNNNNNNNNNNNNNNNNNNNNNNNNNNNNNNNNNNNNNNNNNNNNNNNNNNNNNNNNNNNNNNNNNNNNNNNNNNNNNNNNNNNNNNNNNNNNNNNNNNNNNNNNNNNNNNNNNNNNNNNNNNNNNNNNNNNNNNNNNNNNNNNNNNNNNNNNNNNNNNNNNNNNNNNNNNNNNNNNNNNNNNNNNNNNNNNNNNNNNNNNNNNNNNNNNNNNNNNNNNNNNNNNNNNNNNNNNNNNNNNNNNNNNNNNNNNNNNNNNNNNNNNNNNNNNNNNNNNNNNNNNNNNNNNNNNNNNNNNNNNNNNNNNNNNNNNNNNNNNNNNNNNNNNNNNNNNNNNNNNNNNNNNNNNNNNNNNNNNNNNNNNNNNNNNNNNNNNNNNNNNNNNNNNNNNNNNNNNNNNNNNNNNNNNNNNNNNNNNNNNNNNNNNNNNNNNNNNNNNNNNNNNNNNNNNNNNNNNNNNNNNNNNNNNNNNNNNNNNNNNNNNNNNNNNNNNNNNNNNNNNNNNNNNNNNNNNNNNNNNNNNNNNNNNNNNNNNNNNNNNNNNNNNNNNNNNNNNNNNNNNNNNNNNNNNNNNNNNNNNNNNNGCCCCUCGGCGCCCGCUCGGCCCUCUCCUGGGUCGGGCGCCCGUAACGCCCAGCGCCCGUAACCCGCUAUGGCCCCCUGGGCAGUUGACAGAUGGGGCCCACGCCCCUGUCUUGUUAGAAAAAAAAACGAAAAGAAAAUGUAAUUAAAAAAAUGAAAAUAAGUAAUUAGUUAUUUAAUUAAUUAUGUAACUAAUUAAUUAAUUAAAUAAGUAAUUACUUAACUUAAUUAACUCCGUUUAGUACUUAAUUAACUUGAUUAGUUAAUUAAAAUUGUUAAUUAGUUGUUAGACUAUGACGAAUGGGACCCACACGUCAGUUUGACCCAGUCAACGCCCUGUUGACUGCUGACGUCAUGCUGACGUCAGCGUACACUAUUCUGGAUAAUGUUAAUUUAAUUAAUAAUUAAUAAAUUAGAAAAUGAUUUAAAAAUUUAAAAAUUAAUAUAAAUUAAACCGUAGCUCAGAUGAAAAAACUUUGUACAUGAAAGUUGCUCAGAACGACGAGACAAAUCUGGAUACACGGCCUGUUUGUUCGUCACGCAUCCCUAGCAUAGCAAACUCGCAACUUUCCCCUCCGGCUCCUCUGCCCGAAAACGCAAAACACCGGGGAUACUUUCCCGGAUGUCAUCCCCCUUCACCGGUAUCACCUAUUACCGCGUUAGGGCACCUCUAACGCCGUUACUUGUCAUGUCAUGCAUCACUAUGCAUAUGCUUGCUUAAAUAUUUAUUAUUUCUUCCCCCUCUUCUCUCGAUAGACACCGAGACCGACGCCGCUGCUACCCAGUACGACUACGCUGUUGACGACCCUCUUUCUUGCCAGAGCAACCAGGCAAGCGCCCCCCUUGAUCACCAGAUAUCGCCUACUCUCUUCUAUACUGCUUGCAUUAGAGUAGUGUAGCAUGUUACUGCUUUCCGUUAUUCCUAUCCUGAUGCAUAGCCUGUCCUUGCUACUACUGUUGUUACCAUUACCUGCUAUCCUACUGCUUAGUAUAGGAUGCUAGUGUUCCAUCAGUGGCCCUACACUCUUGUCCGUCUGCCAUGCUAUACUACUGGGCCGUGAUCACUUCGGGAGGUGAUCAUGGGCAUAUGCUAUAUACUUUACACAGUUACUUUACCUGUGGUACUGUUCGGAGAUGGGGGCUGAAGGGGCAGGUGGUUCCACCCAGGUAGUGGUGGGCCUGGGUUCCCGACGGCCCCCGACUGUUACUUUGUGGCGGAGCGACAGGGCAGGUUCAGACCACCUAGGAGAGAGGUGGGCCUGGCCCUGGUCGGCGUCCGCGGAUACUUAACACACUUAACGAGAUCUGGGUAUUUGAUCUGAGUCUGGCCAUUUGGUCUAUACGCACUAACCAUCUACGCGGGAGUAGUUAUGGGUAUCCCGACGUCGUGGUAUCAGCCGAAGCCUUCGUGACAUCAGCGACUAAGUGGCGCGUGCCGGAUUGGACCGUAAGCCUGCUCUUGUAUUAAGGGGGCUAGUUCUGCUUCCGGCCGCGUUCGCAACGUGCAGGUGUGCAAAGGGCGAUGGGCCCAGACCCCUGCGCCAUAGGAUUUAGACCAGCGUGCUGACCUCUCUGUUGGGCCUAGGUAGGGCUGCGACGUGUUGAUCUUCCGAGGCCGGGCAUGACCCAGAAAAGUGUGUCCGGCCAAAUGGGAUCGAGCGUGUUGGGGUAUGUGGUGCACCCCUGCAGGGAAGUUUAUCUAUUCGAAUAGCCGUGUCCCUCGGUAAAAGGACGACCCGGAGUUGUACUUUGACCUUAUGAUAACUAGAACCGGAUACUUAAUAAAACACACCCUUCCAAGUGCCAGAUACAACCGGUGAUCGCUCUCUCACAGGGCGACGAGGGGAGGAUCAUCGGUUAGGAUUAUGCUAUGCGAUGCUACUUGGAGGACUUCAGUCUACUCUCUUCUACAUGCUGCAAGACGGAGGUUACCAGAAGCGUAGUCUUCGAAAGGACUAGCUAUCCCCCUCUUAUUCCGGCAUUCUGCAGUUCAGUCCACAUAUGAUAGCCUUAUUCCAAUUGAUACCAAUGCAUACAUAUGUAGUGUAGCUCCUUGCUUGCGAGUACUUUGGAUGAGUACUCACGGUUGCUUUCUCCCUCUUUCCCCCCUAUCCCUUCUACCUGGUUGUCGCGACCAGAUGUUGGAGCUCAGGAGCCAGACGCCACCGUUGACGACGACUCCUACUACACCGGUGGUGCCUACUACUACGUGCUGUCCGCUGACGACGACCAGGAGUAGUUUAGGAGGAUCCCAGGCAAGAGGCCUGCGCCUCUUUCGAUCUAUAGCUCAGUUUGUGCUAGCCUUCUUAAGGCAAACUUGUUUAACUUAUGUCUGUACUCAGAUAUUGUUGCUUCCGCUGACUCGUCUAUGAUCGAGCUCUUGUAUUCGAGCCCUCGAGGUCCCUGGCUUGUAAUAUGAUGCUUGUAUGACUUAUUUUAUUUGUAGAGUUGUGUUGUGAUAUCUUUCUGUGAGUCCCUGAUCUUGAUCGUACACGUUUGCGUGUAUGAUUAGUGUACGGUCAAAUCGGGGGCGUCACACGAUGUAUCAUCGGACGGUUCCCUAGGCUCGUCGGACAUGGAUAGCGAUCCAGUCCCGACCCCCACCUCCCCUCAUCCUGCUGACGACGCCGAGGUGCUGUCUCAAGAGGCAUCGGGUCGAGGGGAGACAGUCCUGGAGGCACCUCAAGGCGACCUUCCGGACUCCGGGAGCCGAGGGGACGGGGCCCCUAAGAGCUUCGAGUUCGGCCCUCAGCCGAACACCGCGCUGGAACCUCCAGUGGUUCCGGGCUCGGUCAGGCGGCCUCCUUCUAAGAGGGGCAAGACACCUGUGCCGGUGACCUCUGUCUAUCCAGAGGCGCCGGACAAUCUGCUGGAAGCGCUUCGCAGCGCUUCCAUCGACGAGGAGCACCGCACUAUCAUGAGUGCGGCGAUCCAGAAAGUUUAGUCCGCCAAGAGCGGAUUGACUGAAGCCUGUGCCAGCCUUCUAACAGGCUUUGAGGUAAGUGUUUUAAAAUAUAGGAAAAAUACUACUGCAUAUAUAGUAGCCCCUGAUGCUUUGUUCGGUGUUCAGAAAGAAAAGCCGAACAGAGGAUCAAAUAAUAUCGCAGGACUCUAAUAUAAGUAUGUCAAUAUGCGUAUGCAAGCCUCACUGCUGGCAUCCGCCACACUGACUGCGGAGGUCGCCCUACUGAAGCAGGACCUCGAGAGGUCUAGGAGAGAGCUCGGCCUUGUCAAGAGGCAGCUCGAGGAGAACAAGGGUAAGUAAUACCUUGUCUUUAGAUAUGUAUAUAUAAAAGAAGAAGCGAUUGCAAAAUGACAGGAUCAUCGUACAUUCGCCAGGGGCCACGACCAAGGUGGCAACCCUCAAGCAAGCGCUAACCAAGGCCGAAGAUAACGCGGCCAAGGAGCGCACCGAGUGAGAGAAGCACGAGGCUCGGGUGGGCGAGGUGCAGCAAGAGCUCUAGGCUAUCAUGGUGAAGCACGAGGCAUUGGAGCUUGACUAAAAGACGCGAGAGUCUGAGCUUUCCGCGGCCCUCGAGAGCGCAAAAAGUGCCAAGGCCGAAGCCCAAAGGGGUCUCCAGGCGGGUAUGGCUUUCUAUAUGCAAAGCAAGCAUGUAAAAGUAAAUUACCGAUUACUUACUCGAAUCCGGAGCUCUCCAGGAGCAUUCGCAGAUUUUCCACGCAGCGUGUCCGAUGCCGCACAAUUUUACCAGGCCGAGGAUGGAAGCUCAAUGGAGAAGCUGUUCUGGUAUCAGUAUGCUGAGGCCGGACACCCGGUGCCAAUGAGCGACCAGCUGAAGCAGGUGGUCGAGCUACAUAAGGCGGCCGAUCAGGCCAUGAAGGGCUUUAUAGUCCGGCUGUGGCCUGGCGACGCCCUUCCGAACAGCUUCCUCGGCCUGGUGAGGCGGCUUGUGGAUGCCUGCCCGCGGCUGGAGGUCGUCAAGCGAUCUGUCUACAUUGAGGGUGCACGCCGGGCUUUCGCCCGUGUGAAAUUGCAGUGGGUCAAGCUAGACGCCGUGAAGCUGAUCAAGGAGGGGCCGCCGGAGGGCAAGGAGCACCGCCACCCCGAGAUGUACUACGAGGGUGUUCUGCUGGGUGCCCGUCUCAUAGCGGACGAGUGUUCAAAAGAUGUAAUAUUUGAGUGAGACUUGCUCGUUUUAUCCUGUAUUUAUGAAAACUUGUUUCAUAUGCACUAUGCAACGCUUGUUUGAAUUUAGAAUAUUACCUUCUGUUUGGCCGUUUAUCAAUCUGAGAGAUGGCUAGUCCUCAGCUUCUGCCCCCAUGCCACGAGUGCUGGGGUCUUCGGGAUAAACCUGAGCACUCUUGUUCCCAUAUUUGGGUCCUUGGAGGGAGGUGCUCAGCACAACGAACAAGGAAACCCGACUAAUAAUGCUUUAUCACUCUCACUUAGCGAUAGAAUUCUAUAAUUUUAAAUUUCGGCGAAGCCCCUGGUAUUCGGAAGGCCGAAUUCGGGGCGCGAUACACGCCUUUAAGCCGGACAGGGCCGGCCCCUCGCCCUAAGCGGCAUAAGUCUUUGGGGACUCGAUAACCUCGCCGAACAGCGAUCAGUCUCUCCCCUUAUCAUGACAGUCAGUUUUAGCUUUCUCUACUUAGGUGCCGAACCCAGCAAAACCGGGGCACAAUCGCAGUAGUUCUCCUAGCGCUACCUUAGCCGAUAGAGUGGAACGUAAGGUACCAAAACAUAGGAGCCGGGCAAACCCAACAUUUGACCAAAGACAUGAUUCGGAGCUGAUGCAUAUAAUGCUAUAAGUUUGGGGUGCCGCACUUGUGAAAGUGUUCGGACUUUUCACACCGUAUUGUGGGGUACGUAAGCCCCUGGUGUAUUGGCCGUACCAAAGUGUACGGUUGCAAGGCAUCAUUAAUGAACAUAUAUAUAUAUAUAUAUAUAUAUAUAUAACAAGAGUGCAAUAAUAGUCGUAAUGUCAUGCAUUGUUUAUUCAAAAAAUUACGUUAAAGUAGGGUGAUACAGAUAGUGUGAUAAGCAAAGAGUAGGACUAUGUCCCUUCCCAAGGCAAGCUAAGGAAUGAUAUUAAAUUGAAUAUUUCGCUCGUUACAGUAAUCCACCUAGGAAUUCCGUGGUGUGACGUAGCUAUCUGCCUCCUUGGUUGCUGCAUCGUGUGUUCGGCAAUAGUGCUGCCGGACAGUGUUUCCAGAGGUUAAUGUCCUGAAAAAAAGAGAAAAAUAACCAAACGGGAAGCCCCUAGUGCGGUUUAAGCCGCGUCUUGGGGCGUGCUGCAGUUGUGCCACCCUCCCCACCUGUGCCCAUGGUAUUUUUAAUGCGUAAUUAUGUACGCGUGGCAUGAGUUUCGUCGUUGGGCUGGGAUUGGGGUGGCCGCCUUAUUGCUACGCGAGCUCAGAUCGCGCAAGGCGGUCUAUUUGCCGAUUGCUCCGAGCGCGCUUGAAGGUGUCCGGGCUUUGAAGCGCCGGACUGGUUGAUUGCCUUGAGAGGCUGCUUUGCGCUUCUGCUGCGAGGGCCGCGGUGUGCUCCUCUGUUCGGAGAGAGCACUCUGUGUUUCCAUUGACUGUAAUAACUCCGCGAGGUCCUGACAUCUUGAGCUUGAGGUAUGCAUAGUGCGGUACCGCAUUGAAUCUAGCAAAUGCGGUUCGCUCGAGCAGCGCGUGGUAACCACUGCGGAAUGGGACUAUAUCGAAGAUUAGCUCUUCGCUUCGGAAGUUAUCCGGGGAUCCGAAGACCACUUCCAGUGUAAUUGAGCCUGUGCAAUGGGCCUCUACACCUGGAAUGAGGCCUUUAAAGGUCGUUUUUGUGGGUUUGAUCCUUGAGGGGUCUAUACCCAUUUUGCGCACUAUAUCCUGAUAAAGUAGGUUCAGGCUGCUGCCGCCAUCCAUAAGGACUCGAGUGAGGUGAAAUCCGUCAAUGAUUGGGUCUAGGACUAGUGCGGAAAAUCUACCAUGAUGGAUACUAGUGGGGUGGUCCCUUCGAUCGAAGGUGAUCGGAUAGGAGGACCAAGGGUUGAACUUUGGGGUGACUGGCUCGAACGCAUAUACGUCCAUGAGCGCACGCUUCCGCUCCCUCUUAGGGAUGUGGGUUGCGUAUAUCAUGUUCACCGUCUGCAGUUGCGGGGGAAACCUCUUCUGUCCUUCGAUGUGCGGCUGCCGGGGCUCCUCCUCGUCAUCGCUAUGCGGCCCCUUGUCCUUCUUUUCGGCAAUUAACUUGCGGGCCUGCUUGAACACCCAACAAUCCCUGUUGGUGUGAUUGGCUGGCUUGUCUAGGGUGCCGUGUAUUUGACACGAGCGAUCGAGUAUACGUUCCAAGCUGGAUGGACCUGGCGUACUUUGUUUGAAUGGCUUUUUCCGCUGACCGGGUUUAGAGCCUUUGAAUCCGGCAUUGACUGCCGUAUCCUCGGUAUUUUCGCUGUUAAUGCGGCGGUUAUGUUUGUUGUGACAUGACCUGCUAUUGCCAUCCUUGGUAUCGGAGGUACCAUGGUUCUUUGAUAUGUUAUUACUACGGGCCAGCCAGCUGUCUUCUCCCGCACAAAAGCGGGUCAUGAGCGUCGUGAGAGCUGCCAUAGAUUUCGGCUUUUCCUGACCAAGGUGCCAGGCUAGCCACUCGUCUCGGAUGUUGUGUCUGAAAGCCGCUAAGGCCUCUGCAUCCGGACAGUCGACGAUUUGAUUUUUCUUUGUGAGGAACCAAGUCCAGAAUUGCCUAGCCGACUCUUCUGGCUGCUGAAUUAUGUGGCUCAAGUCAUCGGCGUCUAGUGGUCGCACAUAAGUGCCCUGAAAGUUGUUGAGGAAUGCGGCUUCCAGAUCUUCCCAACAGCUAAUGGAGUCCGCUGGCAAGCUGUUAAGCCAAUGCCGCGCUGGUCCUUUGAGCUUUAGUGGAAGAUAUUUGAUGGCGUGUAAGUCAUCACCGUGGGCCAUGUGGAUGUGGAGGAGGAAAUCCUCGAUCGAUACUGCAGGAUCUGUUGUGCCGUCGUAUGAUUCAAUAUUUACAGGUUUGAAACCUUCUGGGAAUUGAUGAUCCAUUACUUCGUCUCUGAAGCAUAAGGGGUGUGCGGCGCCUCUGUAGUGGGCUAUAUCGCGACGCAGCUCGAAUGGGUCUUGCCCGCUGUGUUCGGCCCGGCCGGAUUUGCUUUUACUGUAUCCGGCGUGACAUUUAUCGUCUCGCAGAGUUGUGCGCCCUCGUGAUCCGUAGAUCGAUCUUGCAUGCUUUGCUUUGUCCUCCAAUAUAUCUCGCAGGUCUGGCGUAUCUCCCCAUGCCUUUUUAUUUGAAUGGCGUCGGGGUGGAGGCUGAGUUUUUGGCUGGACUGCCUCUCUAUCGCGGCCACGAGGUGGCCGAUCCGGGCAGUAACCUGCACUUUGGGUAAUUCUUGGAGGGGUGCUUGAGUUUAUAUUCCUCGGCCGCGAGGACUUCAGUCCAUCUGUUAGUUAAGAGAUCUUGAUCAGCUUGAAGCUGCUGCUGCUUUUUCUUUAGGCUAUUUUCCGUGGCCAUAAGCCGGUGCUUGAAGCGCUCUUGUUCGAUGGGAUCCUCUGGUACAUCGAAUUCAUCAUCGCCGAGGCUUGCCUCGUCUUCGGAGGCGGGCGUGUAAUUGUCAUCCUCCUCCUCUCCGUCUGCCGCUCUUUCAGGAGGGUUGGCUCCUCCAUCCUCCUGCUCUAAAUCUUGCUGGAGGGGAUUAUUGUUGUCUUCGGCACUAUCCGGAGUGUUAUUAUCUCCUGUGCCGGUAUCACCACUUUUGCUUUGGCGGGACUUAGAGCGGCGCCGCUGACAUCGGCGCUUGGGUUGCUUCUUGGAGAGGUCAUCCUCCGUUAUCUCGUCGCCAUUGCCUUCUUUGGGUGUAUCCACCAUGUAUAUGUCGUAUGAUGAUGUGGCUUUCGAGUGCCCUAUGGGCGCUGGUUCAUGUUCAUCUCCUACAUCGUCGUCCAUACCAUCGAUGUCUUCGGAGUCGAAGUCGAGCAUGUCGGUUAAAUUAUCGACAGUGGCUACGAAGUGGGUGGUGGGUGGGCAUCGAAUUUCUUCGUCGUCCGCCUCCCAAUCCUGUUGGCCAUAGUCCGGCCAGGGCUCUCCUGACAAAGAGAGAGACUUUAGUGAAUUCAGAAUGUCACCGAAGGACGAGUGCUGCAAGAUAUCAGCGGCGGCGAAUUCCAUGAUCGGCGCCCAGUCGGAUUCAAUUGGCAGGGGCGCGGACGGUUCGGAGUCCGGAAAAGAGUCCGGCACCUUGGAGUCACGGGCUUUGCAGAGGAUUAGGCUGGUGUUCAACUCGAUCACCGUUGAGACUGCAGCCCCUGAGGCGGUGUCUAGCCACCCGUCCUCGACUGGCGCAGUUGGCUCCGAGCUAAGGGUCAGAGCUGAUGCGGGCGCGGCCUCUGGGGUACUGUCCGGUGGUAGAGCUAGGUCAUACCCAUCGUGACAGUGCAGCGCGCCCGGCUGUGGCUUGAAUCCGUCGAAGAUCAAGUCUCCGAGGAUGUCGGCCGUGUAGUUCAAACUUCCAAAUCUGACCUGAUGGCCAGGGGUGUAGCUUUCAAUCUGCUCCAGAUGGCCAAGCGAAUUAGCCCGUAGUGCAAAGCCGCCGAACACUGGACCGCAUCGUUGUUCAUGAUCGGAGGAGCCAUCGGGCCUAAAGGUGACGACACCGAGGAAAUCUCAAUGGAAGCACCAAUGUCGGUGUCAAAUCCGGCGGAUCUCGGGUAGGGGGUCCCGAACUGUGCGUCUAGGCCGGAUGGUAACAGGAGGCAGGGGACACAAUGUUUUACCCAGGUUCGGGCCCUCUUGAUGGACGUAAAACCCUAUGUCCUUCUUGAUUAAUAUUGAUGAUAUGUGUAGUACAAGAGUAGAUCUACCACGAGAUCAGAGAGGCUAAACCCUAGAAGCUAGCCUAUGGUAUGAUUGUAUACGUCCUACGGACUAAAACCCUCCAGUUUAUAUAAACACCGGAGAGGGUUAGAGUUACACAAGGUCGGUUGCAAAGGAGGAGAUAUCCAUAUCCGUAUUGCCUAGCUUGCCUUCCACGCCAAGUAGAGUCCCAUCCGGACACGGGACGGAGUCUUCAAUCUUGUAUCUUUAUAGUCCAACAGUCCGGCUGUCCGGAGACCCCCUAAUCCAGGACUCCCUCACCCCCACUCCCUAUCGAACCCUAGCCCAAUCGCCCCACCUCCCCCACACCCCCUCGCCAGCCUCCCCACCUCUUGAUCCCAUCUGGAUCGGGGAGGGGAUCACCCCCAUCGACCCCGUCGCCGUCGCCGGAUCGCCCGUCAGCGUCGCCAGGCCUCCUCCCCGCCGCCCGUCUCCGGCUCGCCUCCCCUCUCGCUCCUCUUUCCCGACCCGAUCAGGAUCGUGAACGAGCAAUGAGCGCGACGCCCCCCCUUCAUCGGCGCCAUCACCGUGCGCCACCACCACCGCCUGAAGACCUCGCCGUCGCUGACCUUGUGUCGUCUCCUGGUAUCCCUUCCCGACUCGCGUCCUCAAGCCAGGCCGACCCCCUUCUCGGCAAUGCUGUGAGACGCCCCCCGUUUCCCUCCUCUUUCCACCGUGUUCACCGCGCCGCCUGACGAAGCUACGUACCUAGGGUAGGGGCAUGGACCUGUCCUAAGAGCCCUACCCAAGGACAUCCCUGGAAGAAGUCACCUUUCAAUCGACUUGAAGGUACCCACUCGACGGGUUUAAGACACUCGACCAAGAAGCUACCACUCGACAUGAAGCCAAUCACUCGACUGCCAGGAGAUCUAAAGUCAUUCCACGGGCAAACGGUCGGCUAUUAAGUAGUCUUUAUGGUCAUUAUAGCACUUUAUUACCAGCAUUACCAGUAACGCCCCGCCUUAAUGUACAUUGAACCCUUGGUAACGUAGGCUGGCCGGGGUCCUGGCGCGCUCUAUAUAAGUCACCCCCUCCUCCGAGACAAGGGUUCGCACCUCUAUUGUUCACAUGCCUAUAAUCCAAUCGACCGCCUCCGGGCACUGAGACGUAGGGCUGUUACUUCCUCCGCGAAGGGCCUGAACUCGUACACCUUGGUGUGUUUACAACUUCCCAAUAGCUGAGAUCUAGCCUCUCCAUACACACCCCCCUACAUCACUGUCAGAGUUAGAACCACAAUAGUUGGCGCCCACCGCGGGGCCAGAAUCUUAGCGCUUACUUGGAGAAGUUGCGAUUCUUCUGAUCCCUUUGAUCAUGGUUUCAUGCGGAGUUUUGGUGGAGGGGCGCGAGAUCCGUCUCGGCGCGCUCACAUUCAUCGCCGACGACUCCGCUUGGUUUCAGGAGGCUCCACUCGACAUCGACGUGCUCCCCGUCCGUGGUGCGACGCACUUCCGCGCAUGCGUUCGUGGCGUCCUCCUGCGGCAGCCGUCGACCCAGUAUCGGUCGGCCCUCGUGUCGUCUCCCCGCUCUGUCUCCCUCCGACGCAAGCGCUUUGGUAGGUCGAGACUUUAGAGGUGGGUGAGGCAUGCCGUGGCUCGCCAGUCGGCCGCCCCACAAGUCGCGGCAAUCGAGCCCGACAAAUCCCUCUGCAGCCUGUUCGACUGGCUCCGCGGAGACUUCAUCCGAGUGUGACAGCAGAGACCCAGCGGCUGAGGUUCUGGCGGUCGAUGGGACACACUGUCCUCCCGGUUUCCCUCGCGCUAAUGGAGGCGCGGGUGGGGGCGACCCGUCGCAUCCCCACGAUGAGUAUCUCCCCGAAUGUCUCACGGCAUCGCAGCGAGAGGAACUUCACCGCCGGAACAUAGACGCACUCCACACUCCUAUCGUCGGAGAAACCCCCGAGGCCCGGGCCUUGGAGGACGCGCGCUUGGCUAACUUGGCUGAGCGCACUCGACUGGAGAAUCUCCAGCUAAUACUCGAUGAGCAAGCGCGCCAGUGAGCUCCCGAGUCCAGUCGACGUCAGCUCUUUCCGCCGAUGCAGGUAUAUUGAACCCUAGUUCAGAAUUUGGCCGCCGCGGCCCGUAUAGCAGAGUCAAUUCAGCCCUCCCAGUCAGAGGCUGGCAGGGGCUUGUUGCAGAUCAGAGCAUUGCUCCGGGCGGCGGGGAACCAGAAUUCCGCUGUUUCUCAGUCGCAGAAUAGGAUCCACAGUCGAUCCGUUGCAACAGAUACAGUCCAGUCGGCUCACAGCCCGAGAUCGCCCCCGAGGCGUGAGGGACAUGGAGACCGGCACGAUCAGUACAGAAGAAAUGAGCAGUAUGAUCACCGAUUCGAUCGUGAGGAUCGACGUCGAGUGCCAACCCCUCCCCCGAGGAGUGGGUCAUAUGCGCCUCGAUAGCGAGAUGACAGGCGCCCUCAUAGUGUUGGGCAGAGGAUUCCAGUCGACCCCAGGGACCCAGGCUUUGAUGCGAGAUCCAUCCUUGAUCAAGGUCUGGUUGACAGGAACGGGGCUCACCGAGAAUGCCAGGACAGAGAUGCGCCUGCCAGCAGCAGAGUGCGUGUUUCAGGGACAGAGUGUUUCAGUCGAGCCAUCAGAGCCACAGUGAUUCCUCCCAACUUCAGGUUGGCGACUGGAGUCAGCUAGUUCACCGGUGAGUCUAAGCCUGACACUUGGCUCGAAGAUUACCGAGUGGCUGUACAGAUUGGCAGUGGCAAUGAUGAGGUGGACAUGAAGCAUUUGCCUCUCAUGUUAGAGGGCUCAGCCAGAGCAUGGCUAAAUCAGUUAGUGCCCAGCAGCAUUUACACUUGGGAGGACCUCUCCCGAGUGUUUGUCACAACCUUUGAGGGAACAUGCAAGCGACCUGCAGGCCUUACAGAGUUGCGGUCUUGCACGCAGAAACCGAAUGAAACGCUGAGGGAUUACAUCCAGAGGUGGAUCACAUUGCAUCACACAGUUGAGAAUGUUCCAGAUCAUCAAGCAGUUUGUGCCUUCAAAGAAGGCGUUAAGUACAGAGAAUUGAAUCUGAAGUUCGGUCGAACUGGAGAGAUGUCUCUGAAUCGGAUGAUGGAGAUUGCCACCAAAUACGCUAAUGGUGAAGACGAAGAUCGCCUCCGGAGUGGCAAGCGCAAGGCAGUCGCCCAAGAAACCGGAGGAAACUCCAGUCAGAAACAGAAGCGGAAGGCUGAGCCAGCCGCCCCUGGGGAGGCCCUGGCCGUAACCCAGGGAAAUUUCAAGGGAAAACCCAAGGGCCCCUGGAAGCCCAAGAAAGUCAAGGAUCAAGAUGGAAAUGAUGUUUUGGAUCUGCCAUGUCACUCCACACCAAGAAAGAUGAAGAGGGUAAUUUUAUUUACCCAAAGCAUACCACUCGACAGUGCCAGCUCCUGAUCCAGCAGUUUCAGGGCAAGCAACCCAAAGAUAAGGAAAAAGAGCCAGACAGAGUUGAGGACAAGGAUGAUAGUGACGAUGGAUACCCCCAAGUCAAUUCCACCCUGAUGAUUUUUGCUGAUGUCGAAAGCAAAAGUCGACUGAAAGUCAUUAAUCGUGAAGUGAAUAUGGUUGCUCCGGCAACACCUAGUUAUCUGAAGUGGUCUCAGGCUGCCAUAACAUUCGACCAGUCUGAUCACCCUACGCACAUUGCCACCCCUGGGAGGCAAGCUUUGGUGGUCGACCCAGUUGUCGAAGGCACUCGACUGACCAAAGUCCUGAUGGAUGGUGGCAGUGGCCUGAACAUACUGUAUGCUAAAACAUUGAAAGGGAUGGGCAUUCCGAUGUCCGGGCUCAGUACCAGCAACAUGAGCUUCCACGGAGUCAUUCCCGGGAAGUAAGCCGAAUCACUCGGCCAGAUUGCUCUUGAUGUGGUUUUCGGUGAUUCAAAGACUUACCGCAAGGAAAAGUUGACAUUCGAGGUUGUGGACUUCCAAAGUGCUUAUCAUGCCAUUUUGGGCAGACCAGCUUAUGCACGCUUCAUGGCCUGACCAUGUUAUGUGUAUCUCAAAUUGAAGAUGCCUGGUCCUAAAGGUGUGAUCACUGUUACAGGCAAUCGGAAGAAGGCAGAAGAGUGUUUUCAGAAAGGCUCAAAGAUUGCUGACGCUCAGAUGGCAGUGGUUGAGCUGCAAGAGUAUCAGAAGACUGCAGAUCCGAGUGAGUUGCUACGAGCUAAGAAGCCCACUUCGGAGUCAGCUUUUCAGUAGUCUGGUGAAAUGAAGGCAGUUCACAUUCACCCGACCAACCCCGAGGCUGCCCCGACUCACAUCUCAAAGACGCUCGACUCCAAAUAGGAAGAAGUGCUCAUCCAGUUCCUCCGUGAGAACUGGGACAUCUUCGCAUGGAAGCCUUCUGACAUGCCUGGAAUAACCAGGGGGCUGGCUGAGCACCGUCUACGAGUCGACCCAAAGUUCAAGCCUAUGAAAGAACAUCUUCGACGGUCCGCCGUCCAAAAGAGGAAAGCUAUUGGCGAGGAGGUGGCUCGGCUCUUAGCAGCAGAGUUCAUCCGAGAGAUGUACCACUCUGAGUGGCUCGCCAAUGUUGUCAUGGUCCCCAAGAAGGACAAGUCGCUUCGCAUAUGCAUCGACUUUAAACAUAUCAAUCGGGCCUGCCCGAAAGAUCAUUUUCCUCUCCCUCGCAUCGACCAAAUAGUCGACUUGACCGCGGGGUGUGAGCGAUUGUCUUUUCUAGACGGCUAUUCCGGGUACCAUCAGAUCCGUCUGUAUGGACCCGAUGAGAUCAAAACAGCUUUCAUCACUCCAUUCGGGUGCUUCCGUUAUGUCACCAUGCCCUUCGGCCUCAAGAACGCUGGAGCCACGUUCAUGAGGAUGAUUCAGAAGUGUUUGCUCACUCAAAUCAGUCGGAACGUGGAAGCAUACAUGGAUGAUAUUGUGGUCAAGUCGCGGAAAGGUUCCGACCUGCUGACUGACCUUGCUGCAACCUUUGCCAACCUUAGGAGGUAUGAUAUCAAGCUUAAUCCAUCAAACUGCACAUUCGGAGUUCCGGGUGGAAAGUUACUCGGUUUUCUCGUUUCCGAAUGAGGAAUCAACGCCAAUCCCGAGAAAGUUGGCACCAUACUCCGGAUGAAGCGCCCUGUGCGUGUGCACGAUGUCCAGAAGCUUAUGGGUUGCUUGGCCGCUCUAAGUCGAUUCAUUUCUCGUCUCAGUGAAAAGGCAUUGCCUCUUUACCGACUGAUGAAGAAGUCUGACAAGUUCGAGUGGACUCCAGAAGCUGAUGCAGCGUUUGCAGACCUCAAAGCUCUGCUCUCCACCCAGCCGGUGCUUGCUGCCCCAAUCAGUAAAGAGCCUUUGCUGCUUUACAUUGCAGCCACAGGACAAGUUGUCAGUACAGUACUUAUGGUCGAGCGGGAAGAUGAAGGAUAGGCCUUCAGAGUUCAACGCCCAGUAUAUUAUGUGUCUGAAGUUUUGACACCUUCAAAACAAAGAUAUCCUCAUUAUCAGAAGCUUGUAUACGGGAUUUAUAUGACCACGAAGAAGGUUGCACAUUACUUCUCUGACCACUCCAUUACAGUCGUCAGCGACGCCCCACUGUCAGAGAUUCUGCAUAACAGAGAUGCAACUGGUCGAGUGGCGAAGUGGGCGAUUGAACUCCUUCCCCUAGAUAUCAAGUUUGAAGCAAAUAAGGCUAUCAAGUCCCAAGCAAUUGCAGAUUUCAUCACCGAGUGGAUCGAACAGCAGCUUCCGACUCAAGUUCACCCGGAGCACUGGACCAUGUUCUUCGAUGGAUCUAAGAUGCUGAAUGGUUCCGGUGCUGGGGUAGUAUUGGUCUCCCCCCGAGGAGAUAAGCUCAGAUAUGUUCUCCAGAUUCACUUUGAUUCCUCCAAUAAUGAAGCAGAAUAUGAAGCACUUUUGUAUGGGUUGCGCAUGGCCAUUUCACUUGGCGUCCGUCGCCUCAUGGUCUAUGGCGACUCAGAUUUGGUGGUUAAUCAGGCGAUGAAGGAGUGAGACGUCAGAAGUCCGGCAAUGACUGGUUAUUGCAAUGUAGUGAGAAAGCUAGAAAAGAAAUUCGAGGGGUUAGAGCUUCAUCACAUCCCCCGACUGAAAAAUCAGGUAGCUGACGAUUUGGCAAAGAUAGGCCCCAAGAGAGAAGCCAUUCCCAGCAACGUGUUCCUGGAACACAUUCAUUCGCCAUCAGUCCAAGAAGAUCCUUUUACAGAAGAAGCCCCGCAGCCGAAAAGUGCCACAGAUCCGACUGAAGUCGAAGUCCCUGCUGUGGUCGACCUAAUCAUGGAAGUCUUCGCAAUCACUCCCGACUGGACGAUACCGUACAUCGCGUAUAUCCUAAGGAAAGAACUCCCGGAGGACGAGGAAGAGGCUCGACAGAUCGUCCGCCGAUCCAAAGCCUUCACAGUCACAAGGGGACAGUUGUAUAGAGAAAGCGCGACUGGGAUCGGUCAGAAGUGCAUAACACUAGAAGAGGUUCAGAUAAUCCUUGACGACAUCCACUCGCGGACCUGUGGUCACCAUGCGUCUUCUCGGACCAUUGUGGCUAAAGCAUACCGAGCGGGAUUUUACUGGCCAAGAGCAAAUGAGAUGGCAAAAGAGAUAGUCGACCAGUGUGGAGGGUGCUAGUUCUACUCCAACAUGUCACACAAGCCUGCGUCAGCCCUGAAGACCAUUCCACUCGUCUGGCCCUUUGCUGUCUGGGGACUGGACAUGGUUGGUCCACUAAGAACAGGCAGGAGCGGUUUCACUCAUGUGCUUGUGGUAGUCGACAAGUUUACCAAAUGGAUUGAGGCUAAGCGCAUCAAGAAUCUUGAUGCUUGCACUACUAUCAGUUUCGUCAGAGGGCUAACAUUCAGAUAUGGAGUCCCGCAUAGCAUCAUCACUGACAAUGGGUCAAACUUUGAUUCGGACAAGUUCAGAGCUUUUUGCGCCUCUCAAGGCACACGAGUCGACUACGCAUCGGUCGCCCAUCCCCAGUCGAAUGGACAAGCAGAGAGAGCAAAUGGUUUGAUUCUCAAAGGACUAAAGCCUCGACUGAUGCGCGAUCUCAAGCACGCGGCAGGUGCUUAGGUCGACGAGCUUCCGUCAGUUCUGUGGGGAUUGAGGACCACCCCGAACCGGUCGACUGGAGGAACUCCAUUCUUUCUGGUUUAUGGAGCCGAGGCAGUUCUGCCGAGUGAUCUUCUUCACAACGCACCCCGAGUCGAACUUUAUACCGAAGAUGAAGCAGAACAAGCCCGGCAAGACGCAGUCGACCUACUAGAAGAAGAGAGGGAGAUGGCCAUGAUCAGAUCGACCAUUUAUCAGCAAGACUUGCGUCGAUUCCACGCUAGGAAUGUGAAGAGUCGAGCCUUCCAAGAAGGAGAUUUGGUCCUCCUAGUGGAUCAACAGAAACCACACAAGCUUGCUCCUACUUGGGAAGGCCCCUUCAUCGUCACCAGAGUCCUCCACAAUGGAGCGUAUCACCUCUACAAUGUUGAUCGCCAGAUCGAUGAGCCGCGAGCUUGGAAUGCGGAACUGCUCCGCCCCUUUUACACUUGAGUUCUCCCUUGGACGAGAUGUAAUAAGAAAAAAUUUCUGCAGUUCAUUUUUAUCAAAGGCAAGAGUGUUCCAAUAAUUGCUGUCACUUUUGUUUGCAUACGAAAUCCCCCAGUGGGUGACUUAGCUGCGAAUCCGUUUCGCCUAAGUUUGAAAAAUCCUACCGAGUGGAGAGCCAGAUUCCCACUCGGGGGCUUAGCUCCAGCCCAGUGCUUGCCUAAGUGUUCAAAAAUCCUACCAAGUGAGAGCAAUCCUCCCACUUGGGGGCUUAGCUGCAGUCCAGUACUCGCCUAAGUUCUCCCACUUAGAGACUUAGCUGCAGUCAGGCACUCGCCUAAGUUUGAAAAAAUCCUACCGAGUGGAGAGCAAUCCUCCCACUCGAGGGCUUAGCUGCAGUCCAGUACUCGCCUAAGUUCUCCCACUUAGAGACUUAGCUACAGUCAGGCACUCGCCUAAGUUUGAAAAAAUCCUACCGAGUGGAGAGCAACCCUCCGACUCGGGGGCUUAGCUGCAGUCCAGUACUCACCAAAGUUCUCCCACUUAGAGACUUAGCUANNNNNNNNNNNNNNNNNNNNNNNNNNNNNNNNNNNNNNNNNNNNNNNNNNNNNNNNNNNNNNNNNNNNNNNNNNNNNNNNNNNNNNNNNNNNNNNNNNNNNNNNNNNNNNNNNNNNNNNNNNNNNNNNNNNNNNNNNNNNNNNNNNNNNNNNNNNNNNNNNNNNNNNNNNNNNNNNNNNNNNNNNNNNNNNNNNNNNNNNNNNNNNNNNNNNNCUCUCCUUCCGAGCUACGCCACAAGUACAACAUGCGCUCUGCAAGGAGGACGAGGUGCAGGUCGACUGCUACCCUCUCCUUCCGAGCUACGCCACCAAUUCAAAAUCCUACUGAGUGGAGAGCAAACCUCCCACUCGGGGGCUUAGCUGCAGCCCAGUGCUCGCCUAAGUAUUUGAAAUCCUACCGAGUGGAGAGCAAACCUCCCACUCAGGGGCUUAGCUGCAGCNNNNNNNNNNNNNNNNNNNNNNNNNNNNNNNNNNNNNNNNNNNNNNNNNNNNNNNNNNNNNNNNNNNNNNNNNNNNNNNNAAAUCCUACCGAGUGGAGAGCAAACCUCCCACUCGGGGGCUUAGCUACAGCCCAGUGCUCGCCUAAGUAUUUAAAAAUCCUACCGAGUGGAGAGGAAACCUCCCACUCGGGGGCUUAGCUGCAGCCCAGUGCUCGCCUAUGUGUUUAGAAAUCCUACCGAGUGGAGAGCAAACCUCCCACUCGGGGGCUUAGCUGCAGCCCAGUGCUCGCCUAAGUGUUUAGAAAUCCUACCGAGUGGAGAGCAAACCUCCCACUCGGGGGCUUAGCUGCAGCCCAGUGCUCGCCUAAGUGUUUAGAAAUCCUACCGAGUGGAGAGCAAACCUCCCACUCGGGGGCUUAGCUGCAGCCCAGUGGUCGCCUAAGUGUUUAAAAAUCCUACCGAGUGGAGAGCCAGACUCCCACUCGGGGGCUUAGCUGCAGCCUAGCGCUCGCCUAAGUGUUUAAAAAUCCUACCGAGUGAGAGCAAACCCCUCACUCGGAGGGCUUAGCUGCAGCCCGGUGCUCACCUAAGUACAGGACACAACCCAAUCCGCAAGAAGUUACGCCACAAAUACAAGGUUAUUCCGAGUGAAGAUCAAGUUGCACUCGACAGAUCAAACCAUGAAGAUAUCCAACGAGAAAUCAAGUUCGGAUAAAGCCUAAAGGUCCCAGACCUCAGAUCAAAGUACUCGAGCCCUCGGCUCGGCAGAGUUUAACGGUUACAAAUCCACUCAGCAUUCCGAGGCAAAUUUAAAGUGAAGCACGACGAACUCGUCCAAGUCGAUCCCGUCUGCAAUACGAGUGGCAGCAGCGAUGAAAGUCUCCAUGAAGUCUUGAAAGCUGUGCUUCCUGGUAUUGGCAACUUGGAUGGCGGCCGGCUUUUCUUCUCGCGCCUCCUUGCAAUGGACGCGGACCAGAGACAGAGCGACAUCAGCACCACAUCUAGCAGAAGAUUUCUUCCAUUCCGCCACUCAACCCGGGACUUCAUUCUGUCGAGCCAUCAGAGACUCGAGGUCGUUCUGAAGCAUCAUCCCAGGCCAGAGUGAUGUGUCAAUCCGCGACAUCGCAACCUUCAGUCGAGCAAGAUAGUCAACAACACUGGUAACACGAGACUCCAGUCGGAGCACGUUCAUAGCAGCUUCAUCCUUCACGAGAGAAUUGGCGGGGUCCAAGCCUGGCUCCACUCGACUGGUUUCCUCUUCGAAGUUCUGGCAGAAUUCUGCAAACACGAUUCAAGAGUCAGACAUUGGCUCUACACAGGCUUGGCAACUGCAAGACAGUCGGGGCAGAGUAAUUACCUUCGAGCAUGACGAACAGCUUCUUGGUGAGUCCACCGAGAUAAGCCUCCAGAUCAUUUACCUUCCCCGCCAGCUUACCCGCCUGGUCGUGUAGAACCAUCUUUUCAUUCUUCAGUCGGCUGACCUCUUGAUUAGCUGUCUCGAGAGCAGUUUUCAGCCUCGAGUUCUCCUGUUCAAGAGUUCCGACCGAAGCCAUUUUCUCUUCUCCAAGCUUCGUUCUGCUCAAGGCCUCCUUCUGUGAUUCUGCAAGAUCUUGAUCCUUCUUCUUCAGAGCUUCUUCCAGUUUAUCUGCGGCACGUCGAGUGAAAUCAACAUCAAGAAUGGACAAGCAAGAAAAAUCACUCGUCAAGAAUGGAGAACCUCACCAGCCAUACCUUUUGCUUCUUCUUGCGCCUUCCUCAAAUUCUCUUGAGCAAGCUUCAAGUUAAGGUUGAGCUGGAUCUGCUUAUUCUCCAACUCAGUAUAGCGAGCUACAAGUUCACAGGAUUUCUGCAAAAAGAAAAAUCAGUGGACAGACGUCCAAGAUAAGUUGCUUCCCAAUAACUAAAAGACAACGAUGGCGUUUCUAAGACUAUAGCCGAAUCUAAAACAUUCGACAGUAGUCUCGGGGACUACACCCAGUGGGUGCACUCUGCGUGCCCCCAUUGUAAAAAAAGUCGACUGCCCGCAGUCGACCGGAUACAGUUCCAUUCGACAUGGCCUGACCAGACCGAAUGAAGAAAUACAGCUACAACAACACAAUAUAAAGACUACAGUCGACUGCCAGCAGUCCACCAUAGUCUCGGGGACUACACCCAGUGGGUGCACUUAGCGUUCCCCCACUCGUCCAAGAAUUGGCAGACACACCCAGUGGGUGUACAGAUAUAAAGAUCUUCAAAAAAAAAGAUUCUUCAAACAGCAUAUCGUAACAGACCAAGUGUUGAGUCGACUGACCUGGACGUUACUCUGAAGAGCCGAACUCGCGUCAUAAGCCGCUUGGCUGGCCUCCCAAGCCGCUUUCACUUGUUCCAUCAUAAUCCCCGCCUGGCGUAUGGCCUCUUUUGCAGCAGCUGCUUGGUCCUCAGGGACGGGGUACGUGGCAAAAAGCGAAGGCGGAUCCGCAGUCGACGUCAAGGGCCGCACCCUCGUCAGAGGAAUGGCGAAAGUCACAGAAGCCCGAGUGGUUUCACCACCGUCUCGGGCUACGGCCUCAGGCGCCGGAGUGGAUUGUGGGGUCUCGCCAGCCGACGCUCCCCUGUUCCUUCUCACUCUCAGCGGCACGUCAUCGUCGUCAUCCGGAAGGUUGAUAACAUGAUAAGGAGCUACAAGAAAAAAUUCAAUCGACCAGAGUUGCAAUAAGUGUCCAGUCGACUGAAGGCAGAACAUCAGUAAUCAUACCAGGGUGGAGGUAACAGCAUCCUCCAUCUCUUGGUCGUCGUCCUUGGCAGAGACCUCCGAAGUAGGAGCACUGCAAAUCUCGAAAGUCAGUCAGUUGGCUCAAUGAAUCGACCAAGGAUCUGUCCACGGUCGACAAAGGAAAACAAGUUUUGUUAUUACCCAGAAAUGGUGGGGACAGCCAUCUUCAUCUUGGGCAGAGCCUUGGGCGGCUUGGACGGCGUCGCGCGUGGGUGCUUGGGAGCCUUUCCAGUCAGCGUAGGAGAAGAGGUUCGAGGGCGUUUCGACAACUGCCCAACAGGAGCAGUCGCCUACCACGUUCCCGCGCUGGAUCAUGUGUGAGCUUGGAUCGCCUCUCCCGGUGGGGGGGGGGGGGGGGUCAACCUCCUCCUCCUCCUCUUCGCUGGAGUUGACGUCGUCGUCUCCCUCUCCUUCGCCAUCGGACUCCCACUCGCCUUGAUCGUCUCCACUCUCACAUCCGCUCGCCUCCCCUUCCUCAGUUGGCUCCUGUGCCCCGUUGGGUGUCGAGUACAUCUCAGUAGUCGCCUGGAAAACAACAGACAAGACAAAAGUUAGUCGACCAAUUCAAAGAAGACCAAUGAAGAAAACAAGAUUUCAAUCGGGAGCGUAAAGUCAGACCUGGUCCACUUCGUAUUGUUGUCGAGUGGAGAAACCCUCCUGGCGCCUCGGGGGUUGUCUUUGUUUCCUGUGAUGCUCGUCAGCCACCCCUCCAACAUCUCAUCAGUGACCUCCUCCGGGUGGAUCCGAGUGGUGUCUUCGAGGCCCGAGUACAGCCACAUCGGGUGGCCGCGAGCCUGGAGCGGUUGGAUGCGCCUCCGAAGAAAGACCUCCAGCAAGUCCAUGCCAGUCACGCCAUCACGGACGAGCUGAACCACUCGACCAACCAGCACUUUGAAUUGGGUCUUUUCUUCUGGCGUCACUUUCAGAGAAGCAGGUUUUUGAGCUCGGUCGAGAGAGAAAUGGGGAAGCCCGGUCGACUGUCCUGGGGUCACCUGGUCUUUGCAGUAAAACCAGGUCGCCUGCCAACCACGGACCGACUCUGGGAAAAUGAUAGAUGGAAAACAACUCUUUCCCCUCGUCUGGAUCGCGAGGCCCCCGCACAGCUGGAUCACUUGCGUCCUUUCCUCACUCGACUUGGCCUUCUUGACCGAUUGGGAGCGGCAAGUAAAGAUGUGCUUAAAGAGCCCCCAAUGGGGGCGGCAACCCAGGAAACCCUCACACAAGGAAAUGAAGGUAGCAAGGUACACGAUAGAGUUGGGAGUGAAGUGGUGGAGCUGCGCUCCGAAGAAAUUUAGAAAACUCCGGAAAAAAGGAUGAGGAGGCAGAGAAAACCCUCGAUCGAUGUGGGUGGUGAGAAGGACACACUCACCAUCACGGGGUUGAGGCUCGACUUCUCCCCCCUGGAGACGCGCAGCCUCGUAAGGAAUGACUCCCCCCUCAACCAUAUCGUCGAGGUCUUCCUGCCGAAUCACCGACGGCAUCCAAUCGCCCUGGAUCCAGCCUCUGGGCAGAGCAGUCCUUGAGGAAGAUCCGCCCCAAGCGGACUUCUUCCCUUUCCCCUGCACCGACGCCUUCUUCGCGCGCUCCAGAGCAGACGUCUUGCCCUUCACCAUCGUCGCCGGCGAAUCUCAAACGGGUCUGCGGCGCUAGGGUGAGAGCGGAGGUGGCGGAGGACUUCGCGAAGGGAGAAAGAAGAGAAAGAAGAGAAAGGAGAGAGCACUGUUCGGGAACCCGAGCAGGCGGCUUAUAAGAGGCCGCUCCUGAGUGGCUGACUGGUAGGCCCAGGCUAUCCCGUCAAAUCCCGCAGUAGACGCGCGCGCAGCUCGUGGCGGAAAAGGUGGCACGGGAAUCGAGGAGCUUCUGCCUUAUCACAUCCGAUUACUGCGGCCGCGCCCGUCCCGCUCGCUCCCCGAUGUUCAAAUCCCGCGAAAUCCGCGGGCUGCGGAACAACUCAUCAAAUAGAAGAUCCCUCUCGUGCCGGCACUCGGUAUUUCACAAGUAAGGAAAUUCACUCGACGGGAGACCAAGAAUGGAUCAAGGCGACCGAAAGAAGUUGACAACGUCAUCCUUGGCGAUAGAUCUAGUACAAGACGUCCAUAUGACGCUAAAAACCAGUCGGAAGGACCCCCAACUCCUUCCCCACUCGAACCUCGAUCCAUUCGGGGGCUAAUGACGAAGCUACGUACCUAGGGUAGGGGGAUGGACCUGUCCUAAGAGCCCUACCCAAGGACAUCCCUGGAAGAAGUCACCUUUCAAUCGACUUGAAGGUACCCACUCGACGGGUUUAAGACACUCGACCAAGAAGCUACCACUCGACACGAAGCCAAUCACUCGACUGCCAGGAGAUCUAAAGUCAUUCCACGGGCAAACGGUCGGCUAUUAAGUAGUCUUUAUGGUCAUUAUAGCACUUUAUUACCAGCGUUACCAGUAACGCCCCGCCUUAAUGUACAUUGAACCCUUGGUAACGUAGGCUGGCCGGGGUCCUGGCGCGCUCUAUAUAAGCCACCCCCUCCUCCGAGACAAGGGUUCGCACCUCUGUUAUUCACACGCCUAUAAUCCAAUCGACCGCCUCCGGGCACCGAGACGUAGGGCUGUUACUUCCUCCGCGAAGGGCCUGAACUCGUACACCUUGUUGUGUUUACAACUUCCCAAUAGCUGAGAUCUAGCCUCUCCAUACACACCCCCAACAUCACUGUCAGAGUUAGAACCACGACACCGCCUGCCGUGCCCCUCGCCGCACGCCCACCACCGCGCCAGCCCCCACUCUGUGGACGACCCUAGCCGCGCCCGCGCCGUGAUCCCCUUUUCCGCCCUACCUUCCCGCACUCGCCGCGGUCCCGAUGCUCCCCCGCGCCCUCUUUCAGGGGCGCCGACUGCCCCUGUCCCAUUACUCGCCGCCGCGCCUCGCCACCGCUCUACUGCUACGUUACUACUGCGCUGCGGCCGCCGCCUCUUCCCGCUGCUCCGCUAGCGCCGAAGCUCCCGGCUGGCUCUGCCACUGGUCACGUUUAACUACCGGUCUAAAUGGCCUAACCUCCCGGCAAAUGAACCCCCAGUAACCCACUGACACCGGGAGCCACAUCCCCUAAUUAACCAUUAAUAAAUUAAAACUCUUAAAUUAACAUUAGUGUAUGACAUGUGCGUCCCCUGUUAAUUAAUAAUUUACAUUAGUGUAUGACAUGUGCGUACCCUGUUAAAUAAACUGAUUUAAUUAAAAUCUAUUAACUUCGAGUCUAUGACAUAUCACUACUUGGGAAAAUCCUAGCAGUAGCGUGGGUAUUUUUCCUAUCAGUUGCGCCGGAUACCGCUCUACUGAUAAGGCACUACAGCUAACAUGUAGCAGUAAUGCGUGUCAUCCAACGCUACUGCUGUACAUGGCUAGCAGUAGCGAGCUUUAGUGCAAAGCGCUGCUGCUAAUAUCUGCAGCGCUUUUCAGCAUGAAGUGAUACUGGUAAGGGACCUCUACUACUAACUUUAUUCCCCUCGCUACUGCUAGUUUUAUUAGUUUCUGUUUUUUUCUGCAUAUUUCUUUUGUAUUUGAACAGGCUUUAUACAAUAAUAUUUAGCGUAUCAUACACAUACAAAUGUAAUCAUAGCAUAUACAUACAAAUAGUCUCGUCAAAUCAUGUCAUCAUCAUAAUCAUCAUCCAUCACAAAGUGGUCUCUCGUCAUCAUCUCUAAAAUAGCGAUACAAGUCUCGAUUACUUGCAACUACAUUGUCAUCCGUCUAAACAAUGAUAUACGCGAGAAGAGCUAUCACUAUGAGUGAGAGCGGAACUAUGCAGUACAUGAGUUUGUAUCCCUCUCUCGCAUUAGCGUGAACCUAAACUAACUACUAGUUGUCGCUCGGAAACCAGAAACCGGUACACCUGGGCCUGACACUCCGUCCACUCAUCUUAUACUCCUGGCGUAGCACUUCUGUGCCAUCGAUGAUCUAUGCACCUGCAUCGUCACAUGAGUCGAUGAUAUGCAACAUAUAUAGUUGAGCAAUAGAAACAGACAGACUUGGCAAAAAUAGAAGCAACAUAUCAUAAGCAUAAAUAACAAAGUUCAUCAUACCCAAAAUGCCCUAACUAGAGUGAUCUUCGCUAGUCGAGGAGGACGGUUUAAUUACAUCACAAAUAAUGUUUCAUCUUGCAUAACUCAAAGUGCCAUCAUACAGAAAGUAUGAACUAAACGGACACAUUGUCAUAUGUCGACAAUCACUCCAACAUGUCGUGCCAUCGAUCCAAGUCAAGGAGAUAGUCCCCGAGCUUAGUGAAAGGCUUCAGGUUGAGACGCUGAGCGGCAACGCGUGUUCGGACGUCUUCCCUCGACAUUUUUCCUUCUUCAUAGAACAUCCCUGUUUUUUCGAUGACCUCCCUCAUGAUGAUUUGGGCAAGUUCGCACUGGAAGUGAUAGAACUCAUCUUGAAGUCGAUGAUCCUCGAUAUCUCCUAAGUUCUUUGCCCAUUGCAGAAUAUGGGCAUCGCCGAAUCUAGGUGUCAUGCAAAGGUUCUGGUGAUCCCGUAUGUACUCCAUCAUGUGGUGUAGGACAUAGAAUCCAUCAUUAAGAGAAUCACUCAGUUGCUGGAUACAGCAGAAGCCGGUCUUAUGGCCGAAGGCGGGCCUGCCGUCCCUUUUCUUCUUGUCCUUGACCUCUCCACCCCGUGCACCGUAGUAAAACAUAGCACCGUCGAGAACAUACUUGAUGUGGGUGUAAUCCUUUUUUUUAAUGUUCUUCGAUGAGUCCAAGUAAAGAGCGUGGGAGUAUCGGGGGUAGAGGAUGAUGAGGAUGGUGCACCCGCCGCUGCGCAAAAUAAGUACACCUCAAAUUAAUUAGCCUCCACCGUGCAAAUGAAUGAUUGAAAUCGUAGGAAGGAUAUCCGCGUGGAUGACUUACAGGGGAUGAUAAGGCACAAGAAUCACCUCCUUGUCCUUAUUGGCACGCAUGAAAUUGACGAUGUAUUCCUCGCGUAUUCACGGUGCUUUGCGUGGACUCACAAGAAGACCUCGUGCAUGAAGUACCGAUCAGUGACACAGAUAUGAGGUAUUUGCUCAACCCCGAUGAGGUAGUUCAUGUGCAAGGCAUAAAGGUGGACGAAUGUAAAAUCCAGCUUCUUUAAGUGAAACAUGUCGAAGAUGUAAUCCAAUCGAAGGAAGAACUUGUUCGAGGGGAAUGUGUCGAUGUACGACAAUUGCAGCGACACGUUAACCACGGAGAGUGGGUAUGCUGGAUUUUUUGAGGCAAUGAGGCCUUUCUCUAUCAGCAACACAUCAUCAUGAAGUCUCCUUAUAUCGCCAAAUCAGGCCCCUAGCGCUGCUUUAGGUAGGAUUGGUUAACCGGGGAUACGCCAUAUUGCCGCACCGAGGAUAUCUAUACGGUCUUGAACCCGAGCCUGCUGAGGUGGCUGGAUCAUAGAAGCACCUUUGUUUCCUUUCCUCGGUGUCUUCCUUGGCUUCUUUGCUACCGGAAAGUCGUCUAUAAUAUGUUCAGCCUCUGGAGGCGGCAAUUCAGGCACCAACUCAUGCGCUCAAACCCUGAGUAGGCGCCAGUAUUGAGGUAUUGUUGAAUGUCAUCGUCGUCCUCAUCUAUGGCGAUGUCACUAGCGACAAAUCGAGCCUCUUCCUCACCCCGUCCGCUAUCACCCAGCACGACAGCCGACGCUAAUUGGGUAGGUGGGGUGUUGAUGUUCGUACCUAACUGCGUGCUCGUGUGUGUGCUCCCGGCCGCCUCCAGACAAAGCAGACUCUUUGACCACAACAGGACCCACCCAUUGCAACCACCAAGCCGCUGCGGGGUCUCGUCGUCAUCCCCUAGUAUCGGAGGAGCCAAAUUCUCGUGGCCCGGUUUGACACUGGCCACGAAAACUUUGAAGACAUACGGGGGGAUUGGUCGGCCAUGGAACAAUGGUUCCUUCGGCUUCAUUACCGUCACCUUCCCCACGUCCACCUUUUGGUCGCCGAUGUUGUACAAUAUGGUGCACGGGGUUACAUCGGCCUGCAAAGACACCGUGAGAUUAUACAUUUAUGGAAGAGGGCCGGUGUGACAGAUACCGUGAGGGCGUCGAGCUCAGCCAAAGACGAAGGACAGCUGAGCACGGCCGGUGUGGGAGCCGGUGUGGGAGCCGGUGCAGGUGCAGGUGCUGGUGCAUCGCUAGUCGUGCUACUCCCGAAGAAGUCAACAAUGGGAAAGUCCGCUGCAUUUUUUCUGGAUUUUGCAUGCUCCAAUUGAAAACGGCUGGAACCAAGACAAUAGACAUAUCUGCAACCACCUGUUUUGCGGCAGCUACCGUUAUCGUGACAGUCUCAGAUGAUUUCUUCUCUACUGCAAUCUCAACCUUCUUGUCGAUGUUUUCUUCAGUUAACCUCCAUCUUUCCUUUCUCUCCUCCGUGGUCUCACGGUAGCACUUCUUCCACGUGGCCCCGUCUCCGACACCGUGAACGCGUCCAUACGACGACCGAGUCUCCACUGGGAGUCCUUUCAAUAUGUUCAAUGCCCGGUUGAAUGGAGUGUCCCACUUGGGCCUCGCCAACGCCUCAGACGGCGAGUCUCUUUCGGUCGCAAUCUUGUGCUGCUCUCUCUACAAAAGGAACAAGGAUCAUUUACAAAUAUGACUAAACGUGCAGUCGAAUUGAUCAGAAACUAAAAUUACCAGCAGUCUCAUGAACUCCGUCGUGAUCGGGUCCGUCUUGAAAACCUUCUUGACCGAGUGCCAAUGGUGCCGUGCCCUGAGGACGUCAUGCUCCUACAGGACGGUGAAGUCCGCCAAGGGGUCUAGGAUGCCAGACUUUCGCGUUUCGUGUCCUCCUUGGCCCAUAUGGACCUCUUCCUGCUGUAACCACGGCUUCCGAGGUGGCGGUGCCCCAUGUUCCUUUGUUGAAACCCCUUCAUGUACUUUGACUUUGUUUUGGCAGUUUCAGCCUCGCAAGCCGCCUUGAAUAUUUCAAAGUGCUCUCCCGUGAUUGUCGGAUUAUCCUUUACAAUCUCGGAGUAGGGUUGAUACGUCUCCAAUGUAUCUAUUAUUUUUGAUUGCUCCAUGCUAUAUUAUCUACUGUUUUGGACAUUAUUGGGCUUUAUUAUCUACUUUUAUAUUAUAAUUUGGACUAACCUAUUAACCGGAGGCCCGAGCCCAGAAUUGCUGUUUUUUUGCCUGUCUUAGGGUUUCAAAGAAAAGGAAUAUCAAACGGAGUCCAAACGGAAUGAAACCUUCGGGAACGUGAUUUUCUCAACGAACAAGACCCAGGAGACUUUGACCCUACAUCAAGACACAAGGCGAAUCAUGUACGUAGCCACUAGUGAAACAUAUUAUCUUUAUUAUAUCUAUCAGAUCUCACUCUCGUAAGUGGCCGUGUUGGGAUUGACAACCCCUAUUCAUGUUGGUUGAGAGGAUUGAUUUGUUUUGUGCAAGUACAAAGGACUCGCGCGUAGCCUCCUAUUGGAUUAAUAGCUUGGUUCUCAAAAAGUGAGGGAAAUACUUACGCUACUUUGUUGCAUCAUCCCUUCCUCUUCGGGGAAAACCAACGCAGUGCUCAAGAGGUAGCAAGAAGGAUUUGCUGNNNNNNNNNNNNNNNNNNNNNNNNNNNNNNNNNNNNNNNNNNNNNNNNNNNNNNNNNNNNNNNNNNNNNNNNNNNNNNNNNNNNNNNNNNNNNNNNNNNNNNNNNNNNNNNNNNNNNNNNNNNNNNNNNNNNNNNNNNNNNNNNNNNNNNNNNNNNNNNNNNNNNNNNNNNNNNNNNNNNNNNNNNNNNNNNNNNNNNNNNNNNNNNNNNNNNNNNNNNNNNNNNNNNNNNNNNNNNNNNNNNNNNNNNNNNNNNNNNCCUCCACCCUCGUGGGCCCCCUGUUGCUCCACCGACGUACUCCUUCCUCCUAUAUAUACCUACGUACCCCCAAACGAUCAUAUACGGAGCCAAAACCCUAAUUCCACCGCCACAACUUUCUGUAUCCACGAGAUCCCAUCUUGGGGCCUGUUCCGGAGCUCCGCCGGAGGGGGCAUCAAUCACGGAGGGCUUCUACAUCAACACCAUAACCUCUCCGAUGAAGUGUGAGUAGUUCACCUCAAACCUACGGUUCCAUAGUUAUUAGCUAGAUGGCUUCUUCUCUCUUUUUGGAUCUAAAUACAAUGUUCUCCCCCUCUCUUGUGGAGAAUUAUUCGAUGUAAUCUUAUUUUUGCGGUGUGUUUAUUGAGACCGAUGAAUUGUGGGUUUAUGAUCAAGUCUCUCUAUGAAUAAUAUUUCAAUCUUCUCUGAAUUAUUUUAUGUAUGAUUGGUUAUCUUUGCAAGUCUCCUCGAAUUAUCAGUUUGGUUUGGCCCACUAGAUUGAUCUUUCUUGCAAUGGGAGAAGUGCUUAGCUUUGGGUUCAAUCUUGCGGUGUCCUUUCCCAGUGACAGUAGGGGCAGCAAGGCACGUAUUGUAUUGUUGCCAUCAUGGACAACAAAAUGGGGUUUUCAUCAUAUUGCAUCAGUCUAGCCCUCUACAUCAUGUUAUCUUGCUUAAGGCGUUAAUUUGUUUUUAACUUAAUACUCUAGAUGCAUGCUGGAUAGCGGUCGAUGAGUGGAGUAAUAGUAGUAGAUGCAGGCAAGAGCGGUCUACUUGUCUCGGACAUGAUGCCUAUAUACAUGAUGAUACCUAGAUAUUCUCAUAACUAUGCUCAAUUCUGUCAAUUGCUGAACAGUAAUUUGUUCACCCACCGUAGAAUACUUAUGCUCUCGAGGGAAGCCACUAGUGAAACCUAUGGCCCCGGGUCUAUCUUUAUCAUAUUAAUCUUCUACUACUUAGUUAUUUCCUUUGCUUUUUACUUUUCCUUUAUUUUACUUUGCAUCUUUAUCACCAAAAUACCAAUAAAAUUAUCUUUAUCAUAUCUAUCAAAUCUCACUCUGGUAAGUGGCCGUGUAGGGAUUGACAACCCCUAUUCGUGUUGGUUGCGAGGAUUUAUUUGUUUUGUGCAGGUACGAGGGACUCGCGCGUAGCCUCCUACUGGAUUGAUACCUUGGUUCUCAAAACCUGAGGGAAAUACUUACGCUACUUUGCUGCAUCAUCCCUUCCUGUUCGGGGAAAACCAACGCAGUGCUCAAGAGGUAGCAAGGGUUCCUUUUUGUCGACGAUCCGAUGUUUCAACCUUGUUUUCCAGGCGGCCAACGCGUCGCUAAACUUGGGCAUGGCGUGUUUGUUUAUCUUCUUCAUUGCCACGUCCUUAUCUGGAUCAUUAUUAUCCUUUUCAUUGCAGUCAGGGAACAAGAAUAUCUGGUGCAGCUUCUUUAGGAGGGAGGGCCUCAUAUUAUCUAUCUUCUGUAGUUUCCCAUCGUUGAUCGUGGCAGUUGUCCGUACGAUGCAACCUAUUUGAUUGCCGUAGCACGAUCGCGCUUCCUCGGGCGCUAUUGUCUCAAAAAUACCGUUGUCCAUCUCCGUGACCACCAGUCUAGUACUCAUGAGCUGGUUUGGGUGCCGUGGCCUCUUUGCUUUCGGUUCUAGACCAGCUCCGCUAGUCUCGGCGCCGGUCUCAGUCUCAUCACCGGUCUGCAUGUCGGUAUCAGUCCCCGAUGCGACAGCACAGUCGCUGCAACAUGGGUAAGGGAGACCACAUCAGUGCUGGGGUGGUCUGAAAAUUGGGACACACUUUCGCGCAUUGCGGGCCGCCUCUCAGACAGCUACUGGGGAGGCGGCGGAGUACCUGGGUGCGCGACGAAUCCCCGGGAACUCGGUGACCAACUUCCUUCCCAUGUAGCGCAUGGAGACGAUGGCGACCCCGCCGAAGAGCAGCUUAGUUGCGAGCUGCACAGCCUCGUCCACCUCCUAAGUUGGGACCUCCGCGCGAGCGUUGCGGGGCCGCCGCUCGGAUGGCUUCUGGAAGGCGCUUGUACAUGGGCACAGGGUGAAUCCCGGCAAGAGCUGGCCAUUGGUGCGCGCAAGUAGACGACGACGUCGCCGACGAAGAGCAGCCCGGCCAGCUCGCCUCACUCUCCUUUGAUUAGAAUUGAAAGAUUGGGAAGAAGCAGACUUGAGCCUGCAGGGAAAGGAUAAGGUGACGAUGCAGUCUCCACUCGUUCGGGGCGACACGCGUACUGAAUGUAUGAGAAACGCGACGUGGCAGGGACCCCAAGAUACUCCCUCCAUUUAUUUUUAGUCUGCAUAUAAAGUUUGGUCAAAGUCAAGAUUUGUAAAUUUUAACUAACUUUAUAAUAAAAAAAAUCAACAUUCACAAUAUGAAAUAAUUAUUACCAGAUGCGUCAUGAAAUGUAUUUCCAUACUAUAUAGGUUUGGUAAUGUAGAUGUUCAUAUUCUUUUAUAUAAAUGGGAAGUAGAGGCACUCUUCCAUAUAAUGAAGUUUAUAAUAUAUGUGCUUAUAUUAUACUAUAAUUGUUUGAAUAACUUAGCAUAUGUUCAGAUGUAUGAUAUCUGUAAUUUAAGCGCUUGAAUUUUACAUAUAAAUAUUUAUUAAUAAAUAUGUACCCCUAUAAUAGCUAGGCCGUGCAGUUGCACGGGUAGAUGACUAGUGAUUACAAUCUUGUUUGUGUGCAAGUCAAGCUUAUCUAGUUUACACGUAACAACUUGUAGAACAUUACAAAAUUUAUGCUUGCUAAUAACUUCUAGAACACUACAACACUUGACAUGUAAAAGGAAUUUGACGAGUCAUGGCCUACUAAAGAAAGUUACAUUACUAGUCUUAUAUCUAUCUUAAUAGACCACACAAGACUACAAAUUAAGUACCGUGACAGCCAUGAUUAUCUAGUUUAUGCGUAACAAUUUGCAGAAAAUUACAAACUUAGUUUUAGAAAAAUAGGCAAUCCAGAUUAGUGUUUGAGCUGUAAAGUGAAUAAGAUGAGUCAUGCGUGUUAUCACACCUUUUUGGUGGUGGAAUGAUAGUGCAAAACAAGGAACUUUAAUGAACAGUCCAAUAAUACACUUGUAAGUAGUGCCACCAAACAGAACAUACCAAAUGAUGAUUUUGAGAAGCAUCCAAGCACUUUCCACACAAACAAAUGCCAAUUGUGAAAGAGAUCAUUCCAUGGCAGCUAUAAAUAGCCCCGUAGCAUGACGAUCAUCCUUCCUCAUCCAUCAUUCUCAUAAGUAGAGCGCAUCAUUUAAGCCAAGCAAGCUGUGGUCAAUACAAAUCCACCAUGAAGACAUUUCUCAUCCUUGCCCUCCUUGCUAUCGUGGCGACCACCGCCACAACUGCAGUUAGAGUUCCAGUGCCACAAUUGCAGCCACAAAAUCCAUCUCAGCAACAGUCACAAGAGCAAGUUCCAUUGGUACAACAACAACAAUUUCUAGGGCAGCAACAACCAUUUCCACCACAACAACCAUAUCCACAGCCGCAACCAUUUCCAUCACAACAACCAUAUCUGCAGCUGCAACCAUUUCCGCAGCCGCAACUACCAUAUUCGCAGCCACAACCAUUUCGACCACAACAACCAUAUCCACAACCGCAACCACAAUAUUCGCAACCACAACAUCCAAUUUCACAGCAGCAGCAGCAGCAACAACAACAACAACAACAAGAACAACAAAUACUUCAACAAAUUUUGCAACAACAACUGAUUCCAUGCAUGGAUGUUGUAUUGCAGCAACACAACAUAGCGCAUGGAAGAUCACAAGUUUUGCAACAAAGUACUUACCAGCUGUUGCAAGAAUUGUGUUGUCAGCACCUAUGGCAGAUCCCUGAGCAGUCGCAGUGCCAGGCCAUCCACAAUGUUGUUCAUGCUAUUAUUCUGCGUCAACAACAAAAACAACAACAACAACCAUCGAGCCAGGUCUCCUUCCAACAGCCUCAGCAACAAUAUCCAUUAGGCCAGGGCUCCUUCCGGCCAUCUCAGCAAAACCCACAGGCCCAGGGCUCUGUCCAGCCUCAACAACUGCCCCAGUUCGAGGAAAUAAGGAACCUAGCGCUACAGACGCUACCUGCAAUGUGCAAUGUCUACAUCCCUCCAUAUUGCACCAUCGCGCCAUUUGGCAUCUUUGGUACUAACUAAGAAGAAAAUAACUCUAGUACUAGAUAUAUGAAACACCGUUUUCUCAGUCCAUGGUUUGGUCGUUGUAGCGGUGAAAAAAUAAAGUGACAUGCACUAUCAUGUAAGAACCCAAACUAUACUAGUUCAAACUUGGGAAUAAAAGACAAACACAGGUCUUGUCUACAUAUUUAUGCUGCAUCUAUUUAUAUAUUAAAAGUAAUAUAAGGUGAACCAGGAGCAAGGUAAAUAUGGUAGAAAAUUGCACGUUAAUUAGAAAUUACUAGCCCUCGAUCUGGUAAAUCUUAACAAAUAUAAUUAUCUUGACCGUUAGAUUUAUGUAACAUAUAUAAUGCUCUAGGCCUCCAACGACUGUACGUGACACAUCUGAACGCAGAUAUGUUAAAGAAAAUAUAUUUGGUAAAUGGUGGGCCUCUUUAAAAAGAGAACUUACGUACAUACACCAACUAAGAAAAACACAUACAUGUAAACGGGAAAAGGAUGAGAUUUUCUCACAUACGUGUGUUGAUGCUUAAAAGUGGCAUGAUCAUAAAGCAGCAUGCCAGGGUGAAAACCUUGCCGGGGUAAAAUCUUGCCGGUGUGAAAGCUUGCCGGUGUGAAGGCUUGCCGGUGUGGAAAGCUUGCCGGCACAGAAAGAUCGCCGGUGCUUGCCGGUGUGAAAUCUUGCCGGGGGAGAAACCUUGUCAGGGAGGAACCCUUGCCGGAGUACAAACCUUGCCGUAGUGAAACCUUGCCGGUGUGAAAGCUUGCCGGGUAGAAACAUUGCCGGUGUGGAAAGCUUACUCGGAUGGAAAACUUGCCGGGUUGGAGGCUGUGAUAGUCAAUCGAACGAGAAGUUGAAGAUGGGCUCAAAAGGUUAUUCAGAUGAUCUCGGAUGGAAAAAUGAUCUACAGGGGUUGUCUUCGUCUCGUCGAAACGAUCGAUUUUGAUAUAAAAAUCAUUCAAAUCCGAGUUCGUAUGCAAAAUUUAGAGCAAUCGGAGUGCAGCCCUGUCACGAGGCGAGAUGUGGCGCGCCCCACCAAACACAUGUCUGACGGGUAGCGCGAGGAAAUAGCCUGUGUUGCGAGACCGAUCUGACCCUCAAGAUGAUCUCUGAUCCAAAAACCUUCAACAUGAAAGUUGUUCGUCUCAUCGAAACGGUCAAGAUUGCUUUUGGGCUUGUUUUCAUCCGGGAUCGUUUACCACCGCAAAAAAGACCCGCAAGGUGCAGCCAGUUUAAACCGAACAGUUUUGGAAAGUUUGGAUAAACCAGUCCGAAUUUGACUAGGGUUUUGGACGUGAAUUGAUGUAAUUUUCUUGUAAGGAAAGCCUAGAUAAAUUCUUUGCUUGUACGGGAAGUCCAGCUGCCUCUUAUAUAUGUUGGGGGUGACGGGCGAUUGAAACAACACACAAUCGAACAAACACAUCUACUACUUUUUCGUGUUCAUCUACUUUUUAUCUCUCCCUUGUAUCUUUCUUCUCGUUCUUCGCUAGUUCUUCUUGCUGGAGGCUGCGGAUCCACGAGGCUCUAGGGGCGAGCGAAUCGACCUAGGGCAGCCCUGACGGGGUCCCUCCCGGGUGCGCGGGGUUUCGGGUCUGCAAAAGCGCCCGCCGACUGUCUUGCGUAUCACGCUAUCGGUCGGGUCUCCUUCGACGUGAGCUGCGGUGCAUCACCCCCGGCAUCGAGGGUACACGUGACGUGUUCGUGUGCGAACACACUUUUUCGCGACUCCACUGGGGACGAAGCUUUGAAUAGUCUCCAGCCUGUUCUUGCUACGAGGAGAGCGUCAUCAAGCGACUGCAUUCUACAACGGUAACAUGUAUCAUCAAUCUCCUUGCGUAGAUGCAAAUAGCCAUUAUGUUGAUGUUGCUAGAUCUUUCAAUGGACAUGUGAUGUCGGCCAGCCCUAAUGAGGAAAGGCCGACUAGUUAUUCCAUUGGAGAAACUUGGAAUUUACAGAAUCGUGACAUGCAACUUAUGAAUCUGAACUUUCGUGCAUCGGCAACAACUUUCAAUAUGCCGGUGAACAACACGAUUUGUUCGAGUGAUCAAUAUAGGACACCUCAUGUAAAAGUUUUAUCCAUCGGCAGCCGACUCGCAAUAUGCUGGUUCAUCCCCAAACAUGCCGAUGAAUGGGGGAAUCAGCCAUGCUUCUGUUAGCUAUUUGGCCGGUUAUCCUCAAACAUCAUAUACUACACCUCAUCCGAUUAAUUGUUCAGUGGCAUAUGAAACUAAAAAUAUUAAUAACACGGCUCACGUUCACGGUCAUGGACGAGUGAAUGGGGAUACUAUAGGAGCAUAUGUGUGUGACGCCCCCAAUUUAAUCGUACACUAAUCAUACACGCAAACAUGUACGAUCAAGAUCAGGGACUCACGGGAAGAUAUCACAACACAACUCUACAAAUAAAAUAAGUCAUGCAAGCAUCAUAUUACAAGCCAGGGGCCUCGAAGGCUCGAAUACAAGAGCUCGAUCAUAGACGAGUCAGCGGAAGCAACAAUAUCUGAGUACAGACAUAAGUUAAACAAGUUUGCCUUAAGAAGGCUAGCACAAACUGGGAUACAGAUUGAAAGAGGCACAGGCCUCCUGCCUGGGAACCUCCUAACUACUCCUGGUCGUCGUUCUGAGGGCAGCACGUAGUAGUAGGCACCUCCAGCGUAGUAGGAGUCGUCGUCGACGAUGGCGUCUGGAUCCUGGGCUCCAGCAUCUGGUUGCGACAACCAGGUAGAAGGGAUAGAGGGAAAAGAAGGAGAAAGCAACCGUGAGUACUCAUCCAAAGUACUCGCAAGCAAGGAGCUACACUACAUAUGUAUGCGUUGGUAUCAACUGGAAUAAGGCUAUUAUAUGUGGACUGAACUGCAGAAAGCCGGAAUACGAGGGAGAUAGCUAGUCCUUUCGAAGACUACGCUUUUGGUAACCUCCAUCUUGCAGCAUGUAGAAGAGAGUAGACGGAAGUCCUCCAAGUAGCAUCGCAUAGCAUAAACCUAACCGAUGAUCCUCCCCUCGUCGCCCUGUGCGAGAGCGAUCACCGGUUGUAUCUGGCUCUUGGAAGGGUGUGUUUUAUUAAGUAUCCGGUUCUAGUUGUCAUAAGGUCAAGGUACAACUCCGGGUCGUCCUUUUAUCGAGGGACACGGCUAUUCGAAUAGAUAAACUUCCCUGCAGGGGUGCACCACAUAACCCAACACGCUCGAUCCCAUUUGGCCGGACACACUUUUCUGGGUCAUGCCCGGCCUCGGAAGAUCAACACGUCGUAGCCCUACCUAGGCACAACAGAGAGGUCAGCACGCCGGUCUAAAUCCUAUGGCGCAGGGGUCUGGGCCCAUCGCCCUUUGCACACCUGCACGUUGCGAACGCGGCCGGAAGCAGACCUAGCCUAGUGGCGUUCCAGUCCAAUCCGGCGCGCGCCACUCAGUCACUGAUGUCACGAAGGCUUCGGCUGAUACCACGACGUCGAGUGGCCAUAACUGUCCCCGCAUAGAUGGUUAGUGCGUAUAAGCCAGAUGGCCAGACUCAGAUCAAAUACCCAGAUCUCGUUAAGCGUGUUAUGUAUCCGCGAACACCGACCAGGGCCAGGACCACCUCUCUCCUACGUGGUCUGAACCUGCCCUGUCGCUCCGCCACAAAGUAACAGUCGGGGGCCGUCGGGAACCCAGGCCCACCUCUACCGGGAUGGAGCCACCUACCCCUUCAGCCCCAACUACGAACAGUACCACAGGUAAUGUAACAGUGUAAAGUAUAUAGUAAAUGCCCGUGAUCACCUCCCGAAGUGAUCACGGCCCAGUAGUAUAGCAUGGCAGACGGACAAGAGAGUAGGGCCACUGAUGGAACACUAGCAUCCUAUACUAAGCAGUAGGAUAGCAGGUAAUGGUAACAAUAGUAGUAGCAAGGACAGGCUAUGCAUCAGGAUAGGAAUAACGGAAAGCAGUAACAUGCUACACUACUUUAAUGCAAGCAGUAUAGAGAAGAGUAGGCGAUAUCUGGUGAUCAAAGGGGGGGCUUGCCUGGUUGCUAUGGCAAGAGAGAGCGGUCGUCAACACCGUAGUCGUACUGUGUAGCAGCGCCGUCAGUCUCGGUGUCUAGCGAGAGAAGAGGGGGAGGAAACAAUAAAUAUAAUGCAAACAAAUGCAUGAUGAUGCAUGACACGACAAAGCGUGAUGCUAGGUGUGCCCUAACGCGGUACGAGGUGGUACCGGUGAAGGGGGGAAACAUCCGGGAAAGUAUUCCCGGUGUUUCGCGUUUUCGGACAGAGGAGUCAGAGGGGGAAAGUUGCGUGUUCGGUAUGCUAGGGAGGCGUGGUGGACGAACGGGUUGUCUAUCCGAGUUCGUCUCGUCGUUCUGAGCAACUUUCAUGUUGAAAAUAAUUUAAUCCGAGUUACGUAUUAAAAGAUAUGGUUUUCUAAAGAUUUUACUAAUUUCUGGAAUUUAAUUAAUUAUUUAAUUUAAUUUGAAAUUUGGAUUUAUGACAUCAGCAUGAUGUCAUGCUGACAUCAGCAGUCAACAUGGGUUGACUAGGUCAACUGAUGCGUGGGUCCAGUGGGACCCACCUGUCAUACUAUAUUAGGUUAAUUAGGGUUUAGUUAAUUGAUUAGGCUAAUCUAAUCAGGAUUACUUUGUUUAAUUAAUUCUUUAAUUAAUUAAUUAUCAUUUUAACUAAUUUUAAUUAUUAUUUAUUAAUUCAUUCAUUUUUUUAAAUUAUUAUUUUUAUUUCGUUCUCGUUUCAGGGGGGCGUGGGGCCCCGCACACAGGGCCACCGCGAGGCUGUUGCCAGCGGGCGCUGGGGCGAUGGGUGCGGGCGCACCCGAGCGGGCACUCGCCCGCAGGGCGGGAUGAGCCGCCGGCGGGCAGCGACAGGCGCGUGCCAACCGGGCGGUGGCCGCGGCUGAUAGGGCGCAGGAAGGGGAGAGGCGAGAACGCGACGCACGGGGAAGCAGCAUCAGGGGCGAGGAGCACCACGGGACGAAGCGCAGCGGGCGCCGGUCNNNNNNNNNNNNNNNNNNNNNNNNNNNNNNNNNNNNNNNNNNNNNNNNNNNNNNNNNNNNNNNNNNNNNNNNNNNNNNNNNNNNNNNNNNNNNNNNNNNNNNNNNNNNNNNNNNNNNNNNNNNNNNNNNNNNNNNNNNNNNNNNNNNNNNNNNNNNNNNNNNNNNNNNNNNNNNNNNNNNNNNNNNNNNNNNNNNNNNNNNNNNNNNNNNNNNNNNNNNNNNNNNNNNNNNNNNNNNNNNNNNNNNNNNNNNNNNNNNNNNNNNNNNNNNNNNNNNNNNNNNNNNNNNNNNNNNNNNNNNNNNNNNNNNNNNNNNNNNNNNNNNNNNNNNNNNNNNNNNNNNNNNNNNNNNNNNNNNNNNNNNNNNNNNNNNNNNNNNNNNNNNNNNNNNNNNNNNNNNNNNNNNNNNNNNNNNNNNNNNNNNNNNNNNNNNNNNNNNNNNNNNNNNNNNNNNNNNNNNNNNNNNNNNNNNNNNNNNNNNNNNNNNNNNNNNNNNNNNNNNNNNNNNNNNNNNNNNNNNNNNNNNNNNNNNNNNNNNNNNNNNNNNNNNNNNNNNNNNNNNNNNNNNNNNNNNNNNNNNNNNNNNNNNNNNNNNNNNNNNNNNNNNNNNNNNNNNNNNNNNNNGGCCUGGGGUUUGUCCUAGCUAGCAGCUGGGCCGAGUGGCCCAGUGGGGGGGGGGUUGUUUUAUUCCUUUCCCUUUUAUACCUUUUCACACUUUUCUUCUUUUGUUUUAUUUUAGUUACACAUUAAUUUUAAUUUUUGACAAAUAUAUCUAUAGCCCCUAAAAUAAUGUUUCAGAACAAUCCACUACUAUAGAAAGUUUUACCCUGAUAAAAUAGUCUAGUAUUUUAUAAAAUACCAAACUCGUUUAAAUAGUUGUUUAGCUACUAUUUAAAUCAUUUUAGUGCUUUAAAUCUUUUUACUAAAAUGUGGUUCCUCCACCAUUUGGACUUAGGAUUUAUUUGUCCCAUUUUGAACAUUUUAGUCUUAACGUUUGAAGAAUUUACCGUUUGACUCGAUUUUGAAUUUGAAUUUGAAUCGGUGUCGAACUAACACGAGAUUAGCAACAGUAACCAUCGUGACGUGGCAUCAUUAACAGAGGUUUACUGUAUAUCAAAUACCCGGGCGUCACAAUUCUCCUCCACUACAAGAAAUCUCGUCCCGAGAUUUAAGAGGGGAGUAUGGGGGAAAGAUCUGGUUACGAAAUUCUAACGAGUCUUCUCGGUCUUGCUUGCUCUUGUCGAAAUGGUCGAUCCAUUAUGUUGAUGUUUUCAUUUCUCUGCUUCAGGUCAUCAUGGUGAAGUCGUCCUUUUCUUCGGGAACUCCAACGUGCUUACGAAUAGGUAAGGGGCAGCUUGGCUACGACAGAAUGCUUAUGAGGGAAACAAUCUGGUGAUAACCCAUGAAUGAACAUAAGAUUAUCUCUCGAGUUGAACAUAUAAAAUACAUCAAGAGUAAGGUACGAAGGUACCAUGAGAAGUUUCAAACGGAUAGGCAAUCGUUCGAUGUCUGAAACAACACGCGAAAGGGGUCCAGAGCAACGAGAUUGAGUAUUGCGUCUGUUACCAGAAUAGAUCACUAGGACGGUGGUCUGUGAAUUACAUACAAGGUCACGCACGAGGAAUAACUUUAGGAACAGGGGGUGUACAGGAGAGUCAGGUUCGAUCCUGUGGAACUGUGGGUUAUGGGCCCACCAUGUGGGUUAAAGUAGGAAGGGCAGUGACGUCUUGCAAGAUCAUGUAAGCAAGGCAUGUCAGAGGAUAGCCUGUCAGCUAUGUCGACGACAACAUCGAUACCAAGGGCGAGGGACGAAGAGAACCAUUUUCCUGCUCGUUGAACGAGGCGGACCAAUAAGAAAAGUUCUCGUCCAUCAGUGGUUACCAGAAUGUCAUCAACAAAGGUAAUAGGGUCUUUCUGACAGAGUGGUACAACGAGGUGACUGCUUAUAUAAUAUAGAUUACAAGAAGGUUUAAACAGAACAAUGGAAAGGAAAAUGUGUGUAAACACACAUUUCAAGGGUAUAUCCUUCCCAAGGACAAGCAAAGCAAGAUAUCCAUGAAAGGAUAUAAUGUAGAAAACUCUUUAGGUAAGGUGAGAGAAAUUUCAUGACAUUACCCAUACAAUGGUGUUUGGAUAAAUGAGCGAGAAACAUUUAGCAUUGGGCUUCAAAUGUUCUUUGUGGAAAAUUGGAGUACCACAGACAUGCUUCGAGAUAGCGUUGGCGUGGUAUUCAAGCAAAGGUCAGACUUAGGAUGCACAAAGGAUUCAUCAGGAACAACUUAUAGAAUAAGUCUUACCAUUUCUCAAGGAAGAAUAGAUAACCUUGCUAAAAAGAAAAACUAUAACAUUAGGUCCUCCGACCAGGUGGGCUAGGCAUGCUAUCACCUUACUGGGUUAUAUUGAUAACAAUGUUAUAACUCUUGGAAAUAUGUCUCAACCAUCAUAUCUGACCGAGAUUCAGAUCCGAUUGGUGUCAGGAUACAUCAGACAUCAGGAUGCCUGAGAAGAGAAGGUGCAACACAAUUUAACGAGAUGACACUGCGAGAAUCUCAGAAAUGAUCUAUGGAAGCGAGUUCCGAAGCAAGAGUUCAUCAUUAAACCAAGGAGAGGAUGAGGGGUGGCUGAUGAACUAACGGCAAUUCAUCGAGAUUUCCAAAAGAUGGAUUUCCACAAUCAUGUGAACAAAGAGUUAACAUUUGUCAGAUCAAACAAUAUAAUGAGGUGUGCUCGAGGAAAACAUACUCAAUUAAACAUUGGUGGAAAGCUGCACCCAAAAUAUGGGCUUAGGUAGCCUGAUCAAUGUUGGAACGGUGAUUCGAUAACCAAUAUUCUAAGAAUGAAAGGUCGACCAUUAACUUCAAAGCAAUAUGGUUGCUAGAAGUACAGAAUCCAAGCAACAACGUUCACCUGUUGGUAUCCCGGUUAGAAUCAACACGGGAACCAAGAAAGAAUGAUGAUGGUGAGGAGUAUCGCUAUACCAAGAAUUCUCAAGAGGUGGAGCAAUCCUCACAACAUACAUGUCAUCAAGGACAUUGAUACUUCAAGGUAGAAUAUCAUAAAAGCUAGAUAGCAAGUUGCAUCCAUAACAUGGACAAGUUUGUGUUGGGGGAAGGCAAGAAAGUGAUCGAUGAUAACACAAAUCAUCGAGGGCAAGGAUGGUACUUUUCAUUAUGAAUUCGAUUGAUAUCCUGCAAGAGCUCAAGAUGUGGGUGCUGAUGACGACACAUUUGUCGAGAGAUUUCAUGAAGAUGUAGUCUAUCGGCGAUGACAUCAAGUCAAAGGAAUUAUGAAGCAAAAGGUUAUCGGAACCAUGGGUACGACACAAACUCAAAAUCAAGCUUGUUGUUCAAGGUGAAAGAUAUGACGAGAAAGAUCAACGUAAGCUUAGCUCAUCGUUGAAAGUUGUGUUCCGGGAAGAAGGACCAGGUAGCACAGUUAAAAUUUAGCACGGUAAUGAUAUAGCCAACCGGGCUAGGAAUGACUUGAAGGAUUAUUAAACUCAUAAGCAGUAAAAAUUACUUAUAGUUAUUGAAUCGAAGUACAGACUCGAUUCACUGUCGGUGUCCUUGAGUGUCUAACAACUCAGAACCCGGGGAAAAUUUUGGAACCAGUGAGAAAUAAUACUUGAAGAAUAACUCAUAAGAAGUUAUGCAGUUCCAUGAUAAUCUCGAGAUACCAGGGGGUAAUACUCGACGACAGAUCAAAGUAGAGGUUGGACUAGGGAUUGCUCUGUAGAAGACAAGUGCUCAAACUUGCACGAGAAAUGGAAUCAAGGAGAAACAUGGUCGAAACCUCGUCCACAGGUACAAGAUGAACUUAUAACAAGUGGACAAUUAUUUUAAGAGAAGCUUCCAUGAUAAGGUAUACAUCGUGUCCAUGGGCAUGAACACAGGGUUCAAGGUCGACUCCCACUUAUUCAACACAUAACCUUUCAUGCACCUCUCGUAUUUCAAAAAUGACAUUAGUUCUUGAAAGUUUUUACCUGGUGCAAUACCAGAUACAUAUUACCCGUGAAAUCUUUCGGGUUCACACGGAUUAGGCAAGGCGUAGGUUCAACCCAUCAGGGCAUCUUAGGAACAUAUACCACAAACUUCGGAGUAAAUAAUACAAGCUUGAAAGUAGAGCAUGGUUGACAAAAGGGGAGGAUACAAUUUACCACAGGCAUUAUGUAUCGGAGAAAGAACUCACAAGGUGAUUAAUUUUGAAGGACACUGUCGGAUAAUAAUCCAACAGUGGAAUUGGCGAUCCACAAUGGAGCUGAUGUGAGUAUCGAUACCCAAUCAGAGGAAGAAAGAAUGCAAAUGCAUCGGUUUAUAGAACAUCUGAAUAAUUCAACGUUUAAAUAGCAAAGGAAUUAUGAUUUUCAAAUCAAGGGAUCGGGAGCAAAUGCUCUGAUUAGGGAUGGGUAAGUAGAAUAGCCUUAGGGGUACAUGCGACGACAUUUGGAUUUGUUGAGAACCAGCUCAUGUUUAAAAUGACGUCUGAGCCGGAAUGAUAAUUUAAAAGGAUCAACUGAUGAUUGCGUGCAUUCGCACUCAUGUUGAGUCAAUAGGAUCAAAAAGACGAUGCCUAAGGAUACUAACGAAUAUUUCCAGACAUAUGGAAAGCAUCCAUAAUGCAAGCAGGCAAGUAUUGCAGAGCAAUAAGCUACUAAGGAUUUUUGGAGGAUCGAAUAGUAUUUUGAAGACCAUUGUGAAACACAUGAACAACUGGGGAUGAGUGGAUACUCGACAAGUGCGAGGAUUUAAUUGAAGGGGUAUUCAUGUGGCAAGGAACUGCUAGGCAGUAGGCACAAAGUAUUCUCGGAACAAUAGAGAGAAUUUUGGGGCAUCUUGUAAUAACAAGAUCAAUGAGGAAUGAUUAUAUGAAUAGCACAUGUAGGUGGUUAUCCAUAGAGGUCUAUCGAUAGAAGGGAAUUGCAAAAGCAACAGGCACAAGGUCUCGACAGAAUAUCGGAGAGUAUCUUCGAAAUCUUCUAGUGUAGUCGGCGAUCAUCUGGAUUGAAAGGGCUCUCCGGGAGAAAGUAUUUUCGAGAACCUAAGUUAGAUUUUUAGUAAAUUCAUUAAACCCGAAUAGGAGGGAGUUCAGAGUCCCAGAGCAUAGACGAGGAAUAAAAGAUCCUAAUACCACCCAAUGGCGACGUGGGCCCAUAGGCCACACAGCCAUGUUAGUAAAGGUUUUGCAAUGACUAGACUCAACUUCGGCCAAGGAGGUGGAAAGGGGAUUCCUACAGGCAGUCGGCUCUGAUACCAACUUGUGACACCCCCGAUUUAAUCGUACACUAAUCAUACACGCAAACGUGUACGAUCAAGAUCAGGGACUCACGGGAAGAUAUCACAACACAACUCUACAAAUAAAAUAAGUCAUACAAGCAUCAUAUUACAAGCCAGGCGCCUCGAAGGCUCGAAUACAAGAGCUCGAUCAUAGACGAGUCAGCGGAAGCAACAAUAUCUGAGUACAGACAUAAGUUAAACAAGUUUGCCUUAAGAAGGCUAGCACAAACUGGGAUACAGAUCGAAAGAGGCGCAUGCCUCCUGCCUGGGAUCCUCCUAACUACUCCUGGUCGUCGUUCUGAGGGCAGCACAUAGUAGUAGGCACCUCCAGUGUAGUAGGAGUCGUCGUCGACGAUGGCGUCUGGAUCCUGGGCUCCAGCAUCUGGUUGCGACAACCAGGUAGAAGGGAUAGAGGGAAAAGAAGGAGAAAGCAACCGUCAGUACUCAUCCAAAGUACUCGCAAGCAAGGAGCUACACUACAUAUGUAUGCGUUGGUAUCAACUGGAAUAAGGCUAUUAUAUGUGGAUUGAACUGCAGAAAGCCGGAAUACGAGGGGGAUAGCUAGUCCUUUCGAAGACUACGCUUCCGGUAACCUCCAGCUUGCAGCAUGUAGAAGAGAGUAGACGGAAGUCCUCCAAGUAGCAUCGCAUAGCAUAAACCUAACCGAUGAUCCUCCCCUCGUCGCCCUAUGAGAGAGCGAUCACCGGUUUUAUCUGGCUCUUGGAAGGGUGUGUUUUAUUACGGUUCUAGUUGUCAUAAGGUCAAGGUACAACUCCGGGUCGUCCUUUUACCGAGGGACACGGCUAUUCGAAUAGAUAAACUUCCCUGCAGGGGUGCACCACAUAACCCAACACGCUCGAUCCCAUUUGGCCGAACACACUUUUCUAGGUCAUGCCCGUCCUCGGAAGAUCAACACGUCGCAGCCCUACCUAGGCACAACAGAGAGGUCAGCACGCCGGUCUAAAUCCUAUGGCGCAGGGGUCUGGCCCCAUCGCCCUUUGCACACCUGCAUGUUGCGGACGCGGCCGGAAGCAGACCUAGCCUAGUGGCGUUCUAGUCCAAUCCGGCGCGCGCCACUCAGUCGCUGACGUCACGAAGGCUUCGGCUGAUACCACGACGUUGAGUGCCCAUAACUGUCCCCACGUAGAUGGUUAGUGCGUAUAAGCCAGAUGGCCAGACUCAGAUCAAAUACCCAGAUCUCGUUAAGCGUGUUAAGUAUCUGCGAACGCCGACCAGGGCCAGGCCCACCUCUCUCCUAGGUGGUCUGAACCUGCCCGGUCGCUUCGCCACAAAGUAACAGUCGGGGGCCGUCGGGAACCCAGGCCCACCUCUACCGGGAUGGAGCCACCUGCCCCUUUAGCCCCCAACUCCGAACAGUACCAUAGGUAAUGUAACAGUGUAAAGUAUAUAGUAAAUGCCCGUGAUCACCUCCCGAAGUGAUCACGGCCCAGUAGUAUAGCAUGGCAGACGGACAAGAGUGUAGGGCCACUAAUGGAACACUAGCAUCCUAUACUAAGCAGUAGGAUAGCAGGUAAUGGUAAUAAUAUUAGUAGCAAGGACAGGCUAUGCAUCAGGAUAGGAAUAACGGAAAGCAGUAACAUGCUACACUACUCUAAUGCAAGCAGUAUAGAGAAGAGUAGGCGAUAUCUGGUGAUCAAAGGGGGGGCUUGCCUGGUUGCUCUGGCAAGAGAGAGGGGUCGUCAACACCGUAGUCGUACUGUGUAGCAGCAACGUCGGUCUCGGUGUCUAGCGAGAGAAGAGGGGGAGGAAACAAUAAAUAUAAUGCAAACAAAUGCAUGACGAUGCAUGACACGACAAAGCGUGAUGCUAGGUGUGCCCUAACGUGGUACGAGGUGGUACCGGUGAAGGGGGGAAACAUCCGAGAAAGUAUUCCCGGUGUUUCACAUUUACGGACAGAGGAGUCAGAGGGGGAAAGUUGCGUGUUCGGUAUGCUAGGGAGGCGUGGUGGACGAACGAGUUGCGUAUCCGGGUUCGUCUCGUCGUUCUGAGCAACUUUCAUGUUGAAAAUAAUUUAAUCCGAGUUACGUAUUAAAAGAUAUGGUUUUCUAAAGAUUUUACUAAUUUCUGGAAUUUAAUUAAUUAUUUAAUUUAAUUUGAAAUAUGGAUUUAUGACAUCAGCAUGAUGUCAUGCUGACAUCAGCAGUCAACAUGGGUUGACUGGGUCAACUGACGCGUGGGUCCAGUGGGACCCAUGAAGGAAAUAUGCCCUAGAGGCAAUAAUAAAGUUAUUAUUUAUUUCCUUAUAUCAUGAUAAGAGUUUAUUAUUCAUGCUAGAAUUGUAUUAACCGGAAACAUAAUACAUGUGUGAAUACAUAGACCAACAGAGUGUCACUAGUAUGCCUCUACUUGACUAGCUCGUUAAUCAAAGAUGGUUAUGUUUCCUAACCAUGAACAAAGAGUUGUUAUUUGUUUAACGAGGUCACAUCAUUAGUAGAAUGAUCUGAUUGACAUGACCCAAUCCAUUAGCUUAGCACCCGAUCGUUUAGUAAGUUGCUAUUGCUUUCUUCAUGACUUAUACAUGUUCCUAUAACUAUGAGAUUAUGCAACUCCCGUUUACCGGAGGAACACUUUGGGUACUACCAAACGUCACAACGUAACUGGGUGAUUAUAAAGGAGUAUUACAGGUGUCUCCAAUGGUAGAUGUUGGGUUGGCGUAUUUCGAGAUUAGGGUUUGUCACUCCGAUUGACGGAGAGGUAUCUCUGGGCCCUCUCGGUAAUACACAUCACAUAAGCCUUGCAAGCACUGCAACUAAUAAGUUAGUUGUGAGAUGAUGUAUUACGGAACGAGUAAAGAGACUUGCCGGUAACGAGAUUGAACUAGGUAUUGGAUACCGACGAUCGAAUCUCGGGCAAGUAACAUACCGAUGACAAAGGGAACAACGUAUGUUGUUAUGCGGUCUGACCGAUAAAGAUCUUUGUAGAAUAUGUAGGAGCCAAUAUGGGCAUCCAGGUCCCGCUAUUGGUUAUUGACCGGAAGCGUGUCUCGGUCAUGUCUACAUUGUUCUCGAACCGUAGGGUCCGCACGCUUAACGUUACGAUGACAGUUAUUAUGAGUUUAUGCAUUUUGAUGUACCGAAGGUUGUUCGGAGUCCCGGAUGAGAUCACGGACAUGACGAGGAGUCUCGAAAUGGUCGAGACGUAAAGAUUGAUAUAUUGGAAGCCUAUGUUUGGGCACCGGAAGCGUUCCGGGUGAAAUCGGGAUUUUACCGGAAUACCGGGAGGGUUACCGGAACCCCCCGGGAGACUAAUGGGCCUAUUGGGCCUUAGUGGAAAAGAGAAAAGGGAAGCCCACUAGCUGGCCAGCGCCCCCCUAGAGUCCUAUUAGGAAUAGGACAAGGGGCCGGCCCCCCUUCUCUCUCUUUUUCCCCGGGAGUCCUAAUAGGAUUAGGAUUAGGGGGAGGAGUCCUACUCCCGGUGGGAGUAGGACUCCCCUGCGCCUCCUCUCUCCUAGCCGGCCGAACCCCCUGCCCCUGGCCUUUUAUAUACGGGGGCAGGGGGCACCCCAAGACACACAACUUGAUCCUUGAGAUCGUUCCUUAGCCGUGUGCGGUGCCCCCUGCCACCAAAUUCCACCUCGAUCGUACCGUUGUAGUGCUUAGGCGAAGCCCUGCGUCAGUAGUACAUCAAGAUCGUCAACACGCCAUCGUGCUGACGGAACUCUUCCUCGACGCUUUGCUGGAUCGGAGCCCGAGGAACGUCAUCGAGCUGAACGUGUGCUAAGAACUCGGAGGUACCGGAGUAACGGUGCUUGGAUCGGUCGGAUCGGGAAGAAGACGUACGACUACUUCCUCUACGUUGUGUGAUCGCUUCCGCAGUCGGUCUGCGUUGGUACGUAGACAACACUCUCCUCUCUCGUUGCUGUGCAUCACCAUGAUCUUGCGUGUGCGUAGGAAAAUUUUUGAAAUUACUGCGUUACCGAACAGUGGCAUCUGAGCCUGGUUUUAUGGUUUGAUGUUAUAUGCACGAGUAGAACACAAGUGAGUUGUGGGCGAUACAAGUCAGACUGCCUACCAGCAUGUCAUACUUUGGUUCGGCGGUAUUGUUGGUUGAGACGAUCCGGACCAACCUUACGCGUACUCUUACGCGAGACCGGUUCCCUCGACGUGCUUUGCACAUAGAUGGCUUGCGGAAGACUGUCUCUCCAACUUUAGUUGAACCAAGUGUGACUACGCCCGGUCCUUGAGAAGGUUAAAACAGAGUCUAUUUGACGAACUAUCGUUGUGGUUUUGAUGCGUAGGUGAGAUGAGUUCUUACUUAAGCCCGUAGCAGCCACGUAAAACUUGCAACAACAAAGUAGAGGACGUCUAACUUGUUUUUGCAGUGUAUGUUGUGAUGUGAUAUGGUCAAGGCAUGAUGCUGAUUUUAUUGUAUGAGAUGAUCAUGUUUUGUAACUAAGUUAUCGGCAACUGGCAGGAGCCAUAUGGUUGUCGCUUUAUUGUAUGCAAUGCAAUCGCGAUGUAAUGCUUUACUAGAUUACUAAACGGUAGUAAUAGUCGUGGAAGCAUAAGAUUGGCAAGACGACAACGAUGCUACGAUGGAGAUCAAAGUGUCGCGCCGGUGACGAUGGUGAUCAUGACGGUGCUUCGGAGAUGGAGAUCACAAGCACAAGAUGAUGAUGGCCAUAUCAUAUCACUUAUAUUGAUUGCAUGUGAUGUUUAUCCUUUUAUGCAUCUUAUCUUGCUUUGAUUGACGGUAGCAUUAUAAGAUGAUCUCUCACUAAAUUAUCAAGAAGUGUUCUCCCUGAGUAUGCACCGUUGCCAAAGUUCGUCGUGCCCAGACACCACGUGAUGAUCGGGUGUGAUAAGCUCUACGUCCAUCUACAACGGGUGCAAGCCAGUUUUGCACACGCAGAAUACUCAGGUUAUACUUGACGAGCCUAGCAUAUGCAGAUAUGGCCUCGGAACACAGAGACCGAAAGGUCGAGCGUGAAUCAUAUAGUAGAUAUGAUCAACAUAACGAUGUUCACCAUUGAAAACUACUCCAUCUCACGUGAUGAUCGGUUAUGGUUUAGUUGCUUUGGAUCACGUGAUCACUUAGAAGAUUAGAGGGAUGUCUAGCUAAGUGGGAGUUCCUAAGUAAUUUGAUUAACUGAACUUAAACUUAUCAUGAACUUAGUACCUGAUAGUAUCUUGCUUGUUUAUGUUGCUUGUAGAUAGAUGGCUCGUGCUAUUGUUCCGUUGAAUUUUAAUGCGUUCCUUGAGAAAGCAAAGUUGAAAGAUGAUGGUAGCAAUUACACGGACUGGGUCUGUAACCUGAGGAUUAUCCUCAUUGCUGCACAGAAGAAUUACGUCCUGGAAGCACCGCUGGGUGACAGGCCUGCUGCUGGAGCAACGCCAGAUGUUAUGAACGUCUGGCAGAGCAAAGCUGAUGACUACUCGAUAGUUCAGUGUGCCAUGCUUUACGGCUUAGAAUCGGGACUUCAACGACGUUUUGAACGUCAUGGAGCAUAUGAGAUGUUCCAGGAGUUGAAGUUAAUAUUUCAAGCAAAUGCCCGAAUUGAGAGAUAUGAAGUCUCCAAUAAGUUCUAUAGCUGUAAGAUGGAGGAGAACAGUUCUGUCAGUGAGCAUAUACUCAAAAUGUCUGGGUAUAAUAAUCACUUGAUUCAGAUGGGAGUUAAUCUUCCAGAUGAUUGCAUCAUUGACAGAAUUCUCCAAUCACUACCACCAAGCUACAAGAGCUUCGUGAUGAACUAUAAUAUGCAAGGGAUGAACAAGACUAUUCCCGAGCUCUUCGCAAUGCUGAAAGCUGCGGAGGUAGAAAUCAAAAAGGAGCAUCAAGUGUUGAUGGUUAGCAAGACCACUAGUUUCAAGAAAAAGGGUAAAGGGAAGAAGAAGGGAAACUUCAAGAAGAACAGCAAGCAAGUUGCUGCUCAAGAGAAGAAACCCAAGUCUGGACCUAAGCCUGAAGCUGAGUGCUUCUACUGCAAGCAGACUGGUCACUGGAAGCGGAACUGCCCCAAGUAUUUGGCGGAUAAGAAGGAUGGCAAAGUGAGCAAAGGUAUAUGUGAUAUACAUGUUAUUGAUGUGUACCUUACUAGAGCUCGCAGUAGCACCUGGGUAUUUGAUACUGGUUCUGUUGCUAAUAUUUGCAACUCGAAACAGGGACUACGGAAUAAGCGGACACUAGCAAAGGACGAGGUGACGAUGCGCGUGGGAAACGGUUCCAAAGUCGAUGUGAUCGCGGUCGGCACGCUGCCUCUACAUCUACCUUCGGGAUUAAUAUUAGACCUAAAUAAUUGUUAUUUGGUGCCAGCGUUGAGCAUGAACAUUAUAUCUGGAUCUUGUUUAAUGCGAGACGGUUAUUCAUUUAAAUCAGAGAAUAAUGGUUGUUCUAUUUAUAUGAAUAAUAUCUUUUAUGGUCAUGCACCUUUGAAGAGUGGUCUAUUCUUGUUGAAUCUCGAAGAUAGUGAUACACAUAUUCAUAAUGUAGAAGCCAAAAGAUGCAAAGUUAAUAAUGAUAGUGCAACUUAUUUGUGGCACUGCCGUUUAGGUCAUAUCGGUGUAAAGCGCAUGAAGAAACUCCAUACUGAUGGGCUUUUGGAAUCACUUGAUUAUGAAUCACUUGGUACUUGCGAACCGUGCCUCAUAGGCAAGAUGACUAAAACACCGUUCUCCGGUACUAUGGAGAGAGCAACAGAUUUGUUGGAAAUCAUACAUACCGAUGUAUGUGGUCCGAUGAAUAUUGAGGCUCGCGGCGGAUAUCGUUAUUUUUCACCUUCACAGAUGAUUUAAGCAGAUAUGGGUAUAUCUACUUAAUGAAACACAAGUCUGAAACAUUUGAAAAGUUCAAGGAAUUUCAGAGUGAAGUUGAAAAUCAUCGUAACAAGAAAAUAAAAUUUCUACGAUCUGAUCGUGGAGGAGAAUAUUUGAGUUACGAGUUUGGUGUACAUUUGAAAAAUUGUGGAAUAGUUUCGCAACUCACGCCACCCGGAACACCACAGCGUAAUGGUGUGUCCGAACGUCGUAAUCGUACUUUACUAGAUAUGGUGCGAUCAAUGAUGUCUCUUACUGAUUUACCGCUAUCGUUUUGGGGUUAUGCUUUAGAGACGGCCGCAUUCACGUUAAAUAGGGCACCAUCAAAAUCCGUUGAGACGACGCCUUAUGAACUAUGGUUUGGCAAGAAACCAAAGUUGUCGUUUCUCAAAGUUUGGGGCUGCGAUGCUUAUGUGAAAAAGCUUCAACCUGAUAAGCUCGAACCCAAAGCGGAGAAAUGUGUCUUCAUAGGAUACCCAAAGGAAACUGUUGGGUAUACCUUCUAUCACAGAUCCGAAGGCAAGACAUUCGUUGCUAAGAAUGGAUCAUUUCUAGAGAAGGAGUUUCUCUCGAAAGAAGUGAGUGGGAGGAAAGUAGAACUUGACGAGGUAACUAUACCUGCUCCCUUAUUGGAAAGUAGUACAUCACAGAAAACUGUUUCUGCGACACCUAUACCAAUCAGUGAGAAAGCUAAUGAUGAUGAUCAUGAAGCUUCAGAACAAGAUACUACUGAACCACGUAGAUCAACCAGAGUGAGAUCCGCACCAGAGUGGUACGGUAAUCCACUUCUGGAAGUCAUGAUGCUAGAUCAUGAUGAACCUACGAACUAUGAAGAAGCGAUGGUGAGCCCAGAUUCCGCAAAGUGGCUUGAGGCCAUGAAAUCUGAGAUGGGAUCCAUGUAUGAGAACAAAGUAUGGACUUUGGUUGACUUGCCCGAUGAUCGGCAAGCAAUUGAGAAUAAAUGGAUCUUCAAGAAAAAGACUGACGCUGACGGUAAUGUUACUGUCUAUAAAGCUCGACUUGUCGCAAAAGGUUUUCGACAAGUUCAAGGGGUUGACUACGAUGAGACUUUCUCACCCGUAGCGAUGCUUAAAUCCGUCAGAAUUAUGUUAGCAAUUGCCGCAUUUUAUAAUUAUGAAAUAUGGCAGAUGGAUGUCAAAGCUGCAUUCCUGAAUGGAUUUCUGGAAGAAGAGUUGUAUAUGGUACAACCAGAAGGUUUUGUCGAUCCAAAAGGAGCUAACAAAGUAUGCAAACUCCAGCGAUCCAUUUAUGGACUGGUGCAAGCAUCUCGGAGUUGGAAUAAACGCUUUGAUAGUGUGAUCAAAGCAUUUGGCUUUAUACAGACUUUUGGAGAAGCCUGUAUUUACAAGAAAGUGAGUGGGAGCUCUGUAGCAUUUCUGAUAUUAUAUGUGGAUGACAUAUUGCUGAUUGGAAAUGAUAUAGAAUUUUUGGAUAGCAUAAAGGGAUACUUGAAUAAAAGUUUUUCGAUGAAAGACCUUGGGGAAGCUGCUUACAUAUUAGGCAUAAAGAUCUAUAGAGAUAGAUCAAAACGCUUAAUUGGACUUUCACAGAGCACAUACCUUGACAAGAUUUUGAAGAAAUUCAAAAUGGAUCAAGCAAAGAAAGGGUUCUUGCCUGUGUUACAAGGUGUGAAGUUGAGUAAGACUCAAUGCCCGACCACUGCAGAAGAUAGAGAGAAAAUGAAAGAUGUUACCUAUGCUUCAGCCAUAGGCUCUAUCAUGUAUGCAAUGCUGUGUACCAGACCUGAUGUGUGCCUUGCUAUAAGUUUAGCAGGGAGGUACCAAAGUAAUCCUGGAAUGGAUCACUGGACAGCGGUCAAGAACAUCCUAAAAUACCUGAAAAGGACUAAGGAUAUGUUUCUCGUAUAUGGAGGUGACAAAGAGCUCACCGUAAGAGGUUACGUUGAUGCAAGCUUUGACACUGAUCCGGACGAUUCUAAAUCGCAAACCGGAUACGUGUUUACUUUAAACGGUGGAGCUGUCAGUUGGUGCAGUUCUAAACAAAGCGUCGUAGCGGGAUCUACAUGUGAAGCGGAGUACAUAGCCGCUUCGGAAGCAGCGAACGAAGGAGUCUGGAUGAAGGAGUUCAUAUCCGAUCUAGGUGUCAUACCUAGUGCAUCGGGUCCAAUGAAAAUCUUCUGUGACAAUACUGGUGCAAUUGCCUUGGCAAAGGAAUCCAGAUUUCACAAGAGGACCAAACACAUCAAGAGACGCUUCAACUCCAUCCGGGAUUUAGUCCAGGUGGGAGACAUAGAGAUUUGCAAGAUACAUACGGAUCUGAAUGUUCCAGACCCGUUGACUAAGCCUCUUCCACGAGCAAAACAUGAUCAGCACCAAGGCUCCAUGGGUGUUAGAAUCAUUACUGUAUAAUCUAGAUUAUUGACUCUAGUGCAAGUGGGAGACUGAAGGAAAUAUGCCCUAGAGGCAAUAAUAAAGUUAUUAUUUAUUUCCUUAUAUCAUGAUAAGAGUUUAUUAUUCAUGCUAGAAUUGUAUUAACCGGAAACAUAAUACAUGUGUGAAUACAUAGACCAACAGAGUGUCACUAGUAUGCCUCUACUUGACUAGCUCGUUAAUCAAAGAUGGUUAUGUUUCCUAACCAUGAACAAAGAUUUGUUAUUUGUUUAACGAGGUCACAUCAUUAGUAGAAUGAUCUGAUUGACAUGACCCAAUCCAUUAGCUUAGCACCCGAUCGUUUAGUAAGUUGCUAUUGCUUUCUUCAUGACUUAUACAUGUUCCUAUAACUAUGAGAUUAUGCAACUCCCGUUUACCGGAGGAACACUUUGGGUACUACCAAACGUCACAACGUAACUGGGUGAUUAUAAAGGAGUAUUACAGGUGUCUCCAAUGGUAGAUGUUGGGUUGGCGUAUUUCGAGAUUAGGGUUUGUCACUCCGAUUGACGGAGAGGUAUCUCUGGGCCCUCUCGGUAAUACACAUCACAUAAGCCUUGCAAGCACUGCAACUAAUAAGUUAGUUGUGAGAUGAUGUAUUACGGAACGAGUAAAGAGACUUGCCGGUAACGAGAUUGAACUAGGUAUUGGAUACCGACGAUCGAAUCUCGGGCAAGUAACAUACCGAUGACAAAGGGAACAACGUAUGUUGUUAUGCGGUCUGACCGAUAAAGAUCUUCGUAGAAUAUGUAGGAGCCAAUAUGGGCAUCCAGGUCCCGCUAUUGGUUAUUGACCGGAAGCGUGUCUCGGUCAUGUCUACAUUGUUCUCGAACCGUAGGGUCCGCACGCUUAACGUUACGAUGACAGUUAUUAUGAGUUUAUGCAUUUUGAUGUACCGAAGGUUGUUCGGUGUCCCGGAUGAGAUCACGGACAUGACGAGGAGUCUCGAAAUGGUCGAGACGUAAAGAUUGAUAUAUUGGAAGCCUAUGUUUGGGCACCGGAAGCGUUCCGGGUGAAAUCGGGAUUUUACCGGAAUACCGGGAGGGUUACCGGAACCCCCCGGGAGACUAAUGGGCCUAUUGGGCCUUAGUGGAAAAGAGAAAAGGGAAGCCCACUAGCUGGCCGGCGCCCCCUAGAGUCCUAUUAGGAAUAGGACAAGGGGCCGGCCCCCCUUCUCUCUCUUUUUCCCCGGGAGUCCUAAUAGGAUUAGGAUUAGGGGGAGGAGUCCUACUCCCGGUGGGAGUAGGACUCCCCUGCGCCUCCUCUCUCCUCGCCGGCCGAACCCCCUGCCCCUGGCCUUUAUAUACGGGGGCAGGGGGCACCCCAAGACACACAACUUGAUCCUUGAGAUCGUUCCUUAGCCGUGUGCGGUGCCCCCUGCCACCAAAUUCCACCUCGAUCGUACCGUUGUAGUGCUUAGGCGAAGCCCUGCGUCGGUAGUACAUCAAGAUCGUCAUCACGCCGUCGUGCUGACGGAACUCUUCCUCGACGCUUUGCUGGAUCGGAGCCCGAGGAACGUCAUCGAGCUGAACGUGUGCUAAGAACUCGGAGGUACCGGAGUAACGGUGCUUGGAUCGGUCUGAUCGGGAAGAAGACGUACGACUACUUCCUCUACGUUGUGUGAUCGCUUCCGCAGUCGGUCUGCGUUGGUACGUAGACAACACUCUCCUCUCUCGUUGCUGUGCAUCACCAUGAUCUUGCGUGUGCGUAGGAAAUUUUUUGAAAUUACUGCGUUACCCAACAACCCACCUGUCAUACUCUGUUAGGUUAAUUAGGGUUUAGUUAAUUGAUUAGGCUAAUCUAAUCAGGAUUACUUUGUUUAAGUAAUUCUUCAAUUAAUUAAUUAUCAUUUUAACUAAUUUAAUUAUUAUUUAUUAAUUCAUUCAUUUUUUUAAAUUAUUAUUUUUAUUUCGUUCUCGUUUCAGGGGGGCGUGGGGCCCCGCACACGGGGCCACCGCGGGGCUGUUGCCAGCGGGCGCUGGGGCGCUGGGUGCGGGCGCACCCGAGCGGGCACUCGCCCGCAGGGCGGGACGAGGCUGCCGAGGCAUCGACAGCGGGGCAAGCCNNNNNNNNNNNNNNNNNNNNNNNNNNNNNNNNNNNNNNNNNNNNNNNNNNNNNNNNNNNNNNNNNNNNNNNNNNNNNNNNNNNNNNNNNNNNNNNNNNNNNNNNNNNNNNNNNNNNNNNNNNNNNNNNNNNNNNNNNNNNNNNNNNNNNNNNNNNNNNNNNNNNNNNNNNNNNNNNNNNNNNNNNNNNNNNNNNNNNNNNNNNNNNNNNNNNNNNNNNNNNNNNNNNNNNNNNNNNNNNNNNNNNNNNNNNNNNNNNNNNNNNNNNNNNNNNNNNNNNNNNNNNNNNNNNNNNNNNNNNNNNNNNNNNNNNNNNNNNNNNNNNNNNNNNNNNNNNNNNNNNNNNNNNNNNNNNNNNNNNNNNNNNNNNNNNNNNNNNNNNNNNNNNNNNNNNNNNNNNNNNNNNNNNNNNNNNNNNNNNNNNNNNNNNNNNNNNNNNNNNNNNNNNNNNNNNNNNNNNNNNNNNNNNNNNNNNNNNNNNNNNNNNNNNNNNNNNNNNNNNNNNNNNNNNNNNNNNNNNNNNNNNNNNNNNNNNNNNNNNNNNNNNNNNNNNNNNNNNNNNNNNNNNNNNNNNNNNNNNNNNNNNNNNNNNNNNNNNNNNNNNNNNNNNNNNNNNNNNNNNNNNNNNNNNNNNNNNNNNNNNNNNNNNNNNNNNNNNNNNNNNNNNNNNNNNNNNNNNNNNNNNNNNNNNNNNNNNNNNNNNNNNNNNNNNNNNNNNNNNNNNNNNNNNNNNNNNNNNNNNNNNNNNNNNNNNNNNNNNNNNNNNNNNNNNNNNNNNNNNNNNNNNNNNNNNNNNNNNNNNNNNNNNNNNNNNNNNNNNNNNNNNNNNNNNNNNNNNNNNNNNNNNNNNNNNNNNNNNNNNNNNNNNNNNNNNNNNNNNNNNNNNNNNNNNNNNNNNNNNNNNNNNNNNNNNNNNNNNNNNNNNNNNNNNNNNNNNNNNNNNNNNNNNNNNNNNNNNAGUGGCCCAGUGGGGGGGGGGGUUGUUUUAUUCCUUUCCCUUUUAUACCUUUUCACACUUUUCUUCUUUUGUUUUAUUUUAGUUACACGUUAAUUUUAAUUUUAGACAAAUAUAUCUAUAGCCCCUAAAAUAAUGUUUCAGAACAAUCCACUACUAUAAAAAGUUUUACCCUGAUAAAAUAGUCUAGUAUUUUAUAAAAUACCAAAGUCGUUUAAAUAGUUGUUUAGCUACUAUUUAAAUCAUUUUAGUGCUUUAAAUCAUUUUACUAAAAUGUGGUUCCUCCACCAUUUGGACUUAGGAUUUAUUUGUCCCAUUUUGAACAUUUUAGUCUUGACGUUUGAAGAAUUUACCGUUUGACUCGAUUUUGAAUUUGAAUUUGAAUCGGUGUCGAACUAACACGAGAUUAGCAACAGUAACCAUCAUGACGUGGCAUCAUUAACAGAGGUUUACUGUAUCUCAAAUACCCGGGCGUCACAAUGUGCCUAAUAUUGCAGGAGAUGAGGUGGCUCUGGCUGCAUUAAAAUUUUUAGCCCAAAAUAAGAAGAUUAGUGAUAUUUUCCUUGAGCAACACGACAAGGGAUUGGUUCCUCAUUAUGAGGCAAUAAUAGCUAGGGUUUUGAAAGAAGACCAAGUGUUGCCGAUUGAUCAAAUUGUCGAGAGAAAAUAUUCAACAAUGAUGCAGAUGCCUUCACCUAUCAUUGCAACAUGUUAUACACCCCCUGUACAAGCGCAAAAUUUCGGCAACAUCAAUUCAUUGCCGAAAGAUCCUAAAAGUAUUGGGGGGCAAGCCGAUCCAAGCAGGGUUGAGUUUAAAGAAAAAUAUCUAGCCCAGGUGGACAAGAUCAAGCCAAAGCUCACAGGGAAUAGAGUCAACGAAUUUACUACACCUACCCUUGAGGAAUUACCAGCAGAAUAUCAACAGGCCUACGAAGCACUCAAGAAGAAACGUGGAGAGAGAUAUUUGCAAGAAUACGUCAAGUGCCUUCCUCCAUGUAGCAACCAUGUUGGCCCUUCUACACUAUUGAGGCAAGAUAAAAAAGAAGCUUUGCAAGCAAACCAGCAAAAAAGGAUUCACUCGGCUAAUACGGUGGAUUCGGUUGAAACCGGAUUGAGCAACAGGAUGUUUAAGGCCGAGUGCGUUGCAUCGUGCCAGCCGAGUGCAUCGUUCCAGACGAGUGCAUCACCAGCUAAAGCCGAGUGCAUCAAGCCAACUAUUGCCUCGUGUACGAAAAUAGAAGAUGCAAGCUUGGCUGAGCAAAGGAACGACAAACGCAACAAAUUGGUUGUGCUCGAUUUUUCUGGAUGUAAGGGAGCUUACAUGCUACCUUAUGAGUUUCAUGCUAAAGAUAUUGAUGAGCAUCAAGAACACAGUAAUGGCUGAACACAGUUCAGUUAACGAUGAACAUCAAGACCAAGAAAAUGCGGCCGAGCAAAGUUCAACUGACAAAGAGCGUCCGAGUGAAAUCCACUCGGGCAAUCCGACUGAAAUAUACUCGGGCAAUUCAAGUGAAAUAUACUCGGGCAACCUGAGUGAUGAGGCACCAGAUCCAGAAAAAGAGGAAGAGGCAUUGGAGAAUUAUUCAGAAGUGGAGCAAUGUAUUGUUCCAGUGGUACAACCAUCUUCUCCUUCCAACGUCUUCACAAAGGUACACCUAGCAGAUAGUUUACUCAAUUUUCGAUUUGGUCAAAAUCAUAUUGUUGAUGCACCUAUUAGUAAGAUUCUAAUUAAUUUUGAAAGACCAAUUGAAAUGAGUAAUCUUUUUGUUAGGAAGGAUCUUGUCACUAAUCAUGAUAGUCAACACAUGGUAUCGUUCAUAGAGGUUAAUAGUGACAACUUAUCAAAACCAAAGUUGUUCUUGUCAUGCCAACUGAACUUUGUAUUCAUAUGGACAACUUUGUUUGUUUCAUGCCUAGCUAACAUUUGGACUCCUAUGAGCCGUAUAUUCUGUAAUUAUUUUAGUUGCAGAAACAUAAAGUCAGGUCCAAAGUCCUUCGAAGCCGAUUCAAAUGCAUCAGGAAAAGAAGAUGAAUCUUUCCCAAUUGAUAAAAUUGGCGAGCAAAAAUAUGGUUUUACAACAAUGCAUAUGCCUUCACCUAAUACUACAUCAUAUUAUACAGCCCCUACACAAUUGCAAAGUUUCGGCAACACCCAUGUGCCAUUGCCGAAAGAAUCUAAAAGCAAUGGGGGACAAUCGUAUCCGAAGUGGGCUGAAAAUGAGAAAAAGAUUAAAGCCAAUUUCGCCGCUCGCCGGCAGAAACAAAAAGAAACAGAAUUGGCUCAAGUGAAAGAAGCAUUGCCAAUUGGUAGAAGCAAUGUAAAGAAAGAUGAUUCAGAACAUGAAAGUACUAAGGUUAAAAGAGCCGAAUCAAGGAGUAUAUAUUCUGAAUCCAUCAAAUGCAAAGAGGCAAGCAUUAUUGAGAAAGGGCAUGGCAAGCAUAGCAAAGCGACCAUACUUGAUUUUUCUAAAGUUAAUGGAACCUACUUCCUGCCCUAUGAGUUUUGUGCCAGAGAAAUUGAUGAACUUCAAGGACAAGAAUAAGUAGCCGAACAAAGUUCGGCCGACAAAAAUCUUCAAUGUAAUGAUGCACGAAAUCAACAAAAAGAUGAUGAAGAAGCGUUGGGGAGCCAUCCAAAGGCGGAGCAAGAUAUUGUUCAAGUCACACCACCAUCGUGCUCUCCCAACAUAUUUGAAGAGGUAUGUUUAGCAAGUAAUUUACCUAUUUUCAGAUUUGGUCAGGACUUUAUUGUUGAUGCAUCUAUUAGAAAAAUCCUCAUAAGUAAUUUUGAAAGACCAAUGAAGCAGGGUAAUUUACUUGCUAGCAAUAAAGUUGUUAUUGAGCAUAUCGGUCAACCCAUUACGCCAUUUAUAAAGACCGAUAGUGACUUAUUAUUACAGCCAAAGUUUUCCCCGUUGCUUUAUCUAAAGUUCAUAUCUAUUUGGGUAGCUUUGCUUAUUUCAUACUUGGCUUGCACUUGGUCCCAAUUGAGACAUGUGUGUUCUAACUAUUUUCGUUUUAGAAAUUUAAAGCCAAGAUUAAAUUCUGUUGAGAAAACCGAUGCUAGUAUAAUAUCUUACCCAAAGACAUCGGAGAUAGAUUGCAAAACACAAUGCAUAGCCGAAUGGUGUGAUGCAAAAUCUGAACCAUUCGUUUGCUUCAUUCCGAAGCCGUUCUCACAGCAAGAUCGGCUAGAAAACAAGAAGUAUACCUUCAAUUCAAGCAUGUGUGUUCAAAUAUUUGAUUUGUUGCUGAAAAAUAAUUACAUUACAAUUCUUGAUCACCAUGUUAAGCCAUCAAUCCAAGGACGAAUGUAUUGUAAGUUGCAUGAUUCGUCCAAGCAUAAUUUUGAGGAUUGCAACAUGUUUCGUCAAAUAGUUAAAUCGGCCAUUGAAAAAGGACGAUUGAAGUUUGUUGAAACACCAAGAGAUGACCAGUCUAUUCCGAUUGGUCCCGAUGGCAAAAAGUUUUUGCAUCGACUGCUUCAAGCCGAUCCAUUUAAAGAGAAGGUAAAAACUGCAGGUGAUGGGAUCAAGCUUUCAAGUAAAGAAGUUGUUGAAGAGCAUAAUGAACAUAAUCUUGAGGGUGAGAAUUCCAUCCAAGCUACAAUGGAGACGCCAAGGACUGGGGGGCAGCAAGCAAAUCCAACGAUCGAUGAAAGAAAACCAAAAGAAAACAAAGGCCGAAAUAAGCGCAAGUGUAAAAGAUCAAAAAUCACCUUCGAUGAACUAUUUGAGAAAUAUCAAAAGAAGAGUGAAGAGAAGAAUGCUUAUCGGCCCAAUCAUGCAAAGAAACCAAGAUCACCCCCAAGGCGCAAAUAUGAGGAUCGGUAUUGGCAAUGUGAGAGUUUCAAUGCAACAUAUUCAUAUCCUUAUUUUGGGCCGCCAAUGCCAAUGCCGUGGAUGCCUCCCUAUGCUCAUGUAGAUCCAUAUUCAUCAUGGGACAGGUAUGAUACAAGGGCACAUUCUCCAUCUUAUUUUAGACCAUCUCACCAAUAUUAUGCAGCUCCGAGAAGAUCAACAUUUGAACAGUCACAUGUUAAAGACCGUUUCAAUUAUAAGGAAUCGGUCCGGACACCAUGGAUGAAAAAAGAGGUGGUCAAGCAAGUCUACCGCGUGAAACUAUGAAGGACCGAGCCGAAGGAUUCAACAUCUUUGGUCUACACAUUAUCCAAAUUCUUCAACUAUGUCGUUAACGCCUAUGCCAUGGAAUUCGUCAUCAGGUAUGAUCGGUAACCCUCAAUGGGCUUAUUUUAAUCCAUGGAUGCAAUAUAAUUUCUUACGUCAUGAAAGGGUAUUACCAAGUCACUAUACAUUUGAUUAGCUACAAGUUUGUUGCUGAUCCAAAGGGCCGAAAUACUUGAUUUGUCAUUUCAUUUGUUUAUUUCGGCUAUAUGUGCUUUGAAUGAAGUUUAGAUGGUAAUGGCCGAUGAUAUUUAUCUAUCGUCCUAAGAGUAUGUCAAUGCAUGGCAGGUGUAGUAUUCUAAUAUCGUCCUUAGUUUGAUUGGUGAGCGAGACAAUGUACAUGCUCAUGAAAAUUUAUAUGUAUGCCUAUAUUAUGAUUGAAUGGAGUUGAGACAUCAUGACCGAUGUCAUUGAAUAUAUGCUGCAUAGACCAAUUCAUAGCUGCGGAAUUGGUUGAUGGGCUUAUACUUUGUUUGGAUAUGAUUUGGCUUAUGCAUCUUUGAGAUCUAUAAGAGGCCAAAUCAUAGUUGAUUUUGUUACUGAACAUCGGAUUAGUGUCAUGCAUAAUAUUAAUAUUAGCCUUGUCUCUCUAGUACUAUGGAGAUUAUGUUUUGAUGGUUCAAUUCAUAGCAAUGGCCAAAGUGUUGGUGUUGUUUAUAUAUUUCUUUAUGGUACUAUUUUUUGAAGCCUCGUGCCGCUUAGAAUAUUUUUAUGCACGAUUAAUCAAGGCCGAAUAUGCAUUGUUAUUCGGAUUGACUCUUUUACUUGCUAUAGGUGUUAUACAUAUUGAGGCUUUUGGUGAUUCGUUCUGAGUAGUGCAACAAAUAUCCAAGGAUUAUCAAUGUGUUUUACCGAAUCACUUAUAGUUUAUCUUGGGCUAUGUCUAGAUGAAGAAUUUACCUUGGGUUGCAUUCAAAUUGUUCAUAUAUUUAGACAUGGCAAUUGGAGAGAGUUGGCAUAGCAAGCAUCCGGCUACCAUGUCCAUCAUGUUGUAUUGCAUUUCUCUCAAUAGCCGAUGCUUAGUCUUGUCAACAUAGGUAAGGUCGAACCGAAGUCCAGAACUUCGGCCACUAAUGAAAUUUUUAUGCAGGCCAAAGUAAGGAUUGGAGAAAGUUUAUUGUUGAUUGUCUACAAAAUCCUAGCAAAAGGGUGAACAAUAUGGUUCGGAGGAUGACAUUGAGAUACAUAUCUAUGGAACUUUAUCACCGGAUUGUUAAUGAAGCUGAGAAGGUUUCACCCGAGUUUGCAUCAGAAAGUUCACACAAGACAUGGCCGAUAUAUACUUAUCGUCCUAAGAACAUAUAAAUGGCCGAUGGAGUGUUGACAUCGUCCUUAGAACAAACUUGGUACAAGUAUUUUUCGACACGCUAGGUUUACCGAAAAACAGUGGGGCAUGUGUUGACGCUCAAAAGUGGCACGAUCAUAAAGCAGCAUGCUGGGGCGAAAACCUUGCCGGGGUAAAAUCUUGCCGGUGUGAAAGCUUGCCGGUGUGAAAGCUUGCCGGUGUGAAGGCUUGCCGGCGUGGAAAGCUUGCCGGCACAGAAAGAUCGCCGGUGCUUGCCGGUGUGAAAUCUUGCCGAGGGAGAAACCUUGUCAGGAAGGAACCCUUGCCGGAGUACAAACCUUGCCGGAGUGAAACCUUGCCUGUGUGAAAGCUUGCCGGGUAGAAACAUUGCCGGUGUGGAAAGCUUACUCGGACGGAAAACUUGCCGGGUUGGAGGCUGUGAUAGUCAAUCGAACGAGAAGUUGAAGAUGGGCUCAAAAGGUUAUUCAGAUGAUCUCGGAUGGAAAAAUGAUCUACACGGGUUGUCUUCGUCUCGUCGAAACGAUCGAUUUUGGUAUAAAAAUCAUUCAAAUUCGAGUUUGUAUGCAAAAGUUAGAGCAAUCGGAGUGCAGCCCUGUCACGAGGCGAGAUGUGGCGUGCCCCACCAGACACAUGUCUGACGGGUAGUGCGAGGAAAUAGCCUGUGUUGCGAGACCGAUCUGACCCUCAAGAUGAUCUCUGAUCAAAACACCUUCAACAUGAAAGCUGUUCGUCUCGUCGAAACGGUCAAGAUUGCUUUUGGGCUUGUUUUCAUCCGGGAUCGUUUACCACUGCCAAAAAGACCCGCAAUGUGCAGCCAGUUUAAACCGAACAGUUUUGGAAAGUUCAGAUAAACCAGUCCGAAUUUGACUAGGGUUUUGUACGUGAAUUGAUGUAAUUUUCUUGUAAGGAAAGCCGAGAUAAAUUCUUUGCUUGUACGGGAAGUCCAGCCGCCUCUUAUAUAUGUUGGGGGUGACGGCCGAUUGAAACAACACACAAUCGAACAAACACAUCUACUACCUUUUCAUGUUCAUCUACUUUUUAUCUCUCCCUUGUAUCUUUCUUCUCGUUCUUCGCUAGUUCUUCAUGCUGGAGGGCUGCGGAUCCACGAGGCUUUAGGGCCUAGCUAGCGAAUCGACCUAGGGCAGCCCAUAGCCGCCGCAAUCCCUGACGGGGUCCCUCUCGGGUGCGCGGGGUUUCGGGUCUGCAAAAGCGCCCGCCGACUGUCUUGCGUAUCGCGCUGUCGGUCGGGUCUCCUUCGACGUGAGCUGCGGUGCAUCACCCCUGGCGUCGAGGAUACAUGUGACGUGUUCGUGUGCGAACAACGUGCUCCCUGGCUCCACCCCAUUGAAAAAAUAUACAUCUGGAGGCUGCUUUGUUUCCUCAUCAAAAAAAACUUACGUUAAAAAGAUUGCAUGCAUCCCAGGAAAAAUAAUCAAGAAGUCGGACUCAUCCUUACAAAAACAAGGAACGUGUUAAGUUGACUUCAAAGAAAAAAGGAACAUGUUAAGUUAAAAAAAACAAGAAACCUGUUAAGUUAGAAAAAAACAAGGAACGUGUUGUCCUAGGAAAGAUAUGUGUCAAAUCUUACAAAAAAAAGAAUACACACACGUACGUUCAUGCACUUGGAAAAUAGAAAAAAAAGAACAUCACGUAUGUAUACACUUUGGAAACUCAUUACAUGACCAUGUCUGAUAUACUCCUCUAAUGCUUAACAUUAGUGCCUAAUAAUUUAUAUUUAAAAUUUAAUUUACUGAUCAAAUAUCCCCACUGUUUAAAUUUUAAUUUGGCACAUUGUUUGACUACAGUAUGAACCUAAAUUUCCUCUUAUUAAUAUAUAUCAUGGUAAUAAUCCAAAGGCGACUAAUCUGCGCCGGUGCACCGGCGCAAUCAAUUUGGCCGGACACAGCGCGGCCUUUUGAUUAGAUUGCAUUUAACCAUCAGAUCUGGAAUCGUUUUCUUUCCAAUUAAACGGAUUCAACCAAACAGCAGAGGGGAAAACAAAGCAGCGCCGCCGCCAACACUAGCCAUGGACGAUCGAUGUACCAAAACCUUGAAUAACUGCCGCCGGUCGCCACCCUCGCCGCUGGUGGCCGCCCUCGCCGUCGGUCACCGCCGAUCACCGCCCUCGCUGCCUGCGUUUCUCAUCGGCUUCAUGCAUGCAACAGCAUGCAGUCGUGGUUGCAGGCUUGCAGCUCCGGCUCCGGGGGACAUGGCCGCAUCUCCGGUAACGCCAGCCGCCGACCGCAGCACCUGUCGUUAUGGUCGCGUUGUACCUCGCCGUGUGCCCUCCCGAGGCUCUUGCUGGUUCCAACAAAAAACAAUACGUGUUGUAGCAAAAAAGUUUAUCGCUUCCAGCAAAAAAGCUUACCGCUACAGCCCGCCAUCGUCAUUGUAGCAAAAAUGUUAACCCGAUGUAGCUUUUGUGGUUGCCGACUGCAACAAAAAAUGACGUGGUUGUAGCAAAACACAAAAGAAAAAUGCCGGCCGGCCGCUGUGUAUGGUGGUAACAAACCCUAUAGCCGGUGGUAGCGAAAAACUUCAUAGUUUGCAGCAAAAAAAUGUUGUCGCCCGUCGUCGAGGUUGCAUCGUCUUCAUGAAUUAUGUCGCAAAAAAACAUUGUCGCCGGUAGUAGCAAAUGAAGCCGCCGGUAGUAGCAAAACAAGACACUGGUUCCAGCCAAAAAAUAAAUCAGCGACAGAACCUUUGGUUGGUUACAACAAAAAAACUUGUCGGUUGUAACAUCCCUCGCCGCCGGAUGUAGCAUCUCCCGGGGCUGGUUGCAACACUCCAUAAAAAAAAUGUUGUCUAUGAGCGCAUCCAUGGCGACUGCUGCACCAUCAGCAACGAGGGGAAGAGGAGGCAAUGAAAAUCGUUCGAGUCGUAGCUCCACAGGACGCGGCUGCAGCAUGGGGAGUCCAAAAAUCUGUCACAAGCAACAUGCGCCUCACCAUCCUCCUGCGCAGGAGAGAGAAGAAAAAGGAAUAAGAGGAAGAAGAAAGGAAACGGGAGGAAGAAAAAAGAAACGAUUGGUGGUGGGCUGAGGCAAUUAGUCAAACGAGGGGCACGCGGGGCCGCAGGAUACAGCGCAAUCGAACGAAGCGCGCGCGUCCGGCCGAAGACUCGGCCGGACUGCCGUCUGGAAACGUUUCCCUAAUCCAAAGGCUUUGUCUGAAUGACAAGUCGUCUGGGUUACCGGCUAACUAGAAAAAAGAUAAAUAUGCUAGAGAAUUUCAUAAUAAUUAGAAAUAUCUAGCCUUUAAUUAUGUAAAUCAGAAAAUCACAACCGUUGGAUUUACUUUAAAGGUAAAUUUCUCUAAAUUCCCACCAUUGCCAGUAUGUAGAAACAUGUGCUGCUUCAAUUCUCCCAUAAUCACCAAUCAAUCAACAACACAAAACAUACCUCAGUUAAAAAAACUGAACAAAAAAAAAGAAAAAAGAAGAAAGGACAAGAUACACGCAUGUACACGACAGCCUUGGCUUGAAACACAUCAGUAGAUCAAGUGUCCGCCUCCCUUACACAGAAUAAACUCAUAGGGAAGAAAAUAAUUGUGCAACCUAACCUUAUACGUACUAUUCUAUCCUCACGUCCCAUGAGGUUUACUAGCCUACCGCCGCCGCAUCAUGCCAUCCCCUCCUUUCAGCUCCCAUGCUUUCCAGCACCCUCAUUGCCGCGCCACUACUUGCCUAGGGAUAUUGCUGCUCAGACCGUGGAGCUUAACCUGCUUCUUCUUCAGCAAAUAUGGUACUGCUUUAGGAUCCUUCUCACAUCAGCACGUAUGGGCCUCAUUAUACUGCAGCUCCUGGACCUCCUACAAUUGGUUGGCUAUGGCCAGUUGAUCGAUGUGCCGAAGUCCAGGUCUGUUUGCUGGCACAUAUGCUUUGGAAAUAGGCCACUAUGUUUGUACUUCAAAAUUGUUUCUGUAUUCUUGAGUGGUACAUCCUUUUAAGCGCCAGUUUUUUAUGUCAAUUCAUGCUGACAACACUUAACCUAGCCUUUCAUCUUCACGUACUAAAUACAGGAGCAAGUAAAAACAACAGACCACCUAAUUGCUCUGCAUGUACUACAUAGGAAAAUUUGUCAUGUUCUACGAUCGCACCAUCCCACACUUCUCUCUUGGUAUGGGCGCCAAUUGAGGGAUUGAUAAAACUGAAACGAAGACGUCACGGGGCUGGAAGUACCGCUAGCCUGGUUUGCACUGCAACCUACUCAACGCCAUCAGAAACUAGCAACUGAGGCAGUUGUUGAUCGAUUCUCUCAAAUUGCUCUCAUGUAAGUACUACCCCUUGCAUGUGCGUACAUACCUUUGUUCCAUUCUCAAACAGAUAGAACAUUUAUGAUCGGUGCAUGGCUAUUUUUCAUCACAUGACAUCCAGAUAACAAGCAUGAAAGGACUACAUUGGAGAUCAAAAAAUAUUGGUUCCUGGCUAGAGGACCACUACCUAUGGACUUGUCUCCAUAGAAUUUGUUCCCAAGACGUUAUUUUAAUUAACCUCUUUAGCUUUCUUCCAUUGCAAACGGUGAUGUGCAUCAUGGUAUAUACGUGACCAUCUUGCACAUGUAUACACAAGAGGCUCAGACGGAGGUGCUGGAUUCUGGACGAGGGAAUAUGAAGCAGGAGUGAGCGAAGAGUAAAUAAUGGUGGGAGUACCGAUUGGUGUUAUGAAGAAAAAUGCCAUUCAAAGAUUGAUUAGUGUCAUGGAAGAUUAAUUUCUGAAUGCGAAUAUAUAUGUUACAUUGGUUUGGAUCUUUUUGAGAUAAUUGCACCUAAAUUAGGUUCUUUCUUAUUUCAUAUGUAUACCUUAUUUCAGUAAAAGUUCACAACGAACUUAGUAGGACAAAUAUAAUUUUGUUUGUGCUUUCUGUUGUCCGCCACCAAAGCUCAGUUUGAACUCUCUAGAAAUGGACAAUGAUUUAUGCAUUCUAUAUCUUCUUGAUUGAUUAGUCAUGACAAGGAAAUAAAAUGAUUGACUGAUAUAGCAUAACUUUGGAACGAUCUGUUCGUAGAGGUUACUACAAAUUAGAGUAGUGUCUGUUGGAAUUUUGCUAGUAGGCCUUUGGCCCAAAGCCCAACUAAAAUUCUGAAAUUCUCUUGGCUCAUUCAUGCACACAUGUGAGUGGAGUGAGUGAGACUAAAGUUUAGUCCCUCCCCGAAAGUUGAGAGAGUGUUGCACCUCUUUAUAAGGUGAGCUCUUCUACCACUUGUAUGAGCAUGGGAAGAGGAGACCUACACGCGCGCUCCUCCUCCUCGCUCACCAUGCCUCGUCACGACGCGCCGCGCCGCACCGCGUGGUGGGUUGUGGGAUUGAGCCGAGCCGAGGACGUUGUCUAUAUUUUUGCUGCUCGGGAAAAAUUAAUGAGUCAUUAAUUAAUAAUUAAUGGACGCGUUAAUUACUGAACCGUUUCCGAUUCUUUUGGAUCCUGACGACUCGGACGUGGGGUUUACUCCCACGACCUACCCGACCUGCACUACAUAGCCAGGCAGACGUCUACCUUAGCCGCCGCCCCUUCGUAUGGUUUCUCACCACCGUUACAGAUCAUUGCGCCGCCAAGCAAGUUUUCUCCAUCCCUCGUUUCGGCGUGCACCGGGAGAAGGGACAGCAGGCCUCCGGAACCCCGCCUCUCGUGAUCCUGUACGGAAGAGGGGCGAUCAGGUUUUUGGGGAGCGCAUCGCACGACUGCUGGCAGCGACGACUUCGCGAACGACGACUUCUUCCCCGACCUCGGCAACCUCAUCCUCGAGGACAUGGGCGACAACGUCAACGCCGGCGGUGCUACACCCACUGCACCGUAUGUUAUUCUAUCCUUCUUGUUCGAGAUCGUGGUAGAAUUCAUGUUUCUAGUAUGUGCCCUAGAGGUGAUCUGUUCAUCUACUAUGCUAGUUCGCAUGAUUAGUUUAAUCUCUGCUAUUGCUGUCAUGAUCUAUUUCCUAUUUAUUCGGAUUAAAUCUCGUAGUAAUUUUCUCAUUUUUCCAACAAUCCAAAAACCUAAUUAUAGGCAACUUACUCCGAGUGGUUUUGAUGCGCAUCUGAAAGCCGCCUGCCUUUAAGGGGGCGCAAUAUAAGAGGUGGCGCACGAGAGCAGUCUACUGGUUUCAGAUCAUGGGCUGCUAUGACGCCAUCGAUACCCUCUUUAAAGGCACUCUUCUGAGUGUUCUUGAUGACUCCAUUGUGGAUUCGUAUAUGUCGUUGACAACGGCAAGAAUAUGUGGGCUGCGCUCGAGGCCAAGUUUGGUGCCUCGGAUGCUAGUAGCGAGUUGUACGUCAUGGAGCAAUUCUAUGACUCCAAGAUGACUGAUGAGCGCCCUGUUGUACAGCAGGCUCAUGAGAUACAGUCGCUCGGAAAAGAACUUGAGUACUUCAAGUGUGUGUUGCCGAACAAAUUUUUUGCCGGAGGCAUCAUUGCCAAGCUUCCACCUUCGUGGAACAAUUUUGCUACUUCCCUGAAACACAAGAGACAGGAGUUUUUCGUUGCGGAUCUCAUUGGUACUCUUGAUGUUGAAGAGAAGGCGAGAGCAAAGGAUACACGUGCUCGAGUUGCUGAGGGAGGUUCUAGUGCCCACAUGGUACAGAAGAAGAACUUCCAGCCCGUUCAAAAACAACAAGAACAAAACUCAGGGCAAAGGCAAGUUUGAUACAAAGAACAAGCCAUCACAUUCUACCAACUUCAAGAAGAAUUCUCAUAAGAAGGGGAAGGGACUUUGCCAUGUCUGCGGUGAUCCUAAUCACUGGGCUCUGAAGUGUCCUAACUGCUUUGAGGAGCGCGAACAUGAGAAGAGCGGCAAGUCCGCUAAUGUUGUCAUCGGUGAUACUGAUAUGAAGGAAUCAGGGUACGGUAUUUUUCCUACCAUCCUUUCAGUUUUCCAAACCCCUGAUUGGUUAAUUGACACCGGUGCCAAUGUACAUGUUUGUGCUGAUGCCUCCAUGUUUUCUUCUUACCAGGCCAUUGGGACUUCACCCGUGCUGAUGGGGAACGGGUCACAUGCCAUCGUUCGAGGUGUUGGUACGGUCGAUCUGAAGUUUACUUCGGGGAAGACCGUGCGUCGGAAGAACGUUCAUCAUGUUCCAUCCAUCAAUAAAAAUCUCGUUAGCGGUUCCCGUUUAUGUCGAGAUGGUUUUAAGUUGGUUUUCGAAUACACUAAAGUUGUAAUUUCUAAGUACGGACAAUUUGGUGGAAAAGGCUAUGAGAGCGAAGGCUUGUUUUGCCUGUCUUUGUCAGAUAUUUUCACUAAAGUUAUUAAUAAUGUUUGCCACAACAAUGAGUCUGAUAUUUGGCAUUCACGACUUUGUCACAUUAACUUUGGUUGCAUGACGCGGCUAGCCAAUAUGAAUUUAAUUCCGAAAAUCUCUACUGUCAAAGGCUCUAAGUGCCAAGUAUGUGUGCAAGCUAGCUAAGCAACCUCGCAAGUCCCAUAAGACUGUAGAGGCAAGAGACUUGGCGCCACUAGAGCUUAUACAUUCUGAUAUUUGUGAGAUGAAUGGCGUGUUGACAAAAGGUGGAAAGAGAUACUUCAUGACGUUGAUUGAUGACUCCACUAGAUAUUGUUAUGUGUAUCUUAUGAAAUCAAAAGAUGAGGCUUUGACUUUCUUCAAAAACUAUAAAGCUGAGGCAGAGAACCAACUUGAUCAAAAAAUUAAACGGCUUAGGUCCGAUCAUGGUGGAGUGUAUUUUUCCAAUGAAUUUGAUCUGUUUUGUGCGGAACAUGGUAUAAUCCAUGAGAGGAUGCGUCCCUACUCAGCCUAGUCAAAUGGGGUAGCCAAAAUAAAGAACCGAACUCUAACUGAUAUGGUUAACACCAUGUUAGACACUUCAGGUCUAUCCAAGGAAUGGUGGGGGCAGGCGCUAACGACUGCGUGUCAUGUCCUAAACAGAGUACCCACAAAGCAUAAGACCAUGACUCCAUUUGAGGAAUGUGAAAGGAAAAUGUUGAAACUCUCUUACCUACGUACUUGGGGUUGUUUGGCGAAAGUCAAUAUACCAAUUCCCAAGAAGCGCAAGGUUGGACCAAAAACCGUGGAUUGUGUUCUUCUGGGCUAUGCUUUUCAUAGCAUCGGCUAUAGAUUUUUGAUAAUAAAAUCUGAGGUAUCCGACAUGCAUGUUGGUACGAUUAUGGAGUCGAAUGAUGCAACUUUCUUUGAGGACAUAUUUCCUAUGAAGGAUAUGUCGAGUUCAUCAAAUCAGGAGACACCUACUCCAUCUAGUGAGGAAUUCACUGUAAUUCCUGAACCCACCAUUGCGAUGGAACACGUUGAGAAUCCUGUUGAGGGUGACAAUGGAACUCCUAUGAGGAGUAAGAGACACAGGACUACAAAGUCCUUUGGUGAUGAUUUCAUUGUGUUCCUCGUGGAUGACACACCCAGGACUAUUUCAGAAGCCUGUGCAUCUCUUGAUGCUAACUACUGGAAGGAAGCUGUACGUAGCGAGAUGGAUUCCAUCUUAGGUAACGGAACCUGGGAGAUCACUGACCGUCCUUAUGGGUGCAAACUUGUAGGAUGUAAGUGGGUGUUCAAGAAGAAGCUUAGACCUGAUGGUACGAUUGAAAAGUACAAGGCACGGCUUGUGGCCAAGGGUUAUACCCAGAAAGAAGGUGAAGACUUCUUUGAUACUUACUCACCCGUGGCUAGAAUGACCACAAUUCGGGUGCUACUAUCACUUGCUGCCUCACAUGGUCUUCUCGUUCAUCAAAUGGAUGUUAAGACAGCUUUCCUCAAUGGAGAGAGUUGGAGGAAGAAAUUUACAUGGAUCAGCCAGAUGGUUUUGUAGUACCUAGUUAGGAAGGAAAGGUGUGCAAGUUAUUAAAGUCUUUAUAUGGCCUUAAACAAGCUCCUAAAGAGUGGCAUGAGUAGUUUGAAAGAACAUUAACUGCUGCCGGCUUUGUAGUAAACGAUGAUGACAAGUGCGUGUACUAUCGCUAUGGUGGGGCGAAGGAGUUAUUCUUUCUCUGUAUGUCGACGACAUAUUGAUCUUUGGAGCCAAACUUGAUUUAAUCAAGGAGGUUAAGGAUUUCUUAUCUUGUUGUUUUGAGAUGAAGGAUCUAGGAGUAGCUGAUGUUAUCUUAAACAUCAAGCUGUUGAGAGAUGAGAAUGGUGGGAUCACACUACUUCAGUCUCACUAUGUGGAAAAGGUCUUGAGUCAUUUUGGGUAUAGCGACUGCACACCUUCUCCAACUCCAUAUGAUGCUAGUGUGUUGCAUCGAAAGAAUCGAUGGAUUGCUAGAGAUCAACUGAGGUAUUCUCAUAUUAUUGGCCCGCUUAUGUAUUUGACGAGUGCCACGAGGCCUAACAUCUCAUUUGCUGUUAGCAAGCUGAGUCGGUUUGUGUCAAAACCGGGAGAUGAUCGUUGGCAUGCUCUUGAGAGAGUUAUGCGCUAUUUGAAAGGCACCGCGAGCUAUGGGAUUCACUACACCGGGUAUCCAAGGGUACUGGAGGGUUAUAGUGACUCAAACUGGAAGUCCUGCAAACAGACCAUCUUAACAAGGUCAAGUAUGGAAGCAGAACUCACAGCAUUAGAAACUGCCACUGUGAUAAUCAAACUAUGAUCGUCAAGAUAAACAGUUACGGACAAUAUGAAGUCCUCAAGGCAUGUGAAGAGGAGACUGAAAUCUGUCAGAAAAUUGAGGAACUCUGGAGUUAUUACGUUGGAUUAUAUCGAAACAUCGAAAAAUUUGGCAGAUCCCUUCACAGAGGGUCUAUCACGUAAUGUGAUAGAUAAUGCAUCGAUGGAGAUGGGUCUGAGACCCACCGCAUGAGUUGUCCAUAGUGGUCUAUGUGAUCGGAGAUCCCGUGAAGUAGAAGUGGGAGACAAGUUGUUGAUCAGCUGGGAGGAUAGUAUCCCUAUAUUACCUAUCCCACUCCAUGAAGAUGCAAUACUCUCCUAAUCUGCAUGGCAGGUUGACACUUAUGUUAAUGUGUUCCAAGUGGCUUAUUCGGGUAAGCAGAGAUGUUGUCCUGCAGAACAUCUUCUAAGGAACACACCUAUAUGAAUUUGACUGUUAACGUCGCAGUAUGUGAGAAUUGGGUGUUCUCUAAUAAAUUGAUGAAAAGGCCCUGGAGUAUGACGUAUACGCUCCACCCGCGGGGAAGCCUUGCGGCAGCCCAGUAUCGGUCAAGAAUUUGUGUGAAACUAGUCUCGCAGAAAAUUUGUAGUUCAAGGCGUAGUCCAAACGGAAUAUCAAACGGAGUCCAAACGGAAUGAAACCUUUGGGAACGUGAUUUUCUCAACGAACAAGACCCAGGAGACUUGGACCCUACGUCCAGACACAAAAGAGGAGGCCACGAGGUAGGGGGGCGCGCCCUCCACCCUCGUGGGGCCCCUGUUGCUGAAGGACAUAUGCCCUAGAGGCAAUAAUAAAGUUAUGAUUUAUUUCCUUAUAUCAUGAUAAAUGUUUAUUAUUCAUGCUGGAAUUGUAUUAACCGGAAACAUAAUACAUGUGUGAAUACAUAGACAAACAAAGUGUCACCAGUAUGCCUCUACUUGACUAGAUUGUUAAUCAAAGAUGGUUAUGUUUCCUAACCAUAGACAAAGAGUUGUUAUUUGAUUAACGGGAUCACAUCAUUAGUUGAAUGAUCUGAUUGACAUGACCCAUUCCAUUAGCUUAGCACCCGAUCGUUUAGUAUGUUGCUAUUGCUUUCUUCAUGACUUAUACAUGUUCGUAUGACUAUGAGAUUAUGCAACUCCCGUUUACCGAAGGAACACUUUGUGUGCUACCAAACGUCACAACGUAACUGGGUGAAUAUAAAGGAGUUCUACAGGUGUCUCCAAAGGUACAUGUUGGGUUGGCGUAUUUCGAGAUUAGGAUUUGUCACUCCGUUUGUCGGAGAGGUAUCUCUGGGCCCUCUCGGUAAUGCACAUCACAUAAUCCUUGCAAGCAUUGCAACUAAUGUGUUAGUUGUGAGAUGAUGUAUUACGGAACGAGGAAAGAGACUUGCCGGUAAUGAGAUUGAACUAGGUAUUGGAUACCGACGAUCGAAUCUCGGGCAAGUAACAUACCGAUGACAAUGGGAACAACGUAUGUAGUUAUGCGGUCUGACCGAUAAAGAUCUUCGUAGAAUAUGUAGGAGCCAAUAUGGGCAUCCAGGUCCCGCUAUUGGUUAUUGACCAUAGACGUGUCUCGGUCAAGUCUACAUUGUUCUCGAACCGUAGGGUCUGCACGCUUAAAGUUACGAUGACAAUUUCAUUAUGAGUUUAUGUAUUUUGAUGUACCGAAGGUUGUUCGGAGUCCCGGAUGUGAUCACGGACAUGACGAGGAGUCACGAAAUGGUCGAGACAUAAAGAUCGAUAUAUUGGAAGCCUAUAUUUGGACAUCGGAAUCGUUCCGGGUGAAAUCGGCAUUUUACCAGAGUACCGCGGGGUUACCGGAACCCCCGGGGGGGUUAUUGGGCCUACAUGGGCCUUGAAGAAGAGAGGAGGCAGGAGGUGGCCGCGCGCCCCUCCCCUUCCUAGUCCGAAUAGGACAAGGGAAGGGGGGUGGCGCCCCCCCUUUCCUUCCCCUCUUCCUCCUCUUUCCCCCCUUCUCCUUCUCCAACUAGGAAAGAAGGGAGUCCUACUCCCGGUGGGAGUAGGACUCCCCCUGGCGCGCCCCUCCUUGGCCGGCCGCCCCCUCCCCUUGGUUCCUUCAUAUACGGGGGCAGGGGGCACCCUAGGACACAGAAGUUGAUCUUCGUGAUCGUUCCUUAGUCGUGUGCGGUGCCCCCCUCCACGAUAUUACACCUCGAUCAUAUUGUAGCAGUGCUUAGGCGAAGCCCUGUGACGGUUAAACAUCAAGAUCGUCACCACGCCGUCGUGCUGACCAAACUCCUCCCCGAAGCUUUGCUGGAUCCGAGCCGGGGGUGCGUCAUCGAGCCGUACGUGUCUCAAGAACUCGGAGGUGCCGGAGUAAAGGUGCUUGGAUUGGUUGGACCGGGAAGACGUACGACUACUUCCUCUACGUUGCGUCAACGCUUCCGCUUCGGUCUACAAGGAUACGUAGACAACACUCUCCCCUCUUGUUGCUAUGCAUCACCAUGAACUUGCGUGUGCGUAGGAAAUUUUUUGAAAUUACUACAUUCCCCAACAGUGGCAUCCGAGCCUAGGUUUUAUGGUUUGAUGUUAUACGCACGAGUAGAACACAAGUGAGUUGUGGGCGAUAUAAGUCAUACUGCCUACCAGCAUGUCAUACUUUGGUUCGGCGGUAUUGUUGGAUGAAGUGGCCCGGACCGACAUUACGCGUACGCUUACGCGAGACUGGUUCUACCGCCGUGCUUUGCACAUAGAUGGCUGGCGGGUGUCAGUUUCUCCAACUUUAGUUGAACCGAGUGUGGCUACGCCCGGUCCUUGCGAAGGUUAAAACGGCAUCAACUUGACAAACUAUCUGUCACAGCCCUAGAAUUUGCUUGUAGCUAUUUACCCGAGUGAGCAUGAUGCAUCAUGUCUAAAUUCUGAAAGUUGAAUUGAGGUUAGUAGAAACCCUCAUAAAUCACUUCAAAAAUAAUCAACAUUAAAAUCUUUUCAAAGAAGUCCAAGAAAGUGUUCCUCUUAGUCUCUGAAAAUAUUGGCAAGAGGUAAAACUUAAAACAAUAUUUUUGGAAUCUCAGAGAUAUUUAUUUUGGGCCUUUGAAUUAAUUCAAUAACAAUUUGCAUUGGAUAUAUAUUUUAUAUAUAACUAAUAUAUGUCCAAUAAUUCUAGAACAUUUUAUGUGGUUUGUUAUAUUUUAGUUCUAGCCACAUAAUUAUUUUCAGGAUUUUAUUAAAUGGUUUAGUAUUUUUACUAAACCAAAACAAAACAGAACAAAAUAGAAAAAAACUGAAACAGAAAGCAAACAGAAAAUAGAGAGAGAGAGAGGAGCUACCUGGGCUUACCUGGCGCCCCAACUGGCCCACCUCUGUAGCAGCCCAACUGGCCAAAGCCAGCCCGGCCCAUCAGGGGCAGCACUGUCUUCUUCCUCCUGCCAGGAGGAGAAGCAGCUGCGUGCCCGAUGGCCGGCGAGCCGCGCUGGCUCCUCCCUGCCUGCGUGCCCCCCCUCGACUUCCUGGAUGCCAUGCACUCCCCCUCGCCCCCUGCACCUCUCCUCUCUCCCCCUGGACCCCAUCCCCUCCUCUGCUCCCCUCUCGCGCGCACCACCGAGCGGAGCUCGUCGUCAUCGUCGCCGUACUCGUGGCCACCGGCCACCCCUCGCCCUGCCGCUGCGCCCAAAAGCUCUGCCAUUUCGUCCUCGACCCCCUCACCGAGCCACGCCACCGCGGGAGCCCCACAUCGCGGCUACGAGUCGUCCUCCCCGAGCACGGCCGCCGGACUUCAUCGAUGAAUUCGUCGCCUUCCGGUCGUCCCCGAGCCAGCUGAGCUCCGCUUCGACCUCACCGUGAGAUCCUCUACCAAACCCCUCUCUCCCCGCCGUCUAUUUCCUCCUCUAGCCUCACUAACCACCGUGGCCGAAGCUCGCCGCCGCCGUACCUCAUCGCCGCCACGGCCAUAGCUGCCGCCACCCACGCCCGAGCUUUGCCCCAUGCUCAGCACUCUCCCAGGAGCCGGGCGCGCCCACCCAUUCGACCCGUUGUGCCCCCUAGCGCCAACCCCGACCUCGCCCGAAUUCCGGCCGCCGCAAAAGUUGCCGCCACCGUCGAUUUAGUCAACCCCGGUGCGAGGUGUUGCCACCGAUGGAUGCGCGAGUCUCCCAGCUCGCCGUAGCCACAAACCACGAGCGAAACGAUGCUCUGUAGCUCCGUCCCGAGCAUCUCCGGCGAGCCACGGCCGUGCUUUUGGUCGCCGGCGUCGACCGCUGACGUGGUCGCUUAAUUAAGUCUAAUCACCACUAAUCCCUGCCUAACAGACGCUGACUCACGGGCCCCACCUGUUAAUUAACCACAAGGUUAUACCCUGUUUAAUUUAAGCUAAUGACCGUGGCCCCACGGGUCAGUUUGACCUGGCCACGUCACCGUUGACCUGGUCCCACACGUCAGCCACAGAAACCAGCCCUGGGUCACUGACCAGUGGGCCCCACUAGUCAGGUUUGACCCGGACCAGCCCUGUUGACUUGCUUACGUCACCCUGAUGUCAUGCUGACGCAGUAAUUAAUUUCUGUUUUAUAAUAAUUCAGAAAAUUUCAGAAAAUGUCCAAAACUUCUAAAAAUCAUAGAAAUUAAACUGUAACUCCAAAUAAAAUAAAUUAUAUAUGUAAAAUUAUCAGAAAAAUUCAAGGAAUCUGUUUAUGGCAUUUUCAUGCAUGUUUGAAAAAUGUUUGACCUCUGUUUUGGACAAAACAAUAAAGGGCAUUUAAAUAAUCAUAUAUGGAGUUUGAAUUUGAAUCUUGUAUUCAAACCAACUUCAUUUAAUUGUGUUGUUAGUUGCUUUAGGUCAAUCAAUAGCAUAUUGCCAUGUCAUUAUCAUGCAUCAUAUUGUUGCAUCGCAUUGAUUGUGUCCUUCCUUGUUUGCCGGUAAUUGCCCCCUCUCAGUAGACGUUGUUUCCGACGACGUGAUCGAUGACACCGAUGAAGAGCUAUUCUAUCUUCAGAAGUGCCAGGCAAGCACAACCCCCUUGUUCAUUCCGAUACAAGCCCACUCUCUCGCUCCUGCUCUCUUUUACUGCAUUAGGACAACAAUGAUUCAUUUGUUACUUGUUGCGGUAGUUGAACCCCUUAUCCUCUGCAUGACCUAUCAUUGCCACAGUAAUUAGAUGAAACCCGCUAGCAUGAGUAGGAGUUGUUUGAGCCCUGAUGUGCCUACUCAUUCAUGCUUGUUUGUCAUGCCUGCUACUGCUUAGAGUUGAGUCAGGUCUGAUUCAUCGGGGAUGGAUCGGAGGUGUGUAAACAUGUCCUAUUGUGUGUGAGCUAAGUGUGUGAACACGUUUUGGUAAAGGUAGCGGUGACAGGCCAUGUAGGAGUACAUGGUGGGUUGUCUCAUUGAAACCGUCCACAGGAACUAAGUUCUGUGUUUGUGAUCCAUGAAACAGCUGCUACCACACGUUGGGCCCCGAAAUAUGACCCCGCUCGACUUACUGACCCCUCUCUUCCUCUGUCCAGGAGUUGCAAUUAGUUUCUGGUGUUUAUAGGAUAUGUGUUGGCGGCCGUGUGUAGCGCUGACCCUAGGGGUGGGCUAUGAUGCGGUAGAUACACUGUGGCCCGGUGUACCGGGCGCCCGUUUGGUGUCUCUGGAACCCUGCACACAUCGUUUGGGGCUGUGAGCGAAACUCCGUCCGGAUCUCCUCGCGGAUGGAACCCGAAUAGGCGAUAAACCUGGACUAGAGACUUGUGUGGUUAGUCAGGUCGUGGUCUACACCCACGUCGGCUUUCGCUUGAAGUCUGCCGAGCACAUGUCGUGUGCAGACGCUAAGUGGUGGAAACAUGUGUGACGAAGUACACCCCCGCAGGGUUAUAAAUGAUCUAUUCGAAUAGCCGUGUCCGCGGUAAAGGACUUCUGGGUUGCCUAUAACAGUUCAUAGACAAGUGAAAGUGGAUACUCUAAAAACUCGCAAGAUAAGUGUGAGUGCUACGGAUGGCCUUCUCGUAGGGAGACGAGAGCGGAUCCAUAGUGGUCUAUUGAAUGGUGAAUAUGUGGACUCGUGUGCGCCACCUUAAAAGAGUUGCUUGCCAUCGUAGUUCAGGUUAGCCCCGGAAUCAAAGCUGGCUUGCUGCCGUUAAACUCCACCCCCCUUUGAUGAUACCGAUGCAUAUGUAGUUUAGAUCUGAUGUAAGUAUUGCUGAGUACCUUUGUACUCACGUUUGCUUAAUUUAUGUUUUGCAGAGAGACUUCAGUCUCGCUAGUAGUUCCGCGUGGACUUCGACGUUUAGCUUGAUACCUCAGCUACGAUCUUGUGCCCUCGACAGGAUCUGGUAGAUAGUCAGGCUUCUUAGCCUUUUUCAUUUAUAGAUGUCUGUACUCAGACAUGUUAAGCUUCCGCAUGUGCUUUGCAUUGUAUGCUAUGAUUGUCGGGUCAUGAGACCCAUGCUUGUAAUAUCUAGCUCUUCGGAGCCUAAUGAAUUAAUACUUGAGUCGUAGAGUCUUGUUUUGAUGCCAUGUUGUAUUUACACAUAUCGAGCAUAUUGUGUGUAUGAUUGAAAUGCUUGGUAUGUGUAGGAUCCAACAACCUAGUUGUUUAUCCUUCGCAGCCUUUCUUAUGGGGAAAUGUAGUCUAGUGUUCCUCGAGCCAUAGUAGUCCGCUACAGCCCGGUUCACCGGAGUCCUGCUAGCCCAGCACUACUGUUCAGGACACUUGACUGGCCGGCAUGUGUUUCACUUCAUCCCUAUGUCUGUCCCUUCGGGGAAAUGUCACGCGGUGAUUUCCGGAGUCCUGCCUAGCCUGCUACAGCCCGGGAUCCCCGGAGUCCUGUUAGCCCAGUGCCACAGCCCGGAAUAACUCAUUGAUGACCGACAUGUUCGAUGUGAUUCAUGUAUGCCUGUCUCCAUAGGUCUGUGCCACUUUGGGUUCACGACUAGCCAUGUCGGCCCGGGUUCUUUGUCAUAUGGAUGCUAGCGACACUAUCAUAUACGUGAGCCAAAAGGCGCAAACGGUCCCGGGCCAGGUAAGGUGGCACCCGUGGGAAUACCGUGCGUGAGGCCACAAAGUGAUAUGAUGUGUUACAUGCUAGAUCGGUGUGACCUAGGAUCGGGGUCCUGAUAGCGUUGGUAUCAGAGCCUGACUGCCUGUAGGAUUACCAAGCCAAACUGGUCGAAGUUGAGUCUAGAAAUGCUUUAGUUAUGUAAGGGAAUUGAUUGCGGAAGGGAACGUAAGGCUCUUUUUAUUCCUUAUACCUCAUGCCCUUGUGAUCUGAGUCAUCCUCUUCCUUUCUAUGGGGAUUAAGAACUAGGCUUUCUUAUCUAUCUAUCAGGAUGACGUGUUACUAACCCGUUGACUUAUAGGAUUGAUGGAUUCAUGCUGCAGUUCAGUUCCUACUACUUCCAUAUAUUCAUAACUGGCCGCAGAACCUUGAUAUUAUGAUUCGAGUGGUUAUGCCACCAUUUUUGCAGGAUGUCUCAAAUCUUUUCGAGCAUUUACAGCCGUUAUGCUGUCCGAGUCAUCCCAGGUUUCUAAAUAGUCUGAUGCAUUUGCAAACCUUUUCCCCUGUUCCUGAUGUCCAUUUAGGCCAGGUUAAUCACACUAAUUGUGAGUUGGCGUAUUCUUUUGCCUGGACAUAUAUUUUGGAAUUAUUAUUAUGACCCUAGAUGUCUUAGAGUGCCACCUAGUAAUCGAACCAUGUUUUGCGUUUCUAGUGUGAUGAUUCUGGCCGUUAUUCUUGAAAGCAUCCCGUGAUGCCAUUUAGUUAGUAGGCAUUCUAUUCCUGGGUUUUGAACCCGAGACCCACCCUACCUGCUUCAUGUUGAUAGUGUUUGCUAGUUCCUUAGGACAUUAGUAAACCUUGUGAUAGACCUCGAGGUCCGUGGUAUUUCCUUCUUCCAAUUAUCAUGAACCAUUCAUGGCAGGAGUUCUUUUGAACCAAAAGGUCACGACAGAGUGCUCUUGAUGAGUUCUCCAUUCUAUAUUGUGGCUCUGCCAGUUCUACCUUUCUGCAUGGGUUAUCCGGAAGAAAUAUGUUGAACUCGUUCGACAUACUAACCUAUGCAUCCACAACUCAGAAAGUUAUAUGUUCCUUGAGUUGUUCCUCUUCAGUUGUAUUCCGACCAUCCUCUAUCAGUAGAUAGCCAAGAGUAUGUGUGCAUUUGUGUUCAUCGGUGCCUCUUAUUCUUGUGGUUCGUCGAGCCGUUCUAUUUUAGAAUGACUAGGAGAAACAAACUCCAGUACCUCAUCCAUAUCUAGGGUUGGGUCAAAAUAGUUGUAUUCCGCAGAUCAAAAUGCAACCCAGCUUUUGGUUCUGUUCUACCCUGAAGUAUUACCCACCUUAUGUCAAGAGCGACGUGAGAAUUGCACCUUCUCCUAUGAAUUCUUGACGCAGUGAUACUUCUUGCCAUCAUUGUUCAUUCCUCGGUUCCUGUGUUAUUGUAACCAGAAUGCCGGCACGUGAGUCGUUAUGUGUGAAAUCAAUACUCCUAGCAACUAUGCUGCUUGGUAGUUAAUGGACAAUAUUCUCAUUCUUAGCGUGUUGGUUAUUGAAUUAUCAUUCUAAGACUGAUCGUGCUACCUAGUCCAUAUUUCUGGUGCACACUUCGAUCAAUGGGUUAGGACUGUGCCAAUCCCUCACUCUUUGAUCAUAUCAUCUUGCCCUGAAAAGCAAGGUUGUUCUCGAGCUUAGUAACAUACCGGUGGUUCGUGAUUUUCCGAAUAUCUUCUCAGAAGUGUUACUAGGUUGUCACCUGACCGUUAUGUUGAGUUCAUGAUCAAGAUGGUUUUUCAAUAAACCACUUUUCCCUAAGAAUCUGUGUUGGAUACCCCUGAGCUAGUUGGUUAAGCUUAACAACAACUUGGAGAGUUGGAAGAUGAAAACUUGUCCGACUUAGCUCAUCCCUAAGGGAUAUCCUUGUGUGUGUGGGUGUUGAAGAAAGAUGAUAUAUUCACCAAUUGGUCCUCAUGAUCAGUUGUUGUAUCUAUUAUCUUGUCCAAACCUUGAUUUGAGUGUGGGCUAUCGUCAAAUCAAAUCAGAACCAACGAUGUUCAUAAUGUUGUCUUACUUACGGUUGUCCCUCGAGCAUACACCAUUAUAUAUUUGGUUUGACCAAUACUAUCACAUUGUUCACAUAGUGGUGGAAGUCCAGUGAUAUGGAAAUACCGAUGCGUUGUUGUUGAUCCCAUCAGCAGCCUUUUGUCUCCCCCAUGAGUCAUGUUGAAUGCUACACUAGUAUUGGAAACUUAUAAGCAUUAUCUUUGUGUUUCGUUCAUGAAGCAUAUGUUUGGAUGAAAGAAGUGACUUCCUCUAAUUCAUGUGCACUCGAUGUAAGUUGCCACCAUGAAUUGAGCAAGGUUUGUUUUGUUUCCCUUGGAAUCAUCCCAAAUCAGUCAUGCAUAUGUGCGAAGUAUUCUAUGGUUUGGUAGAUUAAUUACCUCCACUCCAUAUGUGUUCCUAGCACACCAAGCCACUGGUUGAUUUGUUCAAGGAGAAGAAGUUCCUUCUUAAGAAUCAUGACUUAUGUUAGGACUUUGUUAUCCUCGAUAAUGGUUCCCCACCUGAACUCGGUAGUGUUUUAUUAUAAGACUACCAUGUGGUCAUGCUUUUCUGGGACAGCGUGUUCACAUGUGUUUAGCAGAACCAGCUCAUGCUUUGGAGCUUACUACCGUAGUUCAUUCCCCGAGAAUCUCGCAAUGUCGUCUCGUCGAUUUGUGUUGCAAACCUUCAUUUUCCUUUCUAGACUCGAUGAGUCUGGAAUAUCCCGUCACCAACCAGAUCUGAAUCUCAGGCAGAUAUGAUGGUUGGAGCAUUUUCCAAGAACUAUAAUAUUGGUCUCCCGAUAACCGGUAAAGUGGAUGUCGUGGCCAACACAUCCAGCCGGGCGACCUAUUAUUGUAGUAUCUUGAUUGAAGAAAGUUGGCCACCUUCCCAUGAGGAUUUCAUAGGAUUUACUCCAGAAGUUGUUCCUUAUGGAUCUAUUGUAUUCCGAAGUCCGACCACUACUUGGUGGCUAUGCCGAUGCUUAAAGCAUGACCGUGGUUGCCCCCUCUCAGUAGACGUUGUUUCCGACGACGUGAUCGAUGACACCGAUGAAGAGCUAUUCUAUCUUCAGAAGUGCCAGGCAAGCACAACCCCCUUGUUCAUUCCGAUACAAGCCCACUCUCUCGCUCCAGCUCUCUUUUACUGCAUUAGGACAACAACGAUUCAUCUGUUACUUGUUGCGGUAGUUGAACCCCUUAUCCUCUGCAUGACCUGUCAUUGCCACAGUAAUUAGAUGAAACCCACUAGCAUGAGUAGGAGUUGUUUGAGCCCUGAUGUGCCUACUCAUUCAUGCUUGUUUGUCAUGCCUGCUACUGCUUAGAGUUGAGUCAGGUCUGAUUCAUCGGGGAUGGAUCGGAGGUGUGUAAACAUGUCCUAUUGUGUGUGAGCUAAGUGUGUGAACACGUUUUGGUAAAGGUAGCGGUGAGAGGCCAUGUAGGAGUACAUGGUGGGUUGUCUCAUUGAAACCGUCCUCAGGAACUGAGUUCUGUGUUUGUGAUCCAUGAAAUAGCUACUACGACACGUUGGCCCUGAAAUAUGACCCCGCUCGACUUACUGACCCCUCUCGUCCUCUGUCCAGGAGUUGCAAUUAGUUUCUGGUGUUUAUAGGAUAUGUGUUGGCGGCCGUGCGUAGCGCUGACCCUAGGGGUGGGCUAUGAUGCGGUAGAUACACCGUGGCCCGGUGUACCGGGCGCCCGUUUGGUGUCUCGGGAACCCUGCACACAUCGUUUGGGGCUGUGAGCGAAACUCCGGCCGGAUCUCCUCGCGGAUGGAACCCGAAUAGGCAAUAAACCUGGACUAGAGACUUGUGUGGUUAGUCAGGUCGUGGUCUACACCCAUGUCGGCUUUCGCUUGAAGUCUGCCGAGCACAUGUCGUGUGCAGACGCUAAGUGGUGGAAACAUGUGUGACGAAGUACACCCCUACAGGGUUAUAAAUGAUCUAUUCGAAUAGCCGUGUCCGCGGUAAAGGACUUCUGGGUUGCCUAUAACAGUUCAUAGACAAGUGAAAGUGGAUACUCUAAAAACUCGCAAGAUAAGUGUGAGUGCUAUGGAUGGCCUUCUCGUAGGGAGACGAGAGCGGAUCCAUAGUGGUGUAUUGAAUGGUGAAUAUGUGGACUCGUGUGCGCCACCUCAAAAGAGUUGCUUUCAAUCGUAUUUCAGGUUAGCCCCGGAGUCAAAGCUGGCUUGCUGUAGUUAAACUCCACCCCCCCCCUUUGAUGAUACCGAUGCAUAUGUAGUUUAGAUCUGAUGUAAGUCUUGCUGAGUACCUUUGUACUCACGUUUGCUUAAUUUAUGUUUUGUAGAGAGACUUCAGUCUCGCUAGUAGUUCCGCGUGGACCUCGAGGUUUAGCUUGAUACCUCAGCUACGAUCUUGUGCCCUCGACAGGAUCUGGUAGAUAGUCAGGCUUCUUAGCCUUUUUCAUUUAUAGAUGUCUGUACUCAGACAUGUUAAGCUUCCGCAUGUGCUUUGGAUUGUAUGCUAUGAUUGUUGGGUCAUGAGACCCAUGCUUGUAAUAUCUGGCUCUUCAGAGCCUAAUGAAUUAAUACUUGAGUCGUAGAGUCUUGUUGUGAUGCCAUGUUGUAUUUACACAUAUCGACCAUAUUGUGUGUAUGAUUGAAAUGCUUGGUAUGUGUAGGAUCCGACAACCUAGUUGUUUAUCCCUCGCAACCUUUCUUAUGGGGAAAUGUAGUCUAGUGUUCCUUGAGCCAUAGUAGUCCGCUAUAGCCCGGUUCACCGGAGUCCUACUAGCCCAGCACUACUGUUCAGGACACUUGACUGGCCGGCAUGUGUUUCACUUCGUCCCUAUGUCUGUCCCUUCGGGGAAAUGUCACGCGGUGAUUUCCGGUGUCCUGCCUAGCCUCCUACAGCCCGGGAUCCCCGGAGUCCUGUUAGCCCAGUGCCACAGCCCGGAAUCACUCGUUGAUGACCGACAUGUUCGAUGUGAUUCAUGUAUGCCUGUCUCCAUAGGUCUGUGCCGCUUUGGGUUCACGACAAGCCAUGUCGGCCCAGGUUCUUUGUCAUAUGGAUGCUAGCGACACUAUCAUAUACGUGAGCCAAAAGGCGCAAACGGUCCCGGGCCAGUUAAGGUGGCACCCGUGGGAAUACCGCGCGUGAGGCCACAAAGUGAUAUGAUGUGUUACAUGCUAGAUUGGUGUAACCUAGGAUCGGGGUCCUGACACUAUCGUUGUGGUUUUGAUGCGUAGGUAAGAUUGGUUCUUGCUUAAGCCCGUAGCAGCCACGUAAAACUUGCAACAAACAAAGUAGAGGACGUCUAACUUGUUUUUGUAGGGCAUGUUGUGAUGUGAUAUGGUCAAGACAUGAUGCUAAAUUUUAUUGUAUGAGAUGAUCAUGUUUUGUAACUGAGUUAUCGGCAAUUGGCAGGAGCCAUAUGGUUGUCGCUUUAUUGUAUGCAAUGCAAUCGCCCUGUAAUGCUUUACUUUAUCACUAAGCGGCCGGUAGCGAUAGUCGUAGAAGCAUAAGAUUGGCGAGACGACAACGAUGCUACGAUGGAGAUCAAGGUGUCGCGCCGGUGACGAUGGUGAUCAUGACGGUGCUUCAGAGAUGGAGAUCACAAGCACAAGAUGAUGAUGGCCAUAUCAUAUCACUUAUAUUGAUUGCAUGUGAUGUUUAUCUUUUAUGCAUCUUAUCUUGCUUUGAUUGACGAUAGCAUUAUAAGAUGAUCUCUCACUAAAUUAUCAAGAAGUGUUCUCCCUAUGUAUGCACCGUUGCUAAAGUUCGUCGUGCCCAGACACCACGUGAUGAUCGAGUGUGAUAAGCUCUACGUCCAUCUACAACGGGUGCAAGCCAAUUUUGCACACGCAGAAUACUUGGGUUAAACUUGACGAGCCUAGCAUAUGCAGAUAUGGCCUCGGAACACGGAGACUGAAAGGUCGAGCGUGAAUCAUAUAGUAGAUAUGAUCAACAUAAUGAUGUUCACCAUUGAAAACUAAUCCAUUUCACGUGAUGAUCGGUUAUGGUUUAGUUGAUUUGGAUCACGUGAUCACUUAGAGGAUUAGAGGGAUGUCUAUCUAAGUGGGAGUUCUUAAGUAAUAUGAUUAAUUGAACUUCAAUUUAUCAUGAACUUAGUCCCUGAUAGUAUCUUGCUUGUUUAUGUUGAUUGUAGAUAGAUGGCCCGUGCUGUUGUUCCAUUAAAUUUUAAUGCGUUCCUUGAGAAAGCAAAGUUGAAAGAUGAUGGUAGCAAUUACACGGACUUGGUCCAUAACUUGAGGAUUAUCCUCAUUGCUGCACAGAAGAGUUACGUCCUGGAAGCACCGCUGGGUGCCAGGCCUGCUGCUGAUGCAACUGACGACGUUAAGAACGUCUGGCAGAGCAAAGCUGAUGACUACUCGAUAGUUCAAUGUGCCAUGCUUUACGGCUUAGAACCGGGACUUCAACGGCGUUUUGAACAUCAUGGGGCAUAUAAGAUGUUCCAGGUGUUGAAGUUAAUAUUCCAGCAGAAUGCCCGGAUUGAGAGAUAUGAAGUCUCCAAUAAAUUCUAUAGCUGCAAGAUGGAGGAGAAUAGUUCUGUCAGUGAGCAUAUACUCAAGAUGUCUGGGUAUUGUAAUCACUUGAUUCAACUGGGAGUUAAUCUUCCGGAUGAUAGCGUCAUUGACAGAAUUCUCCAAUCACUUCCACCAAGCUACAAGAGCUUCGGGAUGAACUAUAAUAUGCAAGGGAUGGAUAAGACAAUUCCCGAGCUCUUCGCAAUGCUAAAGGUUGCGGAGGUAGAAAUCAAGAAGGAGCAUCAAGUGUUGAUGGUCAACAAGACCACUUGUUUCAAGAAAAAGGGCAAAGGGAAGAAGAAGGGGAACUUCAAGAAGAACAGCAAGCAAGUUGCUGCUCAGGAGAAGAAACCCAAGUCUGGACCUAAGCCUGAAACCGAGUGCUUCUACUACAAGCAGACUGGUCACUUGAAGCGGAACUGCCCCAAGUAUUUGGCGGAUAAGAAGGAUGGCAAAGUGAACAAAGGUAUAUGUGAUAUAGAUGUUAUUGAUGUGUACCUUACUAGAGCUCGCAGUAGCACCUGGGUAUUUGAUACUGGUUCUGUUGCUAAUAUUUGCAACUCGAAACAGGGACUACGGAUUAAGCGAACACUGGCAAAGGACGAGGUGACGAUGCGCAUGGGAAAUGGUUCCAAAGUCGAUGUGAUCGCGGUCGGCAUGCUACCUCUACAUCUACCUUCGGGAUUAGUAUUAGACCUAAAUAAUUGUUAUUUGGUGCCAGUGUUGAGCAUGAACAUUAUAUCUAGAUCUUGUUUAAUGCGAGACGGUUAUUCAUUUAAAUCAGAGAAUAAUGGUUGUUCUAGUUAUAUGAGUAAUAUCUUUUAUGGUCAUGCACCCUUGAAGAGUGGUCUAUUUUUGAUGAAUCUCGAUAGUAGUGAUACACAUAUUCAUAAUGUUGAAGCCAAAAGAUGCAGAGUUGAUAAUGAUUGUGCAACUUAUUUGUGGCACUGCCAUUUAGGUCAUAUCGGUGUAAAGCGCAUGAAGAAACUCCAUACUGAUGGACUUUUGGAACCACUUGAUUAUGAAUCACUUGGUACUUGCGAACCGUGCCUCAUGGGCAAGAUGACUAAAGCACCAUUCUCCGGUACUAUGGAGAGAGCAACAGAUUUGUUGGAAAUCAUACAUACAGAUGUAUGUGGUCCGAUGAAUGUUGAGGCUCGUGGCGGAUAUCAUUAUUUUCUCACCUUCACAGAUGAUUUAAGCAGAUAUGGGUAUAUCUACUUAAUGAAACAUAAGUCUGAAACAUUUGAAAAGUUCAAAGAAUUUCAGAGUGAAGUGGAAAAUCAUCGUAACAAGAAAAUAAAGUUUCUACGAUCUGAUCGUGGAGGAGAAUAUUUGAGUUACGAGUUUGGUGUACAUUUGAAACAAUGCGGAAUAGUUUCGCAACUCACGCCACCCAGAACACCACAACGUAAUGGUGUGUCCGAACGUCGUAAUCUUACUUUACUAGAUAUGGUGCAAUCUAUGAUGUCUCUUACAGAUUUACCGCUAUCGUUUUGGGGUUAUGCUUUAGAGACGGCCACAUUCACGUUAAGUAGGGCACCAUCAAAAUCCGUUGAGACGACAACUUAUGAACUGUGGUUUGGCAAGAAACCAAAGUUGUCAUUUCUUAAAGUUUGGGGCUGCGAUGCUUAUGUGAAAAAGCUUCAACCUGAUAAGCUCGAACGAUAAUCGGAGAAAUGUGUCUUCAUAGGAUACCCAAAGGAAACUGUUGGUUACACCUUCUAUCAUAGAUCCGAAGGCAAGACAUUCGUUGCUAAAAAUGGAUCCUUUCUAGAGAAGGAGUUUCUCUCGAAAGAAGUGAGUGGGAGGAAAGUAGAACUUGAUGAGGUAACUAUACCUGCUCCCUUAUUGGAAAGUAGUUCAUCACAGAAACCGGUUUCUGCGACACCUACACCAAUUAGUGAUGAAUUUAAUGAUGAUGAUCAUGAAAUUUCAGAUCAAGUUACUACUGAGCCUCGUAGAUCAACCAGAGUAAGAUCCGCACCAGAGUGGUACGGUAAUCCUGUUCUAGAAGUCAUGCUACUAGAUCAUGAUGAACCUACGAACUAUGAAGAAGCGAUGGUGAGCCCAGAUUCCGCAAAAUGGCUUGAAGCCAUGAAAUCUGAGAUGGGAUCCAUGUAUGAUAACAAAGUAUGGACUUUGGUUGACUUGCCCGAUGAUCGGCAAGCAAUUGAGAACAAAUGGAUCUUUAAGAAGAAGACUGACGUGACGGUAAUGUUACUGUCUACAAAGCUCGACUUGUCGCAAAAGGUUUUCAACAAGUUGAAGGGAUUGACUACGAUGAGACCUUCUCACCCGUAGCGAUGCUUAAGUCUAUCCGAAUCAUGUUAGCAAUUGCCGCAUUUUAUGAUUAUGAAAUUUGGCAGAUGGAUCUAAAAACUGCAUUCCUGAAUGGAUUUCUGGAAGAAGAGUUGUAUAUGAUGCAACCAGAAGGUUUUAUCGAUCCAAAGGGAACUAACAAAGUGUGCAAGCUCCAGCGAUCCAUUUAUGGACUGGUGCAAGCCUCUCGGAGUUGGAAUAAACUCUUUGAUAGUGUGAUCAAAGCAUUUGGGUUUGUAUAGACUUUUGGAGAAGCCUGUAUUUACAAGAAAGUGAGUGGGAGCUCUAUAGCAUUUCUGAUAUUAUAUGUGGAUGACAUAUUACUAAUCGGAAAUGAUAUAGAAUUUCUGGAUAGCAUAAAGGGAUACUUGAAUAAGAGUUUUUCAAUGAAAGACCUCGGUGAAGCUGCUUACAUAUUGGGCAUUAAGAUCUAUAGAGAUAGAUCAAGACGCUUAAUUGGACUUUCACAAAACACAUACCUUGACAAAGUUUUGAAGAGGUUCAAAAUGGAUCAAGCAAAGAAAGGGUUCUUGCCUGUGUUACAAGGUGUGAAGUUGAGUAAGAAUCAAUGCUCGACCACUUCAGAAGAUAGAGAGAAAAUGAAAGAUGUUCCCUAUGCUUCAGCAGUAGGCUCUAUCAUGUAUGCAAUGCUGUGUACCAGACCUGAUGUGUGCCUUGCUAUAAGUUUAGCAGGGAGGUACCAAAGUAAUCCAGCAGUGGAUCACUGGACGGCGGUCAAGAACAUCCUGAAGUACCUAAAAAGGACUAAGGAUAUGUUUCUCGUAUAUGGAGGUGACAAAGAGCUCAUUGUAAACAGUUACGUUGAUGCAAGCUUUGACACUGAUCCGGACAAUUCUAAAUCGCAAACCAGAUACGUGUUUACAUUAAACGGUGGAGCUGUCAGUUGGUGCAGUUCUAAACAAAGCGUCGUGGCAGGAUCUACAUGUGAAGCGGAGUACAUAGCUGCUUCGGAAGCAGCAAACGAAGGAGUCUGGAUGAAGGAGUUCAUAUCCGAUCUAGGUGUCAUACCUAGUGCAUCGGGUCCAAUGAAAACCUUUUGUGACAAUACUAGUGCAAUUGCCUUGGCAAAGGAAUCCAUAUUUCACAAAAGAACCAAGCACAUCAAGAGACGCUUCAAUUCCAUCCGAGAUCUAGUCCAGGUGGGAGAGAUAGAGAUUUGCAAGAUACAUACGGAUCUGAAUGUAGAAGACCCAUUGACUAAGCCUCUUCCACGAGCAAAACAUGAUCAUCACCAAGGCUCCAUGGGUGUCAGAAUCAUUACUGUGUAAUCUAGAUUAUUGACUCUAGUGCAAGUGGGAGACUGAAGGAAAUAUGCCCUAGAGGCAAUAAUAAAGUUAUUAUUUAUUUCCUUAUAUCAUGAUGAAUGUUUAUUAUUCAUGCUGGAAUUGUAUUAACCGGAAACAUAAUACAUGUGUGAAUACAUAGACAAACAAAGUGUCACUAGUAUGCCUCUACUUGACUAGCUCGUUAAUCAAAGAUGGUUAUGUUUCCUAACCAUAGACAAAGAGUUUUUAUUUGAUUAAUAGGAUCACAUCAUUAGUUGAAUGAUAUGAUUGACAUGACCCAUUCCAUUAGCUUAGCACCCGAUCAUUCUUCAUGACUUAUACAUGUUCCUAUGACUAUGAGAUGAUGCAACUUCCGUUUACUGGAGGAACACUUUGUGUGCUACCAAACGUCACAACGUAACUGGGUGAUUAUAAAGGAGCCCUAUAGGUGUCUCCAAAGGUACAUAUUGGGUUGGCGUAUUUCGAGAUUAGGAUUUGUCACUCCGUUUGUCGGAGAGGUAUCUCUGGGCCCUCUCGGUAAUGCACAUCACAUAAGCCUUGCAAGCAUUGCAACUACUGUGUUACUUGUGAGACGAUGUAUUACGGAACGAGUAAAGAGACUUGCCGGUAAAGAGAUUGAACUAGGUAUUGGAUACCGACGAUCGAAUCUCGGGCAGGUAACAUAUCGAUGACAAAGGGAACAACGUAUGUAGUUAUGCGGUCUCAACGAUAAAGAUCUUCGUAGAAUAUGUAGGAUCCAAUAUGGGCAUCCAGGUCCUGCUAUUGGUUAUUGACCGGAAACGUGUCUCGGUCAUGUCUACAUUGUUCUCGAACCGUAGGGUCCGCACGCUUAAAGUUACGAUGACAGUUUCAUUAUGAGUUUAUGUAUUUUGAUGUACCGAAGGUUGUUCGGAGUCCCGGAUGUGAUCACGGACAUGACGAGGAGUCUCGGAAUGGUCGAGACAUAAAGAUCGAUAUAUUGGAAGCCUAUAUUUGGACAUCGGAAUCGUUUUGGGUGAAAUCGGCAUUAUACCGGAGUACCGGGGGGUUACCGGAACCCCCCGGGGGGUUAUUGGGCCUACAUGGGCCUUGAGGAAGAAGAGAGAAGGAGGUAGGAGGUGGCCGCGCGCCCCUCCCCUUCCUAGUAUGAAUAGGACAAGGGAAGGGGGCGGUGCCCCCCCCUUUCCUUCCCCUCUUCCUCCUCUUUCCUCCCUUCUCCUUCUCCAACUAGGAAAGAAGGGAGUCCUACUCCCGGUGGGAGUAGGACUCCCCCCUGGUGCGCCCCUCCUUGGCCGGCCGCCCCCUCCCCUUGGCUCCUUUAUAUACGGGGGCAGGGGGGCACCCUAGGACACAGAAGUUGACCUUCGUGAUCGUUCCUUAGCCGUGUGCGGUGCCCCCCUCCACGAUAUUACACCUCGAUCAUAUUGUAGUAGUGCUUAGGCGAAGCCCUGCGACGGUUAAACAUCAAGAUCGUCACCACGCCGUCGUGCUGACGAAACUCCUCCCCGAAGCUUUGCUGGAUCGGAGCUCGGGGUGCAUCAUCGAGCUGUACGUGUGUCAAGAACUCGGAGGUGCUGGAGUAACGGUGCUUGGAUUGGUUGGACCGGGAAGACGUACGACUACUUCCUCUACGUUGCGUCAACGCUUCCGCUUCGGUCUACGAGGGUACGUAGACAACACUCUCCCCUCUCGUUGCUAUGCAUCACCAUGAUCUUGCGUGUGCGUAGGAAAUUUUUUGAAAUUACUACAUUCCCCAACAGUUGCUCCACCGACGUACUCCUUCCUCCUAUAUAUACCUGCGUACCCCCAAACGACCAGAUACGGAGCCAAAACCCUAAUUCCACCACCGCAACUUUCUGUAUCCACGAGAUCCCAUCUUGGCGCCUGUUCCGGAGCUCCACCGGAGAGGGCAUCGAUCACGGAGGGCUUCCACAUGAACAGCAUAGCCUCUCCGAUGAAGUGUGAGUAGUUGACCUCAGACCUACAGUCCAUAGUUAUUACCUAGAUGGCUUCUCCUCUCUUUUUGGAUCUCAAUACAAUGUUCUCCCCUCUCUUGUGGAGAACUAUUCGAUGUAAUCUUCUUUUUGCGGUGUGUUUAUUGAGACCGAUGAAUUGUGGGUUGAUGAUCAAGUCUAUCUAUGAAUAAUAUUUGAAUCUUCUCUGAAUUCUUUUAUGUAUGAUUGUUUAUCUUUGCGAGUCUCUUCGAACUAUUAGUUUGGUUUGGCCUACUAGAUUGAUCUUUCUUACAAUGGGAGAAGUGCUUAGCUUUAGGUUCAAUCUUGCGGUGUCCUUUCCCAGUGACAGUAGGGGCAGCAAGGCAUGUAUUGUAUUUUUGCCAUCGAGGACAACAAGAUGGGGUUUUCAUCAUAUUGCAUUAGUUUAUCCCUCUACAUCAUGUCAUCUAGCUUAAGGCGUUACUCUGUUUUUAACUUAAUACUCUAGAAGCAUGCUGGAUAGCGGUCGAUGAGUGGAGUAAUAGUAGUAGAUGCAGGCAGAAGUCGGUCUACUUGUCUCGGACGUGAUGCCUAUAUACAUGAUCAUACCUAGAUAUUCUCAUAAAUAUGCUCAAUUCUGUCAAUUGCUCAACAGUAAUUUGUUCACCCACCAUAGAAUAAUUAUGCUCUCGAGAGAAGCUACUAGUGAAACCUAUGGCCUCGGGAUCUAUGUUUAUCAUAUUAAUCUUCUACUACUUAGUUAUUUCCUUUGCCUUUAUUUUACUUUUCAUUUUUAUCAAAAAAAAUACCAAACAUAUUAUCUUUAUCAUAUCUAUUAGAUCUCACUCUCGUAAGUGGCCGUGUAGGGAUUGACAACCCCUAUUCGUGUUGGUUCCGAGGAUUUAUUUGUUUUGUGCAAGUACGAGGGACUCGCACGUAGCCUCCUACUGGAUUGAUACCUUGGUUCUCAAAAACUGAGGGAAAUACUUAUGCUACUUUGCUGCAUCAUCCCUUCCUCUUCGGGGAAAACCAACGCAGUGCUCAAGAGGUAGCAAGAAGGAUUUCUGGUGCCGUUGCCGGGGAGGUCUACGCAAAAGUCAACAUACCAAGUACCCAUCACAUACCCUUAUCUCCCGCAUUACAUUAUUUGCCAUUUGCCUCUCGUUUUCACCUCCCCCACUUCACCCUUGCCGUUUUAUUCGCCGUCUCUCUCUAUCCUCCCUCUCUUUCUCUAUUUGCCUCUUUUUUCCCGCUUGCUUUCUGUUUGCUUGUGUGUUAGUUGCUUGCUUGUCAUGAUGGCUCAAGAUAAUACUAAAUUAUGUGACUUCACGAUGGCUAAAGCUUGGUUUUCAUCUUUGCCUAAAAAUAGUAAUGAUUCAUGGAAUAAGUGCAAAGAUGCUUUUUUCUCUAAGUAUUUUCCUCCUGCUAAGAUCAUCUCUCUUAGAAACGAUAUUAUGAAUUUUAAGCAACUUGAUCAUGAACAUGUUGCACAAGCUUGGGAGAGAAUGAAACUAAUGGUACAUAAUUGCGCUGCCCAUGGUUUAAAUUUGUGGAUGAUUAUACAAAUAUUUUAUGCCGGAUUGAAUUUUGCUUCAAGAAAUCUUUUAGAUUUGGCCGCGGGAGGCACUUUUAUGGAAAUCACUUUAGGAGAAGCUACUAAACUCAUAGAUAAUAUUAUGGUGAAUUAUGCUCAACGGCAUACUGAAAGAUCUACUAAUAAAAAGGUGCAUGCGAUAGAAGAAAUUAAUGUUUUGAGUGGAAAGAUGGAUGAACUUAUGAAAUUAUUUGCUAAUAAGAGUGUUUCUUCUAAUCCUAAUGAUAUGCCCUUGUCUAGUUUGAUUCAGAAUAAUAACGAAUCUAUGGAUGUGGAUUUUGUUGGUAGGAACAAUUUUGGUAACAACGCGUAUAGAGGAAAUUUCAACCCUAGGCCUUAUCCUAGUAAUCUCUCUAAUAAUUAUGGUAAUUCCGACAACAAUUCUUAUGGAAAUUAUAAUAAGAUGCCCUCUGAUUUUGAAUCUAAUAUUAAAGAAUUUAUUACUUCGCAAAAGAAUUUCAAUGCUUUGAUUGAAGAAAAAUUGCUUAAGAUUGAUGAUUUGGCUAGGAACGUUGAUAGAAUUACUCUUGAUGUUGAUUCUUUGAAACUUAGAUCUAUUCCACCUAAGAAUGAUGUCAAUGAGUCUCUCAAAGCCAUGAGAAUUUCCAUUGAUGAGUGCAAAGAAAGAACCGCUAGGAUGCGUGCUAAGAAAGAUGCCUUUAUAAUAGCGUGUUCUUCUAGUUCCUAUGAAAAUAAUGAUGAAGAUCUAAAAGUUAUUGAUGUGUUCCCUAUUAAAUCUUUGUUUUGCAAUAUGAAUCUUGAUAGUGAUGGGACUGAAUAUGAUCCACCUUUACCUAGAAGGCGUUCCAAGAAUUCAGAAUUUGUUGAUCUUGAUGCUAAAAUUGAUAAAGGAGGGAUUGAAGAAAUUAAAACCCUAGAUGUUGCUAAACCCACUAUUAUGGAUUUCAAGGACUUUAACUAUGAAAAUUGCUCUUUGAUUGAUUGUAUAUCCUUUUUACAAUCCGUGCUAAAUUCUCCUCAUGCUUAUAGUCAAAAUAAAUCGUUUACUAAACAUAUCGUUGAUACCUUGAUGCAAUCUUAUGAAGAAAAACUUGAAUUGGAAGUUUCUUUCCCUAGAAAGCUUUAUGAUGAGUGGGAACCAACUAUUAAAAUUAAAAUUAAAUAUCAUGAAUGCUAUGCUUUAUGUGAUUUGGGUGCUAGUGUUUCCACGAUUCCAAAGACUUUGUGUGAUUUGUUAGGUUUCCAUGAUUUUGAUGAUUGCUCUUUAAACUUGCGCCUUGCGGAUUCCACUAUUAAGAAACCUAUGGGAAGAAUUAAUGAUGUUCUUAUUGAUGCAAAUAGGAAUUAUGUGCUUGUAGAUUUUAUUGUUCUUGACAUAGAUUGCAAUCUUUCAUGUCCUAUUAUUCUUGGUAGACCUUUCCUUAGAACGAUUGGUGCAAUUAUUGAUAUGAAGGAAGGAAAUAUUAGAUUCCAAUUUCCAUUAAGGAAAGGCAUGGAACACUUUACUAGAAAGUCAAUUAAAUUACCUUAUGAAUCUAUUAUGAUAGCCACUUAUGGAUUGUUGGGGAACGUAGUAAUUUCAAAAAAUUUCCUACGCACACGCAAGAUCAUGGUGAUGCAUAGCAACGAGAGGGGAGAGUGUUGUCUAUGUACCCUCGUAGACUGAAGCGGAAGCGUUGACGCAACGUAGAGGAAGUAGUCGUACGUCUUCCUGAUCCGACCGAUCCAAGCACCGUUACUCAGGCACCUCCGAGGUCUUGGCACACGUUCAGCUCGAUGACGAUCCCCAGGCUCCGAUCCAGCAAAGCGUCGGGGAGGAGUUCCGUCAGCACGACUGCGUGGUGACGAUCUUGAUGUUCUACCGUCGCAGGGCUUCGCCUAAGCACCGCUAAAAUAUGACCGAGGUGUAAUAUCAUGGAGAGGGGCACCGCACAAGGCUAAGGAACAAUCACGAAGAUCAACUUGUGUGUCCAUGGGGUGCCCCCUGCCCCCGUAUAUAAAGGAGUGGAGGACGGGAGGGCGACCCUCUCUAUGGCGCGCCCUAGGGGAGUCCUACUCCCAUAGGGAGUAGGAUUCCCCCUUUUCCUAGUCCAACUAGGAGUCCUUCCAUGUAGUAGCACUAGUGCAGAACCGGGCAAUAGCACCGGUUCGUAAGGCCCUUUAGUGCCGGUUAGGUAACCGGCACUAAAAUUUCAGCACUAAAGGCCCCCCCUUUAGUACCGGUUCAGCACGAACCGGUGCUAAAGGGCAACCACAUGGCACGAGCGAGCUCCGGGGGCCGGGAGCCCUUUAGUACCGGUUGGUAACACCAACCGGUACUAAAAUGUUUGGGGGGUUUUUGGUUUUAUGAUUUCUUUUUCAUUAAAUUUUGUGUUUUCCAUUUUAAUUCUUUUUCGUUUGCUGGUAUUUUACGGUACUACACGUUGUACACGUUAUAUAUAUAUAUAUAUAUAAAUAGAAUUUCUAGUAGAACCAAUCAUAUAUAUAUCAUCAAUCAUGUCUCACAAAACACCAUAUUAAUUCACACAUACACACAUGUAUAGCUAUAUACAAUUUCUCCUACAUAUGCAUGUUGCCUUCGGAGCCAGUGGCAUUAGCCUGAUUGGUGCCUUCGGAGCACGAUGACAAUUGGAAGUGGUUCAUGACCUGGUCGAUGGGGGCGGUAGCGGGUAAUAGUAUUCUCCCUUCGGAUUUAUGACCUGGUCGAGCAAAAAUCCUGCUAUUUCCUAUUGAAGUGCUUCUACGCGCUCCGUUUCUAGGAGCUUGUCCCGCACCUCUUUGAACUAUUAAGAAGGAGAUCAAUAUGCAUGUGUAUUAGUUGUGUGACUAGAUAUUGAUAAUGGUGUAAAAAUUGUGAAUAGUGUUCUGACAAGCGUACCCAUUCCUGUCUUUGAGAUCUGCUCCUUCCGGACGCCAUCAUGCGAAUGUUCUCGCAAACGCAGAAUGCACACAGUUCAGUCCCCUGCGCCUGCUUCAGGGCCUUUAUUACGAGAAUGGAAUUUAAUUUGAUCAGAUAAUAAUUAAUCAAGCAUGAUAAUUAAAGAGAUGGCAGCUAGCUAGCUAGCUAGUACUACUUAAUUACUUACCUUGGCUCGAGACCAUUUCAGCUGUGGUUUCCAUUCGCCUUCCGUGUCGCUGAUGAACCUUGCCCAAGCCCUGCCCGCCGACAAAGAAAAUGAAUAAAGGGGUUAUUAAAUAGUUCAUAUCAUGAAAUGAAGAACUAAAUAGGCCGAGAUAUAUAGUUAAUAAUGAUUGAAAUUACCUGUUGACUAUCCCAAACAAGAUGUUAUAGUCACUAUUUCCUUUGAGUAGCGAGUCCAGUAUUUCAACUAUUCCGGCAUCAACUUUAAUGAUACACAAGAUCCAGUGAAAUCUGCAUGCACACACGUUUGCAAGUCUUAAUUAAGCGGGCAUAUGUAAGCAAAAACAUGUAGCUAGCUAGUAGGCAAAAAUAGAGAAUUUGUAGUACAAGAAAGUGUGACUCACUGGCAGUUGUAAGGAAGUAGUAUAUCUUCAUUGUAUUUGAGGAGCUUCAAGAACUCUAGCAUGCUGUCCUCUACCUCUUUUUCAUGAUGCUUGUUUAUUUUCCAUGUGUAUUCAUUAACGGUGUUUGGGUCAAUGAACCCAAUGCCAUAGCGUCCACCUUUUCUCAUUCCAUACAUCUUCAUCCUGCAUAAUACCACAGAAAAGAAUAUAGUAAGGAUAAUUACACGUAAUGAUUGAUCAAAAGGAUCACUACAGCUAGCUUGAGACUUAAAUUACAGAAAGAAAUCACUUACAGACAAUAGCAACUGACGAUAGAUUUGUCGAGUGUGUCUUGAUUGUAUAACUGAAACAGUUCAGAAUACUCAACGGCCACAACUUUCUCAUGGUAGUAAUCAUCCUUCUUGACAUACACCAUGAGGGACUCUCGAUCGGAUCUCUUGGUAAUGUCCAUGUACCAUUGAUGCAAUUCAUACAUUCUCGUUGGGAGCUUCUUGACAUCUUCUGGCUCGACCAAAGGUUGGCCCCGAACAUAUUUCCGUUUUAUUUCCUCCUCUGUAAUCAGAGGCAUGUCCUCGAUCUCGAGGAGUUGUCCAACAGUGAUCUUGAGUUCUUCAGCCUGCAUUAUAUGCUCCUCGGUUAUUACCACAUCGCCCACCUCGGGAAUGUAAACUGUUUGGCCACAAUAAUAUUGGGCGCGCGUACUGUCACGUGUUGUUGGCGGCACAACAAGCGGNNNNNNNNNNNNNNNNNNNNNNNNNNNNNNNNNNNNNNNNNNNNNNNNNNNNNNNNNNNNNNNNNNNNNNNNNNNNNNNNNNNNNNNNNNNNNNNNNNNNNNNNNNNNNNNNNNNNNNNNNNNNNNNNNNNNNNNNNNNNNNNNNNNNNNNNNNNNNNNNNNNNNNNNNNNNNNNNNNNNNNNNNNNNNNNNNNNNNNNNNNNNNNNNNNNNNNNNNNNNNNNNNNNNNNNNNNNNNNNNNNNNNNNNNNNNNNNNNNNNNNNNUUCCCAGCUGGGCAACGGUUUUCCUGCAUUUUUUGACAGCUGCUUGUUGUUUGCUCGAGCUCGAGCUCGCCUCCUUCUGUAGACGUUGUCGAUGUAACUUCCUGAUGUGGCGCUCAUAGUCUGUUUCAACAGGCUUAGGAGCUAGUGGUUGAGCCAUACGAAUGAAGUGGUCAACUACUUCCACAGGCACUUUCUCCCUUGGCGGCGGUGGCGGUUUCGGUCCAAAAUGGGCGUCGACUUCUGCCCGCACUAUGGCAUUGGUUUGCUCCUCAGUCCUGUCGUAAGCCCUCACAGGAAGAGGAGUACUGAGGUUUGGACCAUAUUUAUAUCGCUUGCCUCCACCUGUACUUCCUGUACUAUCACCUCGACUCGUACCGCUACGCACCAUAGCUGCGGGGUGUCUCUUCUGCGAUUGCUGAGGCGGCGGAGACGGCAGACGGGGCUGAGUUAGACGAGGAGGAGUGGCCUGAAGCUGUGCCGGACUUGGAGGAGGAGUGGCCUGAGGUUGUGCCGGACUUGGAGGAGGAGUGGACGUCUGACGCUGUGUCGGACUUGGAGGAGGAGUGGCCUCACACAUUGCCGGACUUGGAGGAGGAGGAGUGGCCUCACGCGUUGAUGGACUUGGAGCGGGAGUCUGCUGACUCGGUGGUGGACUUCGACGAGGAGUCGGGUGACGCGGUGUCGGUGGCCUUCGAAAGAUGAUGCAAUCCUUUCUCCAUAGGAUGACAUGAUGUAUGGCCUCUCCCAAUGUGUGCUCGUCGUCACCUCUAGGAAUGUCAAGUUGUAGCUCCGAAUAUGGGUCCACCACCUCAUCAACCAAGACACGAGCAUAGCCUGCUGGAAUCGGGUUGCAAUGGAAGGUUGCCUCGGGGGAAUUUGAAAAAGCAACGGCGUCCGCCACCUUCAUGGAUAUGUUCUUCAUUUUGAAGUGUACCUCGCAGUUAGUGUUCUCCGUGAUGUCAUCCAUGGGGUAUCUAUCCAGCACUGCGUCGCCCGGGGCGGAACCCACGCUGCUUCUCGGCAUGGAUGGGGUGGUGGUAUCCAAUGCUGGAUCAUCCGCUAGGUGCUGCAGCUGCUGAGACCCCAUUUGCUGGCUAAGUGAGUCGAUCUGCUCCUGCUGCCGCUGGAAUUUAGCUGCCAAUUCCGCUUGACUUGCUUCUAGGCCUUGAAGGCGUUCAUAGUCCCGCUUCCUUUGCUCCUCCUCCAUCUUCCUCUUCUUCUCCUCCGCAAUCUUCUUUCUCGCACGGGUUCUGUAGUCGGCGUUCCAGUCCGAAAACCCCUCAUACCACGGAAUAGCGCCCUUGCCUCGUGGUCUUCCCGGGUGUUCAGGAUUUCCCUGGGCACGCGUAAGCUCGUCCUUCUCUCUGUUGGGCUGAAACACCCCCGAUCGAGCCUCUUCUAUUGCAACAAGUAGCGCAUCGUCGGCUCCAUUCAGACAUGCCUUCGUCAAAACAUUGCCUGUCUUCGGGUCCAACUCCCCCCCAUGCGCAUAGAACCAAGUCCUGCACCUAGGGGGCCAACUCUUAGUAAACGGAGUGGCACCUGCAUCCUCCAUCUCUUUCUCAGACUUAUCCCACUUAGGCAUUGCCACCGUGUAGCCAGCUGGCCCCAGCUUAUGGAACUUAUCCUUUUUUCGGCAUUCUUCUUGUUUAUUCUCGACCGUUCCUUAGCUAAUUCGGAAUCCUUGAAUUUCAUGAAAUCGUCCCAAUGAGAACUUUGAUUCUCUAGUAUCCCCUCGAAUACUGGAGUCUUCCUUCCUCCCUUGACGUACUUCUCCCACGUCGUUCUCUUGUGGUUCUUGAAUGCAACCGCCAUCUUCCUAAAAGCAGCGUCCUUGACUUUCUGCACAUCUGCUUCCGUGAAAUGAUCUGGUAGGGUGAAAUGUUCCAUGAGAGUAUCCCAAAGCAGUUUUUUAUAUUCUCGUCUACAAAAGUAUCAUUUGGACGUGGCUUUGCUGGCUUUCUCCAUUCUUGAAGGGAGAUCGGGAGUUGGUCCUUCACAAGAACUCCACACUAACGAACGAACUUGUCCGCAAUCUUCUUAGGCGCUAAUGGUUCGCCAUUAGGUUUGAAUGCCUCGAUAUUGUACUUUACGCCCUCCUUCAACUUUUUGUUCGGGCCUCGUUUUGUCCUUUUGCCUGAAGAUUUGCUCGAUCCGGAUGGCUGAAAGAAGAAAGAUCGAUUCGUUAAUAUAUCUUCAACUCAUUUAAAACAUGCGAUGAUCACCAGAUUCCUGCUUAUAUAAAUAUAUAUACCUCGCCGGUACAUGUUGUUUCAGGGUCAACAUGUUCUUCGUCGUAGUUCAGGACUUCAUCUUCUCGGUCAUCGCGAUCAAAUAUCAUAUCACCCUCUCCGGUGUUGUUUAGAAAUUCAGAGCCGUCAAAAUCUUCUUCAUUCUGAUCAUCAUCUGGCCCGCGUAUGAUACCGAACAUGGUAUGUUCUCUCUCUCUGUCGGUAUUGUCCGCCAUAGCUUUUAUUUAACUAUGCCAAAAGAAAUAUAAAAUAAUUUAGUAUAAUCUCGAAUAAUAGAUAUAAUCUCGAAUACAUCGUCUCGAAUAAUAGAUAUAAUCUCGAAUACAUCGUCUCGAAUAAUAGAUUUAAUCUCGAAUACAUCGUCUCGAAUAAUAGAUAUAAUCUCGAAUACAUCGUCUCGAAUAAUAGAUUUAAUCUCGAAUACAUCGUCUAGAAUAAUAGAUUUAAUCUCGAAUACAUCGUCUCGAAUAAUAUAUAAUAUUGAAUAGUACAUCAUUGGCUAGGCGGUGGACACCCAAAGAGAAGGAACCCUCACAGGAUCAUAGCUGAAGUGAGAGCCCCGAAGAAACUGCCAGGUUUUGGAGAACCUUCCGCCCUCUAACGCAACCAUGUAGCGAUGGAUGUAAUCGUCCUCCUCCCUGACACGACGACGUACCACCUCCGGCGGGGCCGGCUCCCUCCGCACCGAAACUGGCCCACGCGAACGCCACCAAACGAGAUCAGGGUCGAUCACAGGACCCGGGGCCGGGUUCCUCAUCAAGCGGCGCGCCCCUCCAGGCAGCACCUCCCAGUGCCAGCCCGGCGGAGCCCAGUCCCGGACAUGGGUCAGCUGGACGUCGUCGCGGACGUGUCGACGGUGAGGAUGUGGGCCGGGCAUCGUCGACAACAAAUACUAGCUAUAUGCCCGCAAAAAGUAACAUUUUUUUAAUGAUUGGAAUUUGAUAACUAAAAUUUCUAACAUUUCUAUAUAACACUAAUUAUGCUAUCAUUGCAUAUGUCAAAAUUCUAUAUGCUAUUUCAUACUAAUUAAGCAUCUAACACUAAAAACAGAAAACACAACUUCUAUACAUCCAUUAAAAAAACUGAAAAACAACAUUAUAUAAACAAAUUUCAAUACUAAUUAAACACUAAUUAUAUCCAUCUAACAUGCAUUCAUACAUAUAUGCUAGUGAAAAAAUAAUAAUCUAAAAAAUCUAAACUAAUUAAACAUACAAAAUACGUAUAUACUAAUAUAUACAUGCAUUAAUUCAUACAUAUGUACGUGUGUGUGUGUGUGUGCUCGGGGAGGGGUGGUGCCCAUGGUGGCCGCCGGGGGCGAGGGAGAGGGGUUAGAGGGGGAGAGCUCACAGCAGGGUGACGGCGACGGCCAGGGGCGGCGACGGGCCGGGGUGUGACGCGGGGGCGGCGACGCGGGGACGGUGCGACGGGGACGGGCCUGGGGCGGCGACGGGGACGGGCCCGAUGACGGGGACGGGGGCGGCGACGGCGACAUCGUCGAUUGAUCGGGGUGCGCGGGCGGUGCUUCAAUGGGGAAACAGAGGAAGAAACAAAGGGAGAAUGAAAUUUUCGUAAGUGUUCUAUAUAUAGAAGGCACCUUCAGUACCGGUUGGAGCCACCAACCGGUACUAAAGGCCUGUUUUGGCCAGGCCAAGCCGCGGGAAGCACCCCCCUUUAGUACCGGUUCCUGGCUCCAACCGGUACUAAAGGCCCCCCCUUUAGUACCGGUUGGUGCCACCAACCGGUACUAAAGGGGGGUACGCUGCCAGGCGAGGGGCACAAAACUUUAGUCCCACCUCGCUAGCCGAGGGGCACUCACACCUUCUUAUAAGCCCCGCCGUCGCUGCUGUCUCGAGCUCCACUCUUAAGCACGCCUUCUGGGCCUACCUCUUCUGCGAUGCCCUGUUGGGCCUACUGGGCUAGUGGGCCUGCAUCCUGGCCCAACUUGAAUAUGGGUUUCUAGUCGUAUGCAGGCCGCUGUGGCCCAGUAGGUGGGCUUUUUUUUCUUAUUUUUUUGCUUUAUUUAUUUUUGUGAAUAACUUAACUUUGAAAAUAGAUUUUUCAGUGAUUCUUUUUUCUUAUGUUUAAUAUUAGUGUGUUUUAUCAUUAUAUUCAAUUUGGUAAUGCUUAGGUUAUUUAAAAAAUGAAAUGCCUUUGUAACGGAUGAGUUUUCGUCCGAAACCCUGAUACUUCGAAACAGAUUGUCCAUUUUGUACACGAAGUGCAUCCAGUUUUUGCGGUAACCCUCUCUACUUUUUUGCACAUGCUAUGUGGGUGAAAUUAUGAUACCAUGCCAACUUUCAUCCUUUUCUGAGUUCAUUUGAAAUUCUUUUCAAUUUUAGGGUCAUUUAGGUGAAAAAAAUCAGUAAAUGCAUGAAAGAAUUUGCUUGCACAUAAAAUUUCUUCGCGUUUCAAAUGCCAAAACACAUAACUAGCUACCCUAACUAUUACAGAGAUUCCCUCCUGGGUGUGAAACACAGAAGAAAGUGAUGAUAGUUACGCCGAUCAUAUCCCAGAUCUUUGGGUGUGAAACUUUUUCUUCGCGUGUGUCCCUUUGCGUCGUAGCCAUGGAAAAUCUUCAUCAUUUAACGGGAUGCUCGGGUCAAUAUUCACUGUGAAUGGAGCAAUUUCAUCAAACUUUUCAUAAUCAUCUGACUUGUCUGUUUUGUCAUCCACUCCCAUGAUGUUUCUCUUCCCAGAAAGAACUAUGUGCCGCUUUGGCUCAUCGUACGAUGCAUUCACUUCCUUAUCUUUUCUUUUUCUUGGCUUGUUAGACAUGUCCUUCACACAGAAAACCUAUGCCACAUCAUUGGCUAGGACGAACGGUUCGUCUGCAUACGCAAGAUUGUUGAGAUCCACUGUUGUCAUUCCGUACUGCGGGUCUUCCAUUACCCAGCCUCGUGUCAUAUUAACCCAUUUGCACCGAAACAAAGGGACCUUCAAACCACGUCGAUAGUCAAGUUCCCAUAUGUCCUGUAUAUAACCAUAAUAUGUUUCCUUUCCCGUCUUGGUUUCUGCAUCAAAGCGGACACCACUGUUUUGGUUGGUGCUCUUAUUAUCUUGGGCGAUCGUGUAAAAUGUAUUACCAUUUAUCUCGUACCCUUUGAAAGUCAUUAUAUUCGAAGAUGGUAAUUGGGAUAGCAAGUACAUGUCAUCUUCAAUAGAGGUGUCAUGCAUGGUACGUGGUUGCAACCAGCUGGCGAAACUCCUGGUUUGUUCACGUGUAAUCCAGUCAUCAGACCGCUCCGGGUGUUUGGAGCGUAGCAAAUUCUUGUGUUCAUCCAUAUACGGAGCCACCGAGGCAGAAUUCUGUAGAACUAUGUAGUGUGCUUCAGUGAGAGAAUGUCCAGCCAUAUAUACAUAUUAUUUGUUCCCCUCCUAGCGUGCCUUUUCCAUCCAGUCUGCCCUUAUGCCGCGAUUCAGGAACACCAAUCGGCUUAAGGUCAGGAAUAAAGUCAAUACAAAACUCACUGACCUCCUCAUUUUGACGGCCCUUGGAGAUGCUUCCUUCUGGCCUAGCACGGUUAUGAACAUAUUUCUUUAAGUCUCCCACGAACCUCUCAAAGGGGAACAUAUUGUGUAGAAAUACAGGACCCAAAACGUUAAUCUCUUCGCAUAGGUGAACUAGGACGUGCGUCAUGAUGUUGAAGAAGGAUGGUGGGAACACCAACUCGAAACUGACAAGACAUUGCACCAAAUCAUUCUGUAACCUUGGUAUGAUUUCUGGAUCGAUUACCUUCUGAGAGAUUGCAUUGAGAAAUGCACAUAGCUUCACAAUGGCUAAUCGAACGUUUUCCGGUAGAAGCCCCCUCAAUGCAACCGGAAGUACUUGCGUCAUAAUCACGUGGCAGUCAUGAGACUUUAGGUUCUGGAACUUUUUCUCUGCCAUGUUUAUUAUUCCCUUUAUAUUCGACGAGAAGCCAGAUGGUACCUUAAUAAUGAGUAGGCAUUCAAAGAACAUUUCCUUCUCUUCUUUGGUAAGAGCGUAGCUUGCAUGACCCUGAUGUAUGCCGUCUUUUCCGUGCAUACGUUGCUGGUCCUCCUGUGCCUUAGGUGUAUCUUUUGUCAUCCCAUACACGCCCAAGAAGCCAAGCAGGGUCACACAAAGAUUCUUCGUCACGUGCAUCACGUCGAUUGCGGAGCGGACCUCGAGGUCUUUCCAAUAGUGCAGGUCCCAAAAUAUAGAUUUCUUCUUCCACAUGGGUGCGCGUCCGUCAGCGUCAUUCGGAACAGGUUGUCCACCAGGACCCUUUCUAAAGACCACCUUCAAAUCCUUGACCAUAUCAUGUACAUCAGCACCAGUACGGUGGCGAGGCUUCGUCCGGUGAUCCGCCUCACCUUUGAAAUGCUUGCAUUUCUUUCUUACGGGAUGCCUGCUCGUAAGAAAUCGACGAUGUCCUAGGUACACAUUCUUAUUAGCCAAAUAUAUACUGUCGGUAUCGUCCAAACAGUGCGUGCAUGCGCGGUAUCCCUUGUUUGUCUGUCCUGAAAGGUUACUGAGAGCAGGCCAAUCAUUGAUGGUCACGAACAGCAACGCCUUUAGGUCAAAUUCUUCCCCCAUGUGCUCAUCCCACACACGUACACCUGUUCCAUUCCAUAGUUGUAAGAGUUCUUCAACUAAUGGCCUUAGGUACACAUCAAUGUCGUUGCCGGGUUGCUUAGGGCCUUGGAUGAGCACUGGCAUCAUAAUGAACUUCCGCUUCAUGCACAACCAAGGAGGAAGGUUAUACAAACAUAGAGUCACAGGCCAAGUGCUAUGGUUGCUGCUCUGCUCCCCAAAAGGAUUAAUGCCAUCUGCGCUUAGACCAAACCAUACGCUCCUUGCGUCAUUUGCAAACUCCUUCCCGUACUUUCUUUCGAUUUUUCUCCACUGUGAACCGUCAGCGGUUAGUGUCAACUUUCCAUCUUUCUUACGGUCUUCGCUGUGCCAUCGCAUCGCCUUGGCAUGCUCUUUGUUUUGGAACAAACGUUUCAACCGUGGUAUUAUAGGAGCAUACCACAUCACCUUGGCAGGAAUCUUCUUCCUGGGGCGCCGGCCCUCGACAUCACCAGGGUCAUCGCGGCUGAUCUUAUAGCGCAAUACACCACAUACCGGGCAAGCGUUCAAAUCCUCGUACUCACCACGGUAGAGGAUGCAAUCAUUAGGGCAUGCAUGUAUCUUCUCCACCUCUAACCCUAGAGGGCAGAGAACCUUCUUUGCUUCGUACAUACUCUCGGGCAAUUCGUUGUCCUUUGGAAGGAUAUCCUUUAUCAUUACCAGCAACUUUCCAAAUCCCUUGUCAGAUACACCAUUCUCUGCCUUCCAUUGCAGCAAUUCCAGUGUGGUGCCCAGUUUUUUCUUGUCAGCUACGCAAUUCGGGUACAACAAUUUUUUGUGAUCCCCUAACAUGCACUGCAACUUCUUCUCCAAAUCACUUGCGCAGUUUCUCUUUGCAUCGGCAAUGGCCCGACCUAGAUCAUCAACGGGCUCAUCUGAUGCCUCUUCUUCAGCUUCUUCCCGCAUUGCCGGCUCAGCUUCUUCCCGCAUUACCGGCUCAGCUUCUUCCACCAUUGUUGUAUCAUCGUAUUCAGGGAACCCAUGGCCAGGAUAGCUGUCGUCGUCCUCUUCUUCUUCAUUGUCUUCCAUCAUAACCCCUCUUUAUCCGUGCUUGGUCCAAACAUUAUAAUGGGGCAUGAAACCAGACUUAAACAGGUGGACGUGAAUGGUUCUUGACGUACAGUAAUUGUGACCAUUCUUACAGCGAGCACAUGGACAAGGCAUAAAACCAUCCGCCCCCUUGUUUGCCUCAGCCGCAAGCAGAAAAGUAUGCACGCCCUCAACGAACUGGGGAGAGCAUCGGUCAUCGUACAUCCAUUGCCGGCUCAUCUUCAUUACACAACAACGAAUAGAACAAAUUAAUACAAGUUCAUACAUAAAGUUCAUACAACACUUAAAUGCAACAAACAAAUAACUCUCUAGCUAAAGCAUUUAAAUGCAACAACAAAUACGAUCAAGAUCGCAACUAAGGUAACAAUGGAUCCAACAGCAUAAUGAAACCAAGCCUCACUAUCGAUGGCAUAUUUUCUAAUCUUUCUAAUCUUCAAGCGCAUUUUCUCCAUCUUGAUCUUGUGAUCAUCGACGAUACCGGCAACAUGCAACUCCAAUUCCAUCUUCUCCCCCUCAAUUCUUUUCAAUUUUUCUUUCAAGUACUCGUUUUCUCUUUCAACUAAAUUUAACCUCUCGGCAAUAGGGUAGGUUGGAAUUUCCGGUUGAUGGGCAUAAUUUGUAAUAAACACGAAAUGCAACUAGUUUUAAAAGAGAAUAUACAUACCACAUCCGAAUCAUAACAAGGACUAGGGCCGACGGGGACGGAUAUCAAAACCAUGGCACUAUAUGUAUAACAAACAACGUACAGGUAAGAUAAUUAUACGAGUAACUAUAUAUCCAAAUCACACAAACAUCAAUUUUUAUAUAAAAUUUCAUGAACAAGAGGCUCACCACAAGGUGGUGCCGGCGACGGGACGGUGCGGGCGAUCCACGGUGGCUACGAUGGAGAUUUAGAAGGCACUAAGUAAACCACACCUACAUAUGCAAACUAAAUGUUAUUUUUGACCUCAAAUUGCAUAUAAAUCAAAUACUAGCACAUAUAUAUAUAUCAUCCCAAAUUACUAAACUCACAAAUUAAUCACUAUAUAAAGCAUUGCAAGAGCUAAUCUAGCAACGAGAGAUGAAAGGACAAAGUUGCUAACCUUUGUGAUCAUUUGAAUGGAUGGGGGCCUUCAAAUCUUGACAAAUUUUGGGCAAAAUGUGUGAUGAGCUCGAGAGGAAGAGGGGAAGAACAGAGAGGAGAGGGGAAAGGGGAAGAAUAGAGCGAGCUCGGGUGGACGAAGGGUUUAUGUAGGACGACCUUUAGUACCGGUUUGUGCCAAGAACCGGUACUAAAGGGGCUGGAGGGGCCCCAUACUGACAACAUCCUGCCACCACUCUCAUUAGUACCGGUUCGUGGCACGAACCGGUGCUAAAGGUUCGCCAUGAACCGGUACUAAUGAAAGCAGCCUGGUUAGCCGUUGGAACCGGCACUAAUGUAUACAUUAGUGCCGGCUCAAAUACAAACCGGCACUAAUGUGCUUCAUGUUUGACCCUUUUUCCACUAGUGUAGGAGUAGGAGACAAGGAAGGGGAAGGGAGAAGGGAAAGAAGGAGGGGGCGCGGCCCCUCCCCCUAGUCCAAUUCGGACUAGGCCUUGGGGGGGCGCGCGGCCUGCCCUAGGCAGCCCCUCUCUCUUUCCCGUAUGGCCCAAUAAGGCCCAAUACUUCUCCCGGCGAAUUCCCGUAACUCUCCGGUACUCCGAAAAAUACCCGAACCACUCGAAACCUUUCCGAUGUCCGAAUAUAGUCGUCCAAUAUAUCGAUCUUUACAUCUCGACCAUUUCGAGACUCCUCCUCAUGUCCCCGAUCCCAUCCGGGACUCCGAACUCCUUCGGUACAUCAAAACUCAUAAACUCAAAAUAUAACUGUCAUCGAAACCUUAAGCGUGCGGACCCUACAGUUCGAGAACAAUGUAGACAUGAUCGAGACACAUGUCCGGUCAAUGACUAAUAGCGGGACCUGGAUGCCCAUAAUGGCUCCUACAUAUUCUACGAAGAUCUUUAUCGGUCAGACCGCAUAACAACAUACGUUGUUCCCUUUGUCAUCGGUAUGUUACUUGCCUGAGAUUUGAUCGUCGGUAUCUCAAUACCUAGUUCAAUCUUGUUACCGGCAAGUCUCUUUACUCGUUCCGUAAUACAUCAUCUCGCAACUAACUCAUUAGUUGCAAUGCUUGCAAGGCUUAUGUGAUGUGCAUUACCGAGAGGGCCUAGAGAUACCUCUCCGACAAUCGGAGUGACAAAUCCUAAUCUCGAAAUACGCCAGCCCAACAUGUACCUUUGGAGACACCUGUAGAGCUCCUUUAUAAUCACCCAGUUAUGUUGUGACGUUUGGUAGAACACAAAGUGUUCCUCCGGCAAAUGGGAGUUGCAUAAUCUCAUAGUCAUAUGAACAUGUAUAAGUCAUGAAGAAAGCAAUAGCAACAUACUAAACGAUUGGGUGCUAAGCUAAUGGAAUGGGUCAUGUCAAUCAGAUCAUUCAACUAAUGAUCUGAUCCCGUUAAUCAAAUAACAACUCUUUGUCCAUGGUUAGGAAACAUAACCAUCUUUGAUUAACGAGCUAGUCAAGUAGAGGCAUACUAGUGACACUCUGUUUUCUAUGUAUUCACACAUGUAUUAUGUUUCCGGUUAAUACAAUUCUAGCAUGAAUAAUAAACAUUUAUCAUGAUAUAAGUAAAUAAAUAAUAACUUUAUUAUUGCCUCUAGGGUAUAUUUCCAUCAGUCUCCCACUUGCACUAGAGUCAAUAAUCUAGAUCACAUCGCCAUGUGAUUUAACAUCAAUAGUUCACAUCUUUAUGUUAUUGGUUCACAUCUCCAUGUGACUAACACCCAAAGGGUUUACUAGAUUCAAUAAUCUAGUUCACAUCGCUAUGUGAUUAAGACCCAAAAAGUGAUCAUGUUUUGCUUGUGAGAGAAGUUUAGUCAAUAGGUCUUCCACAUUCAGAUCCGCAUGUAUUUUGCAAAUUUCUAUGUCAACAAUGCUCUGCAUGGAGCUACUCUAGCUAAUUGCUCCCACUUUCAAUAUGUAUCCAGAUUGAGACUUAGAGUCAUCUGGAUCAGUGUCAAAACUUGCAUCGACGUAACCCUUUACGACGAACCUUUUGUCACCUCCGUAAUCGAGAAACAUAUCCUUAUUCUACUAAGGAUAAUUUUGACCGCUGUCAAUAGAUCUACUCCUAGAUCACUAUUGUACUCCCUCUCUUAACACAGUGUAUGGUAUACAAUAGAUCUGGUACACAACAUGGCAUACUUUAUAGAACCUAUGACUGAGGCAUAGGGAAUGACUUUCAUUCUCUUUCUAUCUUCUGCCGUGGUCGGGCUUUGAGUCUUACUCAACUUCACGCCUUGUAACACAAGCAAGAAACUUUUUCUUUGACUGUUCCAUUUUGAACUACUUCAAAAUCUUGUCAAGGUAUGUACUCAUCGAAAAAACUUAUCAAGCGUCUUGAUCUAUCUCUAUAGAUCUUGAUACUCAAUAUGUAAGCAGCUUCACCGAGGUCUUUCUUUGAAAAAACUCCUUUCAAACAUUCCUUUAUGCUUUGCAGAAUAAUUCUACAUUAUCUCCGAUCAACAAUAUGUCUUUCACAUAUACUUAUCAGAAAUGAUGUAGUGCUCCCACUCACUUUCUUGUAAAUACAGGCUUCACUGCAAGUCUGUAUAAAACUAUAUGCUUUGAUCAACUCAUGAAAGCGUAUAUUCCAACUCUGAGAUGCUUGCACCAGUCCAUAGAUGGAUCGCUGGAGCUUGCAUAUUUUGUUAGUACCUUUAGGAUUGACAAAACCUUCUGGUUGCAUCAUAAACAACUCUUCUUUAAUAAAUCCAUUAAGGAAUGCAGUUUUGUUUAUCCAUUUGCCAGAUUUCAUAAAAUGCGGCAAUUGCUAACAUGAUUCGGACAGACUUAAGCGUAGAUACGAGUGAGAAACUCUCAUCGUAGUCAACACCUUGAACUUGUCGAAAACCUUUUUGCGACAAUUCUAGUUUUGUAGAUAGUAACACUACUAUCAGCGUCCGUCUUCCUCUUGAAGAUCCAUUUAAUCUCAAUGGCUUGCCGAACAUCGGGCAAGUCAACCAAAGUCCACACUUUGUUCUCAUACAUGGAUCCUAUCUCAGAUUUCAUGGCCUCAAGCCAUUUAUCGGAAUCUGGGCUCAUCAUCGCUUCCUCAUAGGUCGCAAGUUUGUCAUGGUCAAGUAACAUGACCUCCAGAACAGGAUUACCAUACCACUUUGGUGCGGAUCUCAAUCUGGUUUACCUACGAGGUUUGGUAGUAACUUGAUCUGAAGUUACAUGAUCAUCAUCAUUAGCUUCCUCACUAAUUGGUGUAGGAGUCACAGGAACAAAUUUCUGUGAUGAACUACUUUCCAAUAAAGGAGAAGGUACAAUUACCUUAUCAAGUUUUCUACUUUCCUCCCACUCACUUCUUUCAAGAGAAACUCCUUCUCUGGAAAGGAUCCAUUCUCAGUCAACGAAUAUCUUGCCUUCGGAUCUGUGAUAGAAGGUGUACCCAACAUUUUCUUUAGGGUAUCCUAUGAAGAUGCACUUUUCCGAUUUGGGUUUGAGCUUAUCAGGAUGAAACUUUUUCACAUAAGCAUCACAACCCCAAACUUUAAGAAACGACAACUUUGGUUUCUUGCCAAACCACAGUUCAUAAGGCGUCGUCUCAACGGAUUUUGAUGGUGCCCUAUUCAACGUGAAUGCAGCUGUCUCUAAUGCAUAACCCCAAAACGAUAGUGGUAGAUCGGUAAGAGAUAUCAUAGAUCGCACCAUAUCUAAUAAAGUACGGUUAUGAUGUUCGGACACACCAUUACAUUGUGGUGUUCCAGGUGGCAUGAGUAGUGAAACUAUUUCACAUUGUUUUUAACUGAAGGCCAAACUCAUAACUCAAAUACUCUUCUCUACGAUCAGGUCGUAGAAACUUUAUUUUCUUGUUACGAUGAUUUUUCACUUCACUCUGAAAUUCUUUGAACUUUUCAAAUGUUUCAGACUUAUGUUUCAUCAAGUAGAUAUACUCAUAUCUGCUCAAAUCAUCUGUGAAGAUCAGAAAAUAAUGAUACCUGUCGCGAGCCUCAAUAUUCAUCGGACCACAUACAUUAGUAUGUAUGAUUUCCAACAAAUCUGUUGCUCGCUCCAUUGUUCUGAAGAACAGAGUCUUAGUCAUCUUGCCCAUUAGGCAUGGUUCGCAAGCAUCAACUGAUUCAUAACCAACUGAUUCCAAAAGCCCAUCAGCAUGGAGUUUCUUCAUGCGCUUUACACCAAUAUGACCUAAACGGCAGUGCUACAAAUAAGUUGCACUAUCAUUAUUAACUUUGCAUCUUUUGGUUUCAAUAUUAUGAUUAUGUGUAUCACUACAAUCGAGAUCCAACGAACUAUUUUCAUUGGGUGUGUAACCAUAUAAGGUUUUAUUCAUGUAAACAGAACAACAAUUUAUUCUCUUACUUAAAUGAAUAACCGUAUUACAAUAAACAUGAUCAAAUCAUAUUCAUGCUCAACGCAAACACCAAAUAACACUUAUUUAGGUUCAACACUAAUCCUGAAAUUAUAGGGAGUGUGCGAUGAUGAUCAUAUCAAUCUUGGAACCACUUCCAACAUACAUCAUCACUUCACCCUUAACUAGUCUCUGUUUAUUUUGCAACUCCCGUUUCGAGUUACUAAUCUUUGCAACUGAACUAGUAUCAAAUACUGAGGGGUUGCUAUAAACACUUGUAAAGUACACAUCAAUAACAUGUAUAUCAAAUAUACUUAUGUUCACUUUGCCAUCCUUCUUAUCCGCCAAUCACUUGGGGUAGUUCCGCUUCUAGUGACCAGUGCCUUUGCAGUAGAAGCACUUAGUCUCAGGCUUAGGACCAGACUUGGGCUUCUUCACUUGAGCAGCAACUUGCUUGCUGUUCUUCUUGAAGUUCCCCUUCUUCCCUCUGCCCUUUUCUUGAAACUAGUGGUCUUGUCAACCAUCAACACCUGAUGUUUUUCUUGAUUUCUACCUUCAUUGAUUUCAGCAUCACGAAGAGCUUGGGAGUUGUUUCCGUUAUCCCUUGCAUAUUAUGGUUCAUCACGAAGUUCUACUAACUUGGUGAUGGUGACUAGAGAAUUCUGUCAAUCACUAUCUUAUCUGGAAGAUUAACUCCCACUUGGUUCAAGCAAUUGUAGUACCCAGACAAUCUGAGCACGUGCUCACUAGUUGAGCGAUUCUCCUCCAUCUUUUAGCUAUAGAACUUGUUGGAGACUUCAUAUCUCUCAAGUCGGGUAUUUGCUUGAAAUAUUAACUUCAACUCCUAGAACAUCUCAUAUGGUCCAUGAUGUUCAAAACGUCUUUGAAGUCCUGAUUCUAAGCCAUUAAGCAUGGUGCACUAAACUAUCAAGUAGUCAUCAUAUUGGGCUAGCCAAACGUUCAUAACGUCGGCAUCUGCUCCUGCAAUAGGUCUGUCACCUAGCGGUGCAUCAAGGACAUAAUUCCUCUAUGCAGCAAUGAGGAUAAAACUCAGAUCACGGAUCCAAUCCGCAUCAUUGCUACUAACAUCUUUCAACACAAUUUUCUCUAGGAACAUAUCAAAAUAAACAUAGGGAAGCAACAACGCGAGCUAUUGAUCUACAACAUAAUUUGCAAAAUACUACCAGGACUAAGUUCAUGAUAAAUUUAAGUUCAAUUUAAUCAUAUUACUGGAGAACUCCCACUUAGAUAGACAUCCCUCUAAUCCUCUAAGUGAUCACGUGAUCCAAAUCAACUAAACCAUGUCCGAUCACCACGUGAGAUGGAGUAGUUUCAUUGGUGAACAUCACUAUGUUGAUCAUAUCUACUAUCUGAUUCACGCUCGACCUUUCGGUCUCCGUGUUCCGAGGCCAUAUCUGUAUAUGCUUGCCUCGUCAAGUAUAACCUGAGUAUUCCGCGUGUGCAACUGUUUUACACCCGUUGUAUUUGAACGUAGAGCCUAUCACACCCGAUCAUCACGUGGUGUCUCAGCACGAAGAAGUUUCGCAACGGUGCAUACUCAGGGAGAACACUUCUUGAUAAUUAGUGAGAGAUCAUCUUAAAAUGCUACCGUCAAACUAAGCAAAAAUAAGAUGUAUAAAAGAUAAACAUCAUAUGCAAUCAAAAUAUGUGACAUGAUAUGGCCAUCAUCAUCUUGCUUCUUUGAUCUCCAUCUCCAAAGUACUGUCAUGAUCUAUAUCGUCAUCGGCAUGACACCAUGAUCUCCAUCAUCUUGAUCUAUAUCAAUGUGUCGUCACGUGGUCGUCUCGCCAACAAUUGCUCUUGCAACUAUUGCUAUCGCAUAGCGAUAAAGUAAAGCAAUUAUUGGACGCUUGCAUCUUAUGUAAUAGAGAGACAACCAUAAGGAUUUUGCCAGUUGUUGAUAACUUCAACAAAACAUGAUCAUCUCAUACAACAACUUAUAUCUCAUCACGUCUUGACCAUAUCACAUCACAACAUGCCCUGCAAAAACAAGUUAGACGUCCUCUACUUUGUUGUUGCAAGUUUUACGUGGCUGCUACGGGCUUAAGCAAGAACCAAUCUUACCUACGCAUCAAAACCACAACGAUAGUUUGUCAAGUUGGUGCUGUUUUAACCUUCGCAAGGACCGGGCGUAGCCACACUCGGUUCAACUAAAGUUGGAGAAACUGUCACCCCCAAGCCACCUAUGUGCAAAGCACGUCGGGAGAACCGGUCUCGCGUAAGCAUACGCGUAAUGUCGGUCUGGGCCGCUUCAUCCAACAAUACCGCCGAACCAAAGUAUGACAUGCUGGUAAGCAGUAUGACUUAUAUCGCCCACAACUCACUUGUGUUCUACUCGUGCAUAUAACAUCAACACAUAAAACCUAGGCUCAAAUGCCACUGUUGGGGAACGUAGUAAUUUCAAAAAAUUUCCUACGCACACGCAAGAUCAUGGUGAUGCAUAGCAACGAGAGGGGAGAGUGUUGUCAACGUAGCCUUGUAGACCGAAGCAGAAGCGUUGACGCAACGUAGAGGAAGUAGUCGUACGUCUUCCCGAUCCGACCGAUCCAAGCACCAUUACUCCGGCACCUCCGAGUUCUUGGCACACGUUCAGCUCGGUAACGAUCCCCAGGCUCCGAUCCAGCAAAGCGUCGGCGAGGAGUUCCAUCAGCACGACGGCGUGGUGACGAUCUUGAUGUUCUACCGUCGCAGGGCUUCGCCUAAGCACCGCUACAAUAUGACCGAGGUGUAAUAUCGUGGAGAGGGGCACCGCACACGGCUAAGGAACGAUCACGAAGAUCAACUUGUGUGUCCAUGGGGUGCCCCCUGCCCCCGUAUAUAAAGGAGUGGAGGAGGGGAGGGCUGGCCCUCUCUAUGGCGCGCCCUAGGGGAGUCCUACUCCCAACGGGAGUAGGAUUCCCCCUUUUCCUAGUCCAACUAGGAGUCCUUCCAUGUAGUAGGAGUAGGAGACAAGGAAGGGGAAGGGAGAAGGGAAAGAAGGAGGGGGCGCGGCCCCUCCCCCUAGUCCAAUUCGGACUAGGCCUUGGGGGGCGCACGGCCUGCCCUAGGCAGCCCCUCUCUCUUUCCCGUAUGGCCCAAUAAGGCCCAAUACUUCUCCCGGCGAAUUCCUGUAACUCUCCGGUACUCCGAAAAAUACCCGAACCACUCGGAACCUUUCCGAUGUCCGAAUAUAGUCGUCCAAUAUAUCGAUCUUUACGUCUCGACCACUUCGAGACUCCUCGUCAUGUCCCCGAUCCCAUCCGGGACUCCGAAAUCCUUCGGUACAUCAAAACUCAUAAACUCAUAAUAUAACUGUCAUCGAAACCUUAAGCGUGCGGACACUACGGUUCGAGAACAAUGUAGACAUGACUGAGACACGUCUCCAGUCAAUAACCAAUAGCGGGACCUGGAUGCCCAUAUUGGCUCCUACAUAUUCUACGAAGAUCUUUAUCGGUCAGACCGCAUAACAACAUACGUUGUUCCCUUUGUCAUCGGUAUGUUACUUGCCCGAGAUUUGAUCGUCGGUAUCUCAAUACCUACUUCAAUCUCGUUACCGGCAAGUCUCUUUACUCGUUCCGUAAUACAUCAUCUCGCAACUAACUCAUUAGUUGCAAUGCUUGCAAGGCUUAUGUGAUGUGCAUUUCCGAGAGGGCCCAGAGAUACCUCUCCGACAAUCGGAGUGACAAAUCCUAAUCUCGAAAUACGCAAACCCAACAUGUACCUUUGGAGACACCUGUAGAGCUCCUUUAUAAUCACCCAGUUACGGUGUGACGUUUGGUAGCACACAAGGUGUUCCUCCGGCAAACGGGAGUUGCAUAAUCUCAUAGUCAUAGGAACAUGUAUAAGUCAUGAAGAAAGCAAUAUCAACAUACUAAACGAUCGGGUGCUAAGCUAAUGGAAUGGGUCAUGUGAAUCAGAUCAUUCAACUAAUGAUGUGAUCUCGUUAAUCAAAUAACAACUCUUUGUCCAUGGUUAGGAAACAUAACCAUCUUUGAUUAACGAGCUAGUCAAGUAGAGGCAUACUAGUCACACUCUGUUUGUCUAUGUAUUCACACAUGUAUUAUGUUUCCGGUUAAUACAAUUCUAGCAUGUAUAAUAAACAUUUAUCAUGAUAUAAGGAAAUAAAUAAUAAUUUUAUUAUAGCCUCUAGGGCAUAUUUACUUCAUGGAUUGCCUACCAAAGAUGGCAAUAGCUAGAUCUAUCCUUGCUUGUUAUGCCUAACUAGGGGCGUUAAACGAUAGCGCUUUUUGGGAGGCAACCCAAUUUUGUUUUUAUUCCUUGAUUUUUGCUCCUGUUUAGUAAUAAAUAAUUUAUCUAGCCUCUGUUUUGGUUGUGUUCUUUGUGUUUAAUUAGUGUUUGUGCCAGGUAGAACCGUUAGGAAGACUUGGGGAAAGUCUUGUUACACUUGCUGUAAAAAACAGAAACUUCAGCGCUCACGAGAACUGCUGCCAUUUUUAUUUGGAAAGUGCUAUUUAGUUAAUUAUUUCCGCAGAUGAUUAAUAGAUAAAUUCCUCACGUCCAGCACUUUAUUUUAGAAUUUUUGGGGUUCCAGCUCUUGAGCUAGCUACAGAUUACUACAGACUGUUCUGUAUUUGAAACAUUCUGUUUUUUCGUGUGUUGUUUGCUUAUUUUGAUGAACCUAUGGCUAGUAAAAUAGUUUAUAAACCACAGAGAAGUUGGAAUACAGUAGUUAUAACACCAAUAUAAAUAAAUAAUGAGUUCAUUAAAGUACCUUGAAGUGGUCUUUUUUAUUUUCUUUCGCUAACGGAGCUCACAAGAUUUUCUACUUCAAGUUUGUGUUGUGAAGUUUUCAAGUUUUGGGUAAAAAUUUGAUGGAUUAUGGAACAAGUAGUGACAAGAGCCGAAGCUUGGGGAUGCCCAUGGCACCCCCAAGAUAAUCUAAUUACACCUAAAAGCCAAAGCUUGGGGAUGCCCGGGAAGUCAUCCCCUCUUUCGUCUACUUCUAUGGGUAACUUUACUUGGAGCUAUAUUUUUAUUCGCCACAAGAUAUGUGUUUUGCUUGGAGCGUCUUGUAUUGUUUGACUCUUUAUUUUUUAGUUUACCACAAUCAUCCUUGCUGUACACACCUUUUGAGAGAGCCAUACAUGAUUUGGAAUUUGUUAGAAUACUCUAUGGGCUUCGCUUAUAUCUUUUGAGUUAUAUAGUUUUGCUCUAGUACUUCACUUAUAUCUUUUAGAGCACGGUGGUGGAUUUGUUUUAUAAAAACUAUUGAUCUCUCAUGCUUCACUUAGAUUAUUUUGAGAUGCUUAAUAGCAUGGUAAUUUGCUUAAAAUCCUAAUAUGCUAGGUAUUCAAAGUUAGUAAAAUUUUCUUACGAGUGUUUUUAAUACUAAGAGAAGUUUGAUGCUUGAUGAUUGUUUUGAGAUAUGGAGGUAAUAAUAUCAAAGUCGUGCUAGUUGAGUAGUUGUGAAAUUGAGAAAUACUUGUGUUGAAAUUUGCAUGUCCCGUAGCAUGCACGUAUUGUAAACGUUGUGUAACAAAUUUGAAACAUGAGGUGUUAUUUGAUUGUCUUCCUUAUGAGUGGCGGUCGGGGACGAGCGAUGGUCUUUUCCUACCAAUCUAUUGUUUGGGAACGUACUAAUUUCAAAAAAAAUCCUACGCACACGCAAGACCAUGGUGAUGCAUAGCAACGAGAGGGGAGAGUGUGAUCUACGUACCCUUGUAGAUCAACAGCGGAAGCGUUGAUGCAACAUAGAGGAAGUAGUCGUACGUCUUCCUGAUCCGACCGAUCGAAGCACCAUUACUCCGGCACCUCCGAGUUCUUAGCACACGUACAGCUCGAUGACGAUCCCGGGCUCCGAUCCAGCAAAGGGUCGGGGAGGAGUUCCGUCAGCACGACGGCGUGGUGACGAUCUUGAUGUUCUACCGUCGCAGGGCUUCGCCUAAGCACUGCUACAAUAUGAUGGAGGUGGAAUAUGGUGGCACGGGGCACCGCACACGGCUAAGGAACGAUCUCAAUGAUCAACUUGUGUGUCUAGAGGUGCCCCCUGCCUCCGUAUAUAAAGGAGCCAAGGGGGAGGGGGCCGCCGGCCAGGAGGAGGGCGCAGGAGGAGUCCUACUCCUACCGGGAGUAGGACUCCCCCCCCCCAAUCCUAGUUGGACUAGGAUUCCCCGAGGGGGAAAGAGAGAGAGGGGGGCCGGCCACCUCUCCUAGUCCUAAUAGGACUACGGGAGGGGGGAGGCGCGCGGCCACCUUGGGCUGCCCCUUUCUCCUUUCCACUAAAGCCCAUCAAGGCCCAUAUGGCUCCCGGGGGGUUCCGGUAACCUCCCGGUACUCCGGUAAAAUCCCGAUUUCACCCGGAACACUUCCGAUGUCCAAAUAUAGGCUUCCAAUAUAUCAAUCUUUAUGUCUCGACCAUUUCGAUACUCCUCGUCAUGUCUGUGAUCACAUCCGGGACUCCGAACUAACUUCGGUACAUCAAAAUGCAUAAACUCAUAAUAACUGUCAUCGUAACGUUAAGCGUGUGGACCCUACGGUUCGAGAAUAAUGCAGACAUGACUGAGACACAUCUCCGGUCAAUAACCAAUAGCAGGACCUGGAUGCCUAUAUUGGCUCCUACAUUUUCUACGAAGAUCUUUAUCAGUCACACCGCAUAACAACAUAUGUUGUUCCCUUUGUCAUCGGUAUGUCAUUUGCCCGAGAUUCGAUCGUCAGUAUCCAAUACCUAGUUCAAUCUCGUUACCGGCAAGUCUCUUUACUCGUUCCGUAAUACAUCAUCUCGCAACUAACUCAUUAGUUGCAAUGCUUGCAAGGCUUAAGUGAUGUGCAUUACCGAGAGGGCCCAGAGAUACCUCUCCGACAAUCGGAGUGACAAAUCCUAAUCUCGAAAUACGCCAACCCAACAUCUACCUUUGGAGACACCUGUAGUACUCCUUUAUGAUCACCCAGUUACGUUGUGAUGUUUGGUAGCACCCAAAGUGUUCCUCCGGUAAACGGGAGUUGCAUAAUCUCAUAGUCAUAGGAACAUGUAUAAGUCAUGAAGAAUAGCAACAGCAACAUACUAAACGAUCGGGUGCUAAGCUAAUGAAAUGGGUCAUGUCAAUCAGAUCAUUCAACUAAUGAUGUGACCUCGUUAAUCAAAUAACAACUCUUUGUUCAUGGUUAGGAAACAUAACCAUCUUUGAUUAACGAGCUAGUCAAGUAGAGGCAUACUAGUGACACUCUGUUUGUCUAUGUAUUCACACAUGUAUUAUGUUUCCGGUUAAUACAAUUCUAGCAUGAAUAAUAAACAUUUAUCAUGAUAUAAGGAAAUAAAUAAUAACUUUAUUAUUGCCUCUAGGGCAUAUUUCCUUCAGUCUCCCACUUGCACUAGAGUCAAUAAUCUAGAUUACACAGUAAUGAUUCUAACACCCAUGGAGCCUUGGUGCUGAUCAUGUUUUGCUCGUGGAAGAGGCUUAGUCAACGGGUCUGCAAUAUUCAGAUCCAUAUGUAUCUUGCAAAUCUCUAUGUCUCCCACCUAGACUAGAUCCCGGAUGGAAUUGAAGCGUCUCUUGAUGUGCUUGGUUCUCUUGUGAAAUCUGGAUUCCUUUGCCAAGACAAUUGCACCAGUAUUGUCACAAAAGAUUUUCAUUGGACCCGAUGCACUAGGUAUGACACCUAGAUCGGAUAUGAACUCCUUCAUCCAGACUCCUUCGUUUGCUGCUUCCGAAGCAGCUAUGUAUUCUGCUUCACAUGUAGAUCCCGCUACGACGCUUUGUUUAGAACUGCACCAACUGACAGCUCCACCGUUUAAUGUAAACACGUAUCCGGUUUGCGAUUUAGAAUCGUCCGGAUCAGUGUCAAAGCUUGCAUCAACGUAACCUCUUACGGUGAGCUCUUUGUCACCUCCAUAUACGAGAAACAUAUCCUUAGUCCUUUUCAGGUAUUUCAGGAUGUUCUUGACCGCUGUCCAGUGAUCCACUCCUGGAUUACUUUGGUACCUCCCUGCUAAACUUAUAGCAAGGCACACAUCAGGUCUGGUACACAGCAUUGCAUACAUGAUAGAGCCUAUGGCUGAAGCAUAGGGAACAUCUUUCAUUUUCUCUCGAUCUUCUGCAGUGGUCGGGCAUUGAGUCUGGCUCAACUUCACACCUUGUAACACAGGCAAGAACCCUUUCUUUGCUUGAUCCAUUUUGAACUUCUUCAAAAUCUUGUCAAGGUAUGUGCUUUGUGAAAGUCCAAUUAAGCGUCUUGAUCUAUCUCUAUAGAUCUUUAUGCCUAAUAUGUAAGCAGCUUAACCGAGGUCUUUCAUUGAAAAACUCUUAUUCAAGUAUACCUUUAUGCUAUCCAGAAAUUCUAUAUCAUUUCCAAUCAGCAAUAUGUCAUCCACAUAUAAUAUCAGAAAUGCUACAGAGUUCCCACUCACUUUCUUGUAAAUACAGGCUUCACCGAAAGUCUGUAUAAAACCAAAUGCUUUGAUCACACUAUCAAAGCGUUUAUUCCAACUCCGAGAGGCUUCCACCAGUCCAUAAAUGGAUCGCUGGAGCUUGCACACUUUGUUAGCUCCCUUUGGAUCGACAAAACCUUCCGGUUGCAUCAUAUACAACUCUUCUUCCAGAAAUCCAUUCAAGAAUGCAGUUUUGACAUCCAUCUGCCAAAUUUCAUAAUCAUAAAAUGCGGCAAUUGCUAACAUGAUUCGGACAGACUUAAGCAUCGCUACGGGUGAGAAGGUCUCAUCGUAGUCAACCCCUUCAACUUGUCGAAGACCUUUUGCGAGAAGUCGAGCUUCGUAGACAGUAACAUUACCAUCACCGUCAGUCUUCUUCUUGAAGAUCCAUUUAUUCUCAAUUGCUUGCCGAUCAUCGGGCAAGUCAACCAAAUCCAUACUUUGUUCUCAUACAUGGAUCCCAUCUCAGAUUUCAUGGCUUCAAGCCACUUUGCGGAAUAUGGGCUCACCAUCGCUUCUUCAUAGUUCGUAGGUUCAUCAUGAUCUAGCAGCAUGAUUUCCAGAACAGGAUUACCGUACCACUCUGGUGCAGAUCUCGCUCUGGUUGAUCUACGAGGUUCAGUAGUAUCUUGUCCUGAAGUUUCAUGAUCUUUAUCAUUAGCUUCCUCACUAAUUGGUAUAGGUGUCGCAGAAACAGUUUUUCUGUGAUGUACUACUUUCCAAUAAGGGAGCAGGUAUAGUUACCUCGUCAAGUUCUACUUUCCUCCCACUCACUUCUUUCGAGAGAAACUCCUUCUCUAGAAAUGAUCCAUUCUUAGCAAUGAAUGUCUUACCUUCGGAUUUGUGAUAGAAGGUGUACCCAACAGUCUCCUUUGCGUAUCCUAUGAAGACACAUUUCUCCGAUUUGGGCUCGAGCUUAUGAGGUUGAAGCUUUUUCACAUAAGUAUCGCAGCCCCAAACUUUAAGAAACGACAACUUUGGUUUCUUGCCAAACCACAGUUCAUAAGGCGUCGUCUCAGCAGAUUUUGAUGGUGCCGUAUUUAGCGUGAAUGUGAGCGUCUCUAAAGCAUAACCCCAAAACGAUAGCGGUAAAUCAGUAAGAGACAUCAUAGAUCGCACCAUAUCUAGUAAAGUACGAUUCCGAUGUUCGGACACACCAUUACACUGUGGUGUUCCAGGUGGCGUGAGUUGCGAAACUAUUCCACAAUUUUUCAAAUGUACACCAGACUCGUAACUCAAAUAUUCUCCUCCACGAUCAGAUCGUAGAAACUUUAUUUUCUUGUUAUGAUGAUUUUCAACUUCACUCUGAAAUUCUUUGAACUUUUCAAAUGUUUCAGACUUAUGUUUCAUUAAGUAGAUAUACCCAUAUCUGCUUAAGUCAUCUGUGAAGGUGAGAAAAUAACGAUAUCCACCACGAGCCUCAAUAUUCAUCGGACCACAUACAUCAGUAUGCAUGAUUUCCAACAAAUCUGUUGCUCUCUCCAUAGUACCGGAGAACGGUGUUUUAGACAUCUUGCCCAUGGGGCACGGUUCGCAAGUACCAAGUGAUUCAUAAUCAAGUGGUUCCAAAAGUCCAUCGGUAUGGAGUUUCUUCAUGCGCUUUAUACCGAUAUGACCUAAACGGCAGUGCCACAAAUUAGUUGCACUAUCAUUAUCAACUCUGCAUCUUUUCGCCUCAACAUUAUGAAUAUAUGUGUUACUACUAUCGAGAUUCAUCGAAAAUAGACCACUCCUCAAAGGUGCAUGACCAUAAAAGAUAUUACUCAUAUAAAUAGAACAACCAUUAUUCUCUGAUUUAAAUGAAUAACCGUCUCGCAUCAAACAAGUUCCAGAUAUAAUGUUCAUGCUCAACGCUGGAACCAAAUAACAAUUAUUUAGGUCUAAUAUUAAUCCCGAAGGUAGAUGUAGAGGUAGCGUGCUGACCGCGAUCACAUCGACUUUGGAACCGUUUCCCACGCGCAUCGUCACCUCGUCCUUCGCCAGUGUUCGCUUAAUCCGUAGUCCCUGUUUCGAGUUGCAAAUAUUAGCAACAGAACCAGUAUCACAUACCCAGGUGCUACUGCGAGCUCUAGUAAGGUACACAUCAAUAACAUGUAUAUCACAUAUACCUUUGUUCACCUUGCCAUCCUUCUUAUCCGCCAAUACUUGGGGCAGUUCCGCUUCCAGUGACCAGUCUGCUUGCAGUAGAAGCACUCAGUUUCAGGCUUAGGUCCAGACUUGGGUUUCUUCUCUUGAGCAGCAACUUGCUUGCCGUUCUUCUUGAAGUUCCCCUUCUUCUUCCCUUUGCCCUUUUUCUUGAAACUAGUUGUCUUACUGACCAUCAACACUUGAUGCUCCUUUUUGAUUUCUACCUCCGCAGCUUUCAGCAUUGCGAAGAGCUCGGGAAUAGUCUUGUUCAUCCCUUGCAUAUUAUAGUUCAUCACAAAGCUCUUGUAGCUUGGUGGCAGUGAUUGGAGAAUUCUGUCAAUGACGCAAUCAUCUAGAAGAUUAACUCCCAUCUGAAUCAAGUGAUUAUUAUACCCAGACAUUCUGAGUAUAUGCUCACUGACAGAACUGUUCUCCUCCAUCUUGCAGCUAUAGAACUUAUUGGAGACUUCAUAUCUCUCAAUCCGGGCAUUUUCUUGAAAUAUUAACUUCAACUCCUGGAACAUCUCAUAUGCUCCAUGACGUUCAAAACGUCGUUGAAGUCCCGAUUCUAAGCCGUAAAGCAUGGCACACUGAACUAUCAAGUAGUCAUCAGCUUUGCUCUGCCAGACGUUCAUAACAUCUAGUGUUGCUCCAGCAGCAGGCCUGGCACCUAGCGGUGCUUCCAAGACGUAAUUCUUCUGAGCAACAAUGAGGAUAAUCCUCAAGUUACGGACCCAGUCCGUGUAAUUGCUACCAUCAUCUUUCAACUUUGCUUUCUCAAGGAACGUAUUAAAAUUCAACGAAACAACAACACGAGCCAUCUAUCUACAAUCAACAUAAACAAGCAAGAUACUAUCAGGUACUAAGUUCAUGAUAAGUUUAAGUUCAAUUUAAUCAAAUUACUUAAGAACUCCCACUUAGAUAGACAUCCCUCUAAUCGUCUAAGUGAUCACGUGAUCCAAAUCAACUAAACCAUAACCGAUCAUCACGUGAGAUGGAGUAGUUUUCAAUGGUGAACAUCGUUAUGUUGAUCAUAUCUACUAUAUGAUUCAUGCUCGACCUUUCGUUCUCCGUGUUCCGAGGCCAUAUCUGCAUACGCUAGGCUCGUCAAGUUUAACCUGAGUAUUCUGCGUGUGCAAAAACUGGCUUGCACCCGUUGUAGAUGGACGUAGAGCUUAUCACACCCGAUCAUCACGUGGUGUCUGGGCACGACGAACUUUGGCAGCAGUGCAUACUCAGGGAGAACACUUCUUGAUAAUUUAGUGAGAUAUCAUCUUAUAAUGCUACCGUCAAUCAAAGCAAGAUAAGAUGCAUAAAAAGAUAAACAUCACAUGCAAUCAAUAUAAGUGAUAUGAUAUGGCCAUCAUCAUCUUGUGCUUGUGAUCUUCAUCUCCGAAGCACCGUCAUGAUCACCAUCGUCACCGGUGCGACACCUUGAUCUCCAUCGUAGCAUCGUUGUCGUCUCGCCAAUCUUAUGCUUCCACGACUAUCGCUACCGCUUAGUGAUAAAGUAAAGCAUUACAUCGCGAUUGCAUUGCAUACAAUAAAGCGACAACCAUAUGGCUCCUGCCAGUUGCCGAUAACUCGGUUACAAAACAUGAUCAUCUCAUACAAUAAAAUUUAGCAUCAUGUCUUGACCAUAUCACAUCACAACAUGCCCUGCAAAAACAAGUUAGACGUCCUCUACUUUGUUGUUGCAAGUUUUACGUGGCUGCUACGGGCUUAAGCAAGAACCAAUCUCACCCACGCAUCAAAACCACAACGAUAGUUUGUCAAAUAGACUCCGUUUUAUCCUUCGGAAGGACCGGGCGUAGCCACACUCGGUUCAACUAAAGUUGGAGAAACAGUCGCCCGCAAGGCACCUGUGUGCAAAGCACGUCGGGGGAACCGGUCUCACGUAAGCGUACGCGUAAUGUUGGUCCGGGUCGUCUCGUCCAACAAUACCGCCGAACCAAAGUAUGACAUGCUAGUAGGCAGUAUGACUUGUAUCACCCACAACUCACUUGUGUUCUACUCGUGCAUAUAACAUCAAACCAUAAAACCUAGGCUCGGAUGCCACUGUUUGGGAACGUAGUAAUUUCAAAAAAAUUCCUACGCACACGCAAGAUCAUGGUGAUGCAUAUCAACGAGAGGGGAGAGUGUGAUCUACGUACCCUUGUAGAUCAAUAGCGGAAGCAUUGACGCAAUGUAGAGGAAGUAGUCGUACGUCUUCCUUAUCCGAUCGAUCCAAGCACCAUUACUCCGGCACCUCUGAGUUCUUAGCACACGUACAGCUCGAUGACGAUCCCCGGGCUCCGAUCCAGCAAAGCGUCGGGGGGGAGUUCCGUCAACACGACGGCGUGGUGAUGAUCUUGAUGUUCUACCAUCGCAGGGCUUCGCCUAAGCACUGCUCCAAUAUGAUCGAGGUGGAAUAUGGUGGCAGGGGGCACCGCACACGGCUAAGGAACGAUCUCAAUGAUCAACUUGUGUGUCUAGAGGUGCCCCCUGCCUCCGUAUAUAAAGGAGCCAAGGGGGAGGGGGCCGCCGGCCAGGAGGAGGGCGCAGGAGGAGUCCUACUCCUACCAGGAGUAGGACUCCCCCCCCCCAAUCCUAGUUGGACUAGGAUUCCCCGAGGGGGAAAGAGAGAGGGGGGGCCGGCCACCUCUCCUAGUCCUAAUAGGACUAGGGGAGGGGGGAGGCGCGCGGCCACCUUGGGCUGCCCCUUUCUCCUUUCCACUAAAGCCCAUCAAGGCCCAUAUGGCUCCCGGGGGGUUCCGGUAACCUCCCGGUACUCCGGUAAAAUCCCGAUUUCACCCGGAACACUUCCGAUGUCCAAAUGUAGGCUUCCAAUAUAUCAAUCUUUAUGUCUCGACCAUUUCGAGACUCCUCGUCAUGUCCGUGAUCACAUCCGGGACUCCGAACUAACUUUGGUACAUCAAAAUGCAUAAACUCAUAAUAACUGUCAUCGUAACGUUAAGCGUGUGGACCCUACGGUUCGAGAAUAAUGCAGACAUGACUGAGACACAUCUCCGGUCAAUAACCAAUAGCGGGACCUGGAUGCCCAUAUUGGCUCCUACAUUUUCUCCGAAGAUCUUUAUCGGUCAGACCGCAUAACAAAAUACGUUGUUCCCUUUUCAUCGGUAUGUUACUUGCCCGAGAUUUGAUCGUUGGUAUCUCAAUACCUAGUUCAAUCUCGUUACCGGCAAGUCUCUUUACUCGUUCCGUAAUACAUCAUCUCGCAACUAACUCAUUAGUUGCAAUGCUUGCAAGGCUUAUGUGAUGUGCAUUACCGAGAGGGCCCAGAGAUACCUCUCCGACAAUCGGAGUGACAAAUCCUAAUCUCGAAAUACGCCAACCCAACAUCUACCUUUGGAGACACCUGUAGAGCUCCUUUAUAAUCACCCAGUUACAUUGUGACGUUUGUUAGCACACAAAGUGUUCCUCCGGGAAACGGGAGUUGCAUAAUCACAUAGUCAUAGGAACAUGUAUAAGUCAUGAAGAAAGCAGUAGCAACAUACUAAACGAUCGGGUGCUAAGCUAAUGAAAUGGGUCAUGUCAAUCAGAUCAUUCAACCAAUGAUGUGACCUCGUUAAUCAAAUAACAACACCUUGUUCAUGGUUAGGAAACAUAACCAUCUUUGAUUAACGAGCUAGUCAUGUAGAGGCAUACUAGUGACACUAAGUUUGUCUAUGUAUUCACACAUGUAUUAUGUUUCCGGUUAAUACAAUUCUAGUAUGAAUAAUAAACAUUUAUCAUGAUAUAAGGAAAUAAAUAAUAACUUUAUUAUUGCCUCUAAGGCAUAUUUCCUUCAUCUAUCCCCCUAGGAGCAUGCGCGUAGUACCGAGGUUUUUGAUGACUUGUAGAUUUUUGCAAUGAGUAUGUGAGUUCUUUAUGACUAAUGUUGAGUCCAUGAAUUAUACGCACUCUCACCCUUCCAUCCUUGCUAGCCUCUUCGGUACCGUGCAUUGCCCUUUCCCACAUUGAGUGUUGGAGCAAACUUCGCCAAUGCAUCCAAACCCUGUGAUAUGAUACGCUCUUUCACACAUAAACCUCCUUAUAUCUUCCUCAAAACAGCCACCAUACCUACCUAUUAUGGCAUUUCCAUAGCCAUUCCGACUUAUAUUGCCAUGCAACUUUCCACCAUUCCGUUCAUCAUGACACAUUUAGCAUUGUCAUAUUGCUUAGCAUAAUCAUGUAGUUGACAUAGUAUUUGUGGCAAAGCCACCGUUCAUAAUUCUUUCCUACAUGUCACUAUUGGUCCACUGCAUAUCCGGUACACCGCCGGAGGCAUUUAUAUAGAGUCAUACUUUGUUCUAGUAUCGAGUAGUAAUUAUUGAGUUGUAAAUAAAUAGAAGUGUGAUGAUCAUCAUUAAUAGAGCAUGGUCCCAAAAAGAGAAAAAAGGAAGGGCCAAAAAAAGGCCAAAUAAAAAAAUAUAAAAAAGGGGGGCAAUGCUACUAUCCUUUUUUUCCACACUUGUGAUUCAAAGUAGCACCGUAAUCUUCAUGAUAGAGAGUAUCUUGAUUUGUCACUUUCAUAUACUAGUGGGAAUUUUGCAUUGUAGAACAAUGGGCCUCCUCAAGUGCCCUAGCUCUUCGUGAGCAAGCAAGUUGGAUGCACACCCACUUAGUUUCUUUUGUUGAGCUUUCAUACAUUUAUAGCUCUAGUGCAUCCGUUGCAUGGCAAUCCUUACUCCUUGCAUUAACAUCAAUCGAUGGGCAUCUCCAUAGCCCAUUGAUUAGCCUCAUUGAUGUGAGACUUUCUCCUUUUUGUCUUCUCCACAUAACCCCAGUGAUUAUAUUCUAUUCCACCCAUAGUUUUAUGUCCAUGGCUUGCAAUCAUAUAUUGCGUGAAAGUUUAUAGGUUUGAGAUCACUAAAGUAUGAAACAAUUGCUUGGCUUGUCAUCGGGGUUGUGCAUGAUGAGAGCAUUCUUGUGUGAAGAAAAUGAAGCAUGAUUAAACUAUAUGAUUUUGUAGGGAUGAACUUUCUUUGGCCAUGUUAUUUUGAGAAGACAUAAUUGCUCAGUUAGUAUGCUUGACUCUUUUGGAUCUGAAUAUUCAUACCACAAGUAAGAAGAAUUACAUUAAAAUCAUGCCAAGUAGCACUCCGCAUCAAAAAUUCUGUUUUUAUCAUUUACCUACUCUAGGACGAGCAGGAAUUAAGCUUGGGGAUGCUUGAUACGUCUCCAACGUAACUAUAAUUUUUGAUUGCUCCAUGCUAUAUUAUCUACUGUUUUGGACAAUAUUGGGCUUUAUUAUCCACUUUUAUAUUAUUUUGUAACUAACCUAUUAUCUACUGUUUUGGACAAUAUUGCCUAGAUUUGCUGUUUUUUUGCCUGUUUUAGGGUUUCGAAGAAAAGGAAUAUCAAACGGAGUCCAAACGGAAUGAAACCUUCGGGAACGUGAUUUUCUCAACGAACAAGACCCAGGAGACUUGGACCCUCCGUCAAGACACAAAAGAGGAGGCCACGAGGUAGAGGGCGUGCCUACCCCCCCCCCCCUGCGCGCCCACCACCCUCGUGGGCCCCCUGUUGCUCCACCGACGUACUCCUUCCUCCUAUAUAUACCUACGUACCCCCAAACGAUCAUAUACGGAGCCAAAACCCUAAUUCCACCGCCGCAACUUUCUGUAUCCACGAGAUCCCAUCUUGGGGCCUGUUCCGGAGCUCCGCCAGAGGGGGCAUCGAUCACGGAGUGCUUCUACAUCAACACCAUAACCUCUCCGAUGAAGUGUGAGUAGUUCACCUCAGACCUACUGUUCCAUAGUUAUUAGCUAGAUGGCUUCUUCUCUCUUUUUGGAUCUAAAUACAAUGUUCUCCCCCUCUCUUGUGGAGAAUUAUUCGAUGUAAUCUUCUUUUUGCGGUGUGUUUGUUGAGACCGAUGAAUUGUGGGUUUAUGAUCAAGUCUAUCUAUGAAUAAUAUUUCAAUCUUCUCUGAAUUAUUUUAUGUAUGAUUGGUUAUCUUUGCAAGUCUCUUCGAAUUAUCAGUUUGGUUUGGCCUACUAGAUUGAUCUUUCCUGCAAUGGGAGAAGUGCUUAGCUUUGGGUUCAAUCUUGCGGUGUCCUUUCCCAGUGACAGUAGGGGCAGCAAGGCACGUAUUGUAUUGUUGCCAUCGAGGACAACAAGAUGGGGUUUUCAUCAUAUUGCAUGUGUCUAUCCCUCUACAUCAUGUUAUCUUGCUUAAGGCGUUAAUCUGUUUUUAACAUAAUACUCUAGAUGCAUGCUGGAUAGCUGUCGAUGAGUGGAGUAAUAGUAGUAGAUGUAGGCAGGAGCGGUCUACUUGUCUCGGACGUGAUGCCUAUAUACAUGAUGAUACCUAGAUAUUAUCAUAACUAUGCUCAAUUCUGUCAAUUGCUCAACAGUAAUUUGUUCACCCACCGUAGAAUACUUAUGCUCUCGAGGGAAGCCACUAGUGAAACCUAUGGCCCCGGGUCUAUCUUUAUCAUAUUAAUCUCCUACUACUUAGUUAUUUCCUUUGCUUUUUUACUUUGCCUUUAUUUUACUUUGCAUCUUUAUCACAAAAAUACCAAUAAAAUUAUCUUUAUCAUAUCUAUCAAAUCUCACUCUUGUAAGUGGCCGUGUAGGGAUUGACAACCCCUAUUCGCGUUGGUUGCGAGGAUUUAUUUGUUUUGUGCAGGUACGAGGGACUCGUGCGUAGCCUCCUACUGGAUUGAUACCUUGGUUCUCAAAACCUAAGGGAAAUACUUACGCUACUUUGCUGCAUCAUCCCUUCCUCUUCGGGGAAAACCAACGCAGUGCUCAAGAGGUAGCAAGGGUUCCUUUUUGUCGACGAUCCUAUGUUUCAACCUUGUUUUCCAGGCGGCCAAUGCGUCGCUAAACUUGGGCAUGGCGUGUUUGUUUAUCUUCUUCAUUGCCAGGUCCUUAUCUGGAUCUUUAUUAUCCUUUUCAUUGCGGUUAAUGAACAAGAAUAUCUGGUGCCGCUUCUUUAAAAGGGAGGGCCUCAUAUUAUCUAUCUUCUGUAGUUUCCCAUCGUUGAUCGUGGCAGUUGUCCGUACGAUGCAACCUAUUUGAUUGCCAUAGCACGAUUGCGCUUCCUCGGGCGCUAUUGUCUCAAAAAUACCGUUGUCCAUCUCCGUGACCACCAGUCUAGUACUCGUGAGCUGGUUUCGGCGCCGUGGCCUCUUUGCUUUCGGUUCUAGACCAGCUCCGCUAGUCUCGGCGCCGGUCUCAGUCUCAUCGCCGGUCUGCAUGUCGGUAUCAGUCCCCGAUGCGACAGCACAGUCGCUGCAACAUGGGUAAGGGAGACCACAUCAGUGCUGGGGGGGUCUGAAAAUUGGGACACACUUUCGCGCAUCGCGGGCCGCCUCUCAGACAGCUACUGGGGAGGCGGCGGAGUACCUGGGUGCGCGGUAAAUCCCCGGGAACUCGGUGACCAACUUCCUUCCCGUGUGGUGCAUGGAGACGACGACGACCCCGGCAAAGAGCAGCUUAGCCGUGAGCUGCACAGCCUCGUCCACCUCCUAAGUUGGGUCCUCCGCGCGAGCGUUGCGGGGCCGCCGCUCGGAUGGCUUCUGGAAGGCGCUUGUACAUGGGCAUAGGGUGAAUCCCGGCGAGAGCUAGCCAUUGGCGCGCGCAAGUAGACGACGACGUCCCCGACGAAGAGCAGCCCGGCCAGCUCGCCUCACUCUCCUUUGAUUAGAAUUGAAAGAUUGGGAAGAAGCAGACUUGAGCCUGCAGGGAAAGGAUAAGGUGACGAUGCAGUCUCCACUCGUUCGGGGCGACACGCGAAUUGAAUGUAUGAGAAACGUGACGUGGCAGGGACCCCAAGAUACUCCCUCCAUUUAUUUUUAGUCUGCAUAUAAAGUUUGGUCAAAGUCAAGAUUUGUAAAUUUUAACUAACUUUAUAAUAAAAAAAUAUCAACAUUCACAAUAUGAAAUAAUUAUUACCAGAUGCGUGAAGAAAUGUAUUUCCAUACUAUAUAGUUUUGGUAUUGGAGAUGUUCAUAUUUUUUUAUAUAAAUGGGAAGUAGAGGCACUCUUCCAUAUAAUGAAGUUUAUAAUAUAUGUGCUUAUAUUGUACUAUAAUUGUUUGAAUAACUUAGCAUAUGUUCAGAUGUAUGAUAUCUGUAAUUUAAGCGCUUGAAUUUUACAUAUAAAUAUUUAUUAAUAAAUAUGUACCCCUAUAAUAGCUAGGCCGUGCAGUUGCACGGGUAGAUGACUAGUGAUUACAGUCUUGUUUGUGUGCAAGUCAAGCUUAUCUAGUUUACACGUAACAACUCGUAGAACAUGUUUAUGCUUGCUAAUAACUUCUAGAACACUACAACACUUUACAUGUAAAAGGAAUUUCACGAGUCAUGGCCUACUAAAGCAAGUUACAUUACUAGUCUUAUAUCUAUCUUAACAGACCACACAAGACUACAAACUAAGUACCAUGACAGCCAUGCUUAUCUAGUUUAUGCGUAACAAUUUGCAGAAAAUUACAAACUUAGUUUUAGAAAAAUGGGCAAUCCAGAUUAGUGUUUGAGCUGUAAAGUGAAUAAGAUGAGUCAUGUGUGUUAUCACACCUUUUUGGUGGUGGAAUGAUAGUGCAACAACAAGGAACUUUAAUGAACAGUGCAAGAAUACACUUGUAAGUAGUGCCACCAAACAGAACAUACCAAAUGAUGAUUUUGAGAAGCAUCCAAGCACUUUCCACACAAACAAAUGCCAAUUGUGAAAGAGAUCAUUCCAUGGCAGCUAUAAAUAGCCCCGUAGCAUGACGAUCAUCCUUCCUCAUCCAUCAUUCUCAUAAGUAGAACGCAUCAUUUAAGCCAAGCAAGGUGUGGUCAAUACAAAUCCACCAUGAAGACAUUUCUCAUCCUUGCCCUCCUUGCUAUCGUGGCGACCACCGCCACAACUGCAGUUAGAGUUCCAGUGCCACAAUUGCAGCCACAAAAUCCAUCUCAGCAACAGCCACAAGAGCAAGUUCCAUUGGUACAACAACAACAAUUUCUAGGGCAGCAACAACCAUUUCCACCACAACAACCAUAUCCACAGCCGCAACCAUUUCCAUCACAACAACCAUAUCUGCAGCUGCAACCAUUUCCGCAGCCGCAACUACCAUAUUCGCAGCCACAACCAUUUCGACCACAACAACCAUAUCCACAACCGCAAC